rnacentral:lncRNA from 1 species
AAGUUGAUAAUUCUGCAUUCUUAAACCAAUGUUCAAACAGGGGUAAACAUGUCUGCAAACAUAAACAAUCAUCAAACAGUGUAUGCAGAAGCAUCGAUCUGCUUUGUAAAUUAGACCUGCUGGCGUGAUAUGGCGGAGGCUGCGGUGAACUUUGCUCUAGAGACCUUGGGUCCUUUGCUUGUCGAAGAAAUCAGAUUGUGGGGAGGUGUUAGAAAAGAAGUUCAAAGCAUCAAAAGCGAUCUGGAGAGUCUCAGAUCUUUCCUCAAAGACGCAGAUGCAAGCGCUUGCUGAUAUAAAGUGAAGGGGAGAAAGCUAUCGAUUCAGAUCUAUUGAUGAACCAUCGAGCAGUGGAACCAGAAAUGUUAUCCCACAUGACUCUCGAGUUCGUUCCUUUUUCGUUGAAGAUGAUGAAGUUGUGGGCAUCGAAUCCAUUAAACGUAAAUUGAUUGAUUUGAUGGUGAACGGAAGAUCCGAACGUUCAGUGGUUGCUGUGGUGGGUGUAGGAGGGCUAGGCAAGACCACUCUUGCUGGAAAACUUUUUAACAAUGAUGGUUUAAAAACUCACUUCAGUAGCCGGGCUUGGGUCACCGUUGGGAAAGAAUACAACAAAAAUGAAUUGUUGAGGACAGUUAUAAAGGAGUUUCACAGUUUCUCAGGGCAGCCUACUCCAGUCGAGAUACACAAAAUGGAAGAGAUGGAGCUGAUCACCACGCUGAGGGGCCACUUGAAGGACAAGAAUUACAUGGUUGUGUUCGACGAUGUUUGGAAGAUUGAUUUUUGGGGAGACGUGGAGCAUGCUUUACUUGAUAACAAGAAAUGCGGCAGGAUAAUUGUCACAACACGGCACAUGAAUGUCGCUAAGGCUUGCAAAUCAUCUUCCCCUGUUCAUAUCCAUGAGCUUGAAACUUUGCCUCCGAAUGAAGCGUGGAAACUUUUUUGUAGAAAGGCUUCCGGACCAAGCUCCGGAGGCUGUUGUCCUUCAGAGUUGAAGGAGUUGUCCCAGGACAUCCUUGGAAAAUGUGAAGGUUUGCCUCUUGCUAUCGUGGCCGUAGGUGGACUUCUUUCAACCAAGAACAGGGUUGUAUCUGAAUGGAAGAAAUUAUUUGAUCGGUUGGGCUCAAUCUUAGGAAGUGAUCCCCAUCUAAAAGACUGCAACAGAGUUUUAUCUGAAGGAUAUCAUGAUCUUCCUCACCAUCUCAAAUCAUGUCUUCUGUACUUUGGCUUAUUUCAAGAGAGCUGCAAAGUUAACUGUGCUAGACUCAUCCGUUUGUGGAUAGCCGAGGGCUUUGUCCAAUACAGCAAACGCCCCACAUCUGAACAAGUUGCAGAAGAAUUCUUGAAUGAGCUCAUUGACAGAAGCUUGGUACAAGUUUCAGAGAGGGAUAUUUCUGGACGAGCUAGUAUCUGCCAAGUUCAUGAUCUUAUGCACGAGAUCAUCAUCAGAAAAACUGAAGAAUUGGGCUUCGGUCGUCCGCUGAACGGAGAGGACUUGAGUCAUUGUAGUAAAACUCGACGCAUUACUAUACAGGGAAGUAUUGAUGAUGGUGCUUUAGAGAGCAUCAAGGACUCGAAGGUCCGUUCUGUUUUCCUUUUCAAUGUAGAUAAGCUUAUGAAACUACUAGAUCUGGAAGAUGCUCCUGUAGAUUACCUUCCUGAAGGAGUGGGAAACUUAUUCAAUUUACACUACUUGAGUGUGAAAAAUACAAAUGUAAAAAUAAUUCCCAAGUCCAUUGGAAAUCUUCUCGGUUUAGAGAUUUUGGAUCUGAAAAAUAGUUUGGUGAGAGAACUACCAGUAGAGAUCAGGAAUCUUAAAAAGCUGCGCUAUCUAAUGGUGUAUCAGUACCAUUAUACCUCAGGUUCUAGUGUAGCAGGAGCAGCAGUAGCCAAAGUACACCAGGGCCUUGGGUCGCUAACGGAUCUGCAGAAGUUGUCUAUUAUAGAAGCUGACUCUCAAGCGCUUGACGAGCUUAUGAAGCUAAGGCGGUUAAGAAAGUUGGGCAUUAGGCCCCAAAAUGGAAAUGGCAAGGAUGUGUGUGCUUUGAUUGCAAAUUUGGAAAACCUAGAGUCUUUAACAGUAUAAAUGGCAAGCAAAGAAGAAAUACUUGACUUGCAGUCUUUGAGUAGUCCUCCUCAAUAUCUGCAGCGUCUCUACUUGACGGGGAAUAUGAAGAAACUGUCGGAUUGGAUUUUUAAACUUAAAAAUCUAAUCAGAUUGGGUUUGGAACUGUCGGGAUUGGCUGAGGAGCUUUUUCAUCAUUUGUUGGAACUUAGACUCACAGGGACAUACGAAUACGAGCUUUUUCACUUUGAAGCAGGUUGGUUUCCAAAACUCCAAAAGUUGCUUCUCUGGGACUUCGUCGCGGUGAAAUCGGUUAUAAUAGAGAAAGGUGCGAUGCCUGAUAUUAGAGAACUGCGGAUGGGGCCUUGCCCGCUGUUGAUGGAGAUUCCUACUGGAAUUGAACAUCUUCAAAACCUUAAGCUACUUGUAUUUGCUUGUAUGGUUAAACAAGUCUAUUGCAUGACAAAAGACGAGAACUGGGGGAAGGUUACUGAGCAUAUACCAGAUGUCCUUGUCACUUAUAUGGAGGCAGGGCAAUUGUUUCAUUAUGGAAAAGAAUAUCUGUCAUCUCUGUCUCCUGAAUAUGUCGAGCAAAUCUGCUGAAGAAGAGGACUCAAAUAGGGAGCAGUCAUGCACAUCUAUGAAAUAAGUAAACAAGUCUGCCACUCUCCUGCGUAUUUGGAUUAUUUUCUAUUUACUUUUAAGAAAAAUUAUUUUUCUCAUUUUUAAUUUGACAGACAAUUUAAUUAUAUAUAAUUCAAAUAAAAAUUCACCAAGAAAAUUCCUUUUUCCCUGUAAUUUGAGUACGUUUAAUAAAUAAAUAAACAAAUGCGGUAGGUCAGUAAAUCAUUUUCUAGUUAAAUAUAUAGUUAGAAUCAUAUAAUGAUUAGGUAUUAAUGUUAGUAUAGUAAUUUCCGUUAUAUUUUUUGUUACCAUGGACAGAUGGAGUAUAUAUAUCUUGCUUCUAGCGAAUUCAUUGAUGAGUUCAUCGAUCACAUACUGCAUCAGAUUGUGGCGGCAAUGCUACUAUUGAUAUGCUUUGAGUUUGAGUAAUUAUUAUCAGUGUUAUCAUGUAAUAAAUGCUUAUGUGAGUUGUUGCUGCUGUGAGUGUGAGUGUAUUCUUCUACAUAUCUAAGACUGAGAUUAUGAUUUUUGAAAUAUUGUAGUAUUGCAAGGAAUCGUCAUCAUAUAAUAUUUAAUGUUUAAUAAUAAAAACUGUGCCAAUGUGGCUAAUUUGUGUGGACUGAUGCAUUUGCCUUAAUUUUAAUCUGUAGCUUAUUGUUUUCGUCAUAAUAACUUAGCAAAAUAUUGUAUCACAUGCAUUUUCAUUUUCUCAAGUUUAAUUUCCUCAUCAUUUGCAUAAUUGUGCUUAUUAUUUUGCGACAUCUAUCUGGAUUAGUCUACAACUUUCAUGGAUUUAUUUAUUUGAUUUAAGAAGUGAACUGGACAUGUAUGUGAAACCGUUAUUCUAAAAAUUAAAUGCAUAUUUAAGAUUGCGGUUAAUGAAUUUUCAAACAAUCACUUAUUUUUUUUAAAAAAUUUACUCAAUUAUAUUUGAGUUGUCAAAUUAUUUUAAGUAAACAUAUAUCAUUUUUGGACUGGAUACACUCACAAUCAUCAAAUAAUUGAUUUUCAAAUAUAAUUUGAGAAUAAAAUCCAUGUGGAUUGCAGACUUUUUGCAACACAGAGAAAGUCUAUAAUUGGGAUUGGGGAAUUAAACUUACUAAGCCAUUCUACUAUUCUUGGGGAAAAAGUGUAAGUGGCUGCAGUUAGGGUUAUAAGGUAAAGAAUAGAGAGAAACUUUAUAAGAAAAAGCAUAGGUGACUCUAAAUUUACGAUCAAAUAAAAGAGAAAUUUUAUUUAAAAAAAUAGUAUGGGUAACUCUAAAGUUAGAAAAUUACAGAUGAUUGCGAUUGAAUUAGUAAUUUUGCUUUCGAAAUUGCUUUAAGUUGCUCAGUAAAUUGGUCCUGCGGAGACUCACUCCUUAUAAUCUAUAUGUUAGAUCAAAGUGUUAGUUUUUGCAUGAGUUAAAGAGAAAGAUUGCUAGAAAUUUCAUCUUCUUUAUUUUUUCAUGUCAUGGAUAAAUGAGAGCCGAAACAAUGUUGAGUCUCUUCACAACAAAAGCAAUUUUCAUACAUCUUUUCCUUCAGCUUUAUGAUAUUCAAUGCACGUAGUCCCCAGUCCCUACCUCUAGCCCUUUAUUAAUUAUUGGAUAAGAAACUUGUGGGCCUUAAAUGAUAAGAUAUAUACUUCUUAACUCCACCUUCACGGUUUCGCACUAAGUCUCACAAUUGCACAUUGUUGACUUAAAACAUGAUUAUUAAAACAAAUUUAAGAAUAAAGAUAAGAGUUAAGGCAACAUAUAUAAGAAAUAAAAUUAAAAAAAUCAUUAAAAGAAAUUGUAACCGCUGCUCAUCAAUAAAAAGCCAUCUUGGUUGGAAGAAUUUCAAUAAAAAUACAGAUGGUAUUUGAUUUGAACUUGAAAAGUAAAUUAAGGAAACUAAUAAAUAAGGAAACACAAAUAAAAAAGCCAAAACACAAACGACCACAUAUACAAAGGCCGGGCCGUGCCCUUGGACAUGACAACACGACCCUCAAAUAAUUUCAAUCUCUUUAUUAUCGUUCCCAAAACACCUUUCCAAACUUUCCCUGCAUUAAAAGUCAUGAAGAUAAUUCCUUAAUUUGAUCAAACAGUAAAGUUAAUUAUGUCAUUGUAUAUUUGUGGGUCAAGUUAAAUGAAGCAUUUUCCUCCAUAUUGAUCAUUUUCCCUGCGAACGUAUAACAAACUUUUCAGCACUUUAAUCUCACCGUUAAGUGUUAAACACUCUCUGUAUUCAACACACCGACCCUUGAAUCUUGAUGGCAAUAUUAGUAGCAGGUAUAGCUGCUGCUAAUAGAAGAAGAAGAGAAAAGAGAAAUGAGCUUUACGGAAAAAGAUGAAGAAGAAGACAAAUGGAUAAUGCAUUAUUCAUCAAAGCAUCAAAUACUGUUAGUGGGUGAGAGAUUUCUCGUUUUCUUUUGGUUAUCGCAGAAAUUUGGCUCUGCUUCUAACAUCUGGGCUUCUUCUCUUGAUUCUUAUGGGAACUCAUUCAUUUCUCUAAUCUCUUUCUCUUGUCUUACAUCUUUUUUUUUCUUUAAAUUUUUAUUUUAUCAUAUGAUGUGGCAAAAAUUACCUUGUUUAUAGAUCUUUAUCCUCAAUUUGAUGUUAAAUUGUCACUUAAUUUGAUGUGUAACCGUAAAGAAAUGAAAAAUUUUACAGGAAAAUAGUAAAAUGACCAGGAAAAUCAGGAAAACAUAUUAUUAAUGCCACAUCUUAAAGUAAAGCUAUUGAAUUAAACCAUAACAAUAAGUUCACAUUUUUUAGGUUUUAAAAAUAUUUUGUGAUUUAUGUUUAUUUAAAAGUAAAAAUUAUCAAACUUCAAAACUGUGACUACAAUACUCCAUGAGUGCCAUACUCCACAACUUGGCACUGUUACAUGGUUCUAGAUUAUUGACUUUUAAUUACUUUUUAAUUAUCUAAUGAUGCUUAGUCUAUAGAGUACGGUAUCCUUAGAAAUCAUAAAUAGACACUUUAAAGAAUUAAAAGCUAAAUGAGUGAUAAAUAUCUUUUUGUAAUUAGUUUAAUUGAGACCAAAAAUAGAUUUCUAAAAUGAGAUGGAGUGGGGAAGAAGUUGGGAAAAAUGACCGUGAGAUUGAGUGAUUAACUUGUAAAUUAUGCUGUGGUGUUUUGUUAAAAAUAACAGUGGCAGCUAGUUUUAUAAAUUCUGCAUGGUAAUUUUGUGAACAAGAUAGAAAAAAAUAAAAAACUAAAAAACUAAAUUAUUAUUAUUAUUAUUUUGUUGGCGUAUCUUGCUUAUUUGGAAGUGAACAUAAAUUGUAUAUUUGGAUGGACUAGAAUCUGUGAUUCAGAAAUUCAAGGAGGCACGGUCAAAUUUGGACACCCUAAGGAAGCUGGGAGCAUCCAUUCUCCAUGGAGUUGAUGCAACUGAAAUGAAGGAACAUCCUCAAUUUAGCAAGCGGAAGUUCGAUAGAAUAAUCUUCAACUUCCCCCAUGCUGGCUUUUAUGGAAAGGAAGAAGAUGACGAAGUUAUUGGUGAGCUGCCUGGUGAGUCCAUUGGACAUAUGUGUCAAUAUAGUGAGUUAAAAAUGGUUAUAAUACGAGGGAACUUGAUAGAUAAAGUGAUCCAUAUUUCUUAAUAAUUCAAGAUGCAUGUAGUGUUCAGGAGUUUGCCGUGAUAUUUCCACGUCACCAAUUCUUAAAAUGUUGGCUCCUACACCUGUUCCAUGAUCUUUCUUCUGGUAAUUAUCGCAGAAUGCAUAUGAGCCUUGUGGAAGGUUUCUUCAGAAAUGCAAGUGGUAUGCUGAGGCCAGAUGGUGAAGUUCAUGUAAGCCACAAAACAACAGCUCCAUUUUGCAAAUGACAUAUCGAUCGAGGAACUCGCCCGCAAGCACUCUUUUUCAAGACUCGACUGUGUCCAAUUUAGAAAAAAAGACUACCCAGGAUACAACAACAAGAAAGGAGCUGGUUCGCAAUGCGAUGACCAUUUUCCCUUGAGAAAGUGCAGUACCUUCAAAUUUGGAUUCUAUCGUGCUCGCAAGAGGUCUAAAGUAAUGAGUUAUGGUGGAUUUGCUGUCGAAAGACCUAAGGCUGUUCAAGAGAUUCCAAUCCAAGUGCAGAAGCGUGAAACGGAUCCAUUUGACAGGAGAUAUACUAAUGCCAGGUCAGCCACUGAUAUGAAUGAAUUUCCAUUUUGUGUGAAGUUUGAUGGUAGCUGGGUGGGUUACUCUGUUCCAAGCUUCACUGAAAUAUGACUGAUCGUCCAGGAUAUAAGAGACAAGCUUUGAUGAGCAAUGCUACGUUCCAUAAUGGCUGCUGUAAUACUCCCAACAUGAGGCUUGAAACAGUUGCUGACGACGUGCGCUAUCUUGGUCCCGAAUCACCAAUUCCAUAUGAAAGAUAUAACACGGAAGUAGCAGGAUUCCAAAGAGAAAAUGCUAGGAUUUCUGAUAAAGCAGUGGGACCAGGAAGAACCUUAAACGGAUUUUUGUAUCCUAUGGAGGGACGUCCCUGUGAGGGAACUUUGAGACCAGCACAGCCGCCAAGGAUGAGGUUGGGAUUUAGUCACUAGCUGCUUUAAGGGAGAAGUGGUGCUAUUAUGCUUUCGUGGAACAUUGAGCGACGUUUUGUCUUUAGUCGUGAAUUCUAGCUAGUUAAGCAUAUAUAGGUAUCUUAGUGCAGGUAAAAAGUUUUUAUUUGCUUUCAUUUGUGUUUGUUUUAACAAUUAAGAAUUUCAGCAAUCUGUUGGUGCGUUGCAUGGUGUUGUCAAUCUCCUAUUUGCAAAGAACUCGAUCUGUUUCCUGUUGAUAGAACUAAAUUUAGCUUAACAAGAUCGAUGAACUCAUCAAUGCAUUCACCGCAAGGAAGAUACUCCCCCGUCGGUCAAUUAAGACAUGCAAAUUAUAGUAAUGCUACAAUUAAUAUACUUUUAUCAGUGUUAUUAUGUAAUAUAUACUUAUGUGAGUGGAUGCUGCUGUGAGUUAGUGUAAUCUUUGUAUAUCUAAGACAGUAAUUUUAGAAUUGUUGUAAUUCUAUUGUCAUCAUAUCGUAAUCAGGUUUUAAUUAAAAAAAGAAAAAGAAAAUUGUGUCCCAAUGUGAUUACCUCUGCUGUAUGUUAAUUUAUGCGGAAUGAUGCAUGCUUUAAUUAUGUUUGAGUUUUCAAAAUUUUUUAAUCAAACAUAUGCAGUUGAUGAGAAUUGUCCUUAGUUUUAGAUUCGAUAAUCAUAAUUUCACUAUAUUUUCUUUUAAGAUUAAAUCACAUAGAUCUCAUCUUCAUAUUCUUAAAAAAUGUUACAAAAUCUUAUUUGCACCAUAACUUAGUAAACCCGUUCUCUAAAUCUUAUUUGGACCAUAACUUAGUAAACCCAUUCUUAGUUAGAGAACCCGCCAGCAACCCAUUCUCUUAUUUAUUUCGUAUCCUUCCCUCACAUUUUUAAUUGGCUUUUGUAAUUAAUAAGAAUAUCAACCUAAUAUACCAAAAAGAACAUUAUAAGUAUCAUAUAUUAAUGUAAAAAGAUACAUAUGUUAUAUAUAUUUUUUAUUUUUCUUGGUUUGUUAAGGUAAACAUUAUCAAACUUUUCUUUUACUAAUUAAAUAAUUUAUCUAUAACUUGUCAUGUAUUUAACCAGUAAAAUUUAAGUAUUGUUAAUAUUUAUAAGUUAUAUAUGUCAAAAUAUCAUAUUUUAGAUGUUUUAAUUUCGAAAAAUAAACAACUUAACACUUAUAUUCAGAUAUUGAAAAAAAAAAAAUAAGCAUGUUAUUCAGAUAUAUGUAUUUAAACCUAUUAAAACUUUUGUUAAAUUUAAACCAAUUCAAAUUUCAGACAAAAAAAAAAAAAAACACGCUACCUAAGUCCUGUAAAUAAAUUAAAAUACAUAAAUUAUGUGAUUUUAAAGGGCUCAUUUCAGCAAUUUAACUGGGUCGUGUACUGCCUUUUGUGAAUUACAAGACCAUGUGCGGAUUGACCAAAGAAAAUCAUAAUUUCACCAUAUUUUCUUUUAAGAUUAAAUCACAUUGAUCUCAUCUUCAUAUUCUUAAAAAAUGGUACAAAAUCUUAUUCGCACCAUAACUUAGUAAACCCAUUCUGAACCCGCCAGCAACCCAUUUCUCUUGUUUAUUUCGUAUCCUUCCCUCACAUUUUUUUCCUUUGCUAAAGAAACCUCCUUCCUAUUUUCUUAUCGUGAAGCUAUUGGAACCCCUUCUUGAAAAACCUCAAUUCAAAUAAAAUUAUAUUAUAUUAAAAAAAAUUAAACGCACUUAAAAUAUUUUUCAAUAAAUUACUUAUGUUCAUAAUCAAUUUAUUUUUUUCUACUCAGUCACUUCUGUUUAAUCAAAAUAAAUUAUAAAAAUUUAAACUAAUAUAUUUUUCUUUUUCUAUUUCUUACUGAUUAAAAAUUUUUAUACUGAAGCUUGCUUUCAAAUUAUAGUUUAAUCUAUGUGUAAUUUUAUUUAAUAAUUGACUUUAAAAAUCCAUUACUCAAAAAACUUUUUGACGUAUUGUGUAGGACAACAAGAUUAGAAAAGAAAAGAAGAAGAAAUUAAAAUAAAAAUAACUGAAAAAAAGAUUUUAUGACGAGAUUAGAGAGUUGUCAAUAAUCCAACUCAUGUCAAAAAAAUUUAUUCAAGUCGAUGUGGGUAGAAAUGGGCUUCCAAAAUAAAAUAUUUAUUACGCUUGGGCUUUGGGUUUUGGGCAAUUAAAGCUUACCAAGCCAUGGUAUUCUAGCGCCGAAAAAAAAAAAAAGCCAUGGUAUUCUUAAAAAACAAUAGCGACCGUUUUUCACAAGAAUUGGUCUUAGUUACUUUCUUUUCUGCACUCCUCCCUGUAUUCUCUUGUUAAUAUUCUGUUUUUCUUCAGUUUUUAUAAUGAAAAUGAUUGUGCAUCUCGUGAAUGUAAUCUUUUUAUGUUGAAUCAUGCAAAAACUCGUCUCAUAUGUUUUUGAAUAAUGAUAUGUCCUGUAGUUAAUUUUUUUAUAUUAUAGUAAUGAUGUGUUAUUCUUUGUGCUAAUUUUAUGCACCUAUUACUAUGGUUUUUUUCGGUACUGCCUUUUUUAAAAUUUUUUUUUUCAUUUAAUGUCUUCCAACAAAGUUUUGCUGGGAAUUUAUACAAAUACUGAAUUAAGCUACUUUAUAUAUAUAUGUUGAAUAUAUAAAAUAAAAAAAAGACUCAACCAUAGGAGUUCGGAAGGAAUCGUUUUCAUUUUAUAUGAUUACGCAUUAAUAACUUAGCCAGGACACUUUGUGUACACUGAAUGCCUCAACUUUGUAAAUUCAAUUGAUCUCGUCUUGGUUGAAGUAGAUGAUAGUAAAUAGUAUCUGAGUUUCAUUUCAAAUUCCAAAAACAAUCCUCCAUGUGAAUGGUUAAGUAGAGAUUCACAUUGCUUUCUUUUUCUUUAGAGGAAUGGCUGAUCCUUUGAUCAUGAAAUUAUAUCACGGCUAUCACAAAAACUCGAGUAAUUCUAUUCAUAUAAUCAAAAUAGAGUUGAGUUCGAGCUCCUUCAUUUUAACUGAUUUAUUAUGAUGCAUAACCACAAAUGAUGAGAUGGUGUUGGAUAUGAUAAUGGGAAUUAGUUGUCAGCGAGAAAAUUAAUUUAUCAAGAAUACAGUUAGUCGCAGAAACUCUCCUAGUUCUUGGAAGUAAUUUAAAGGAAAGGUGCAUCCAUUUGUUUGUGUAGCAUACUGUAUGGCUAGAGAGUUUCAUGCUCUUGGUCUUCGCAGUUUUCUUAUUUGUAUGGUUUGGUUUUCUUUAUUUUUUGCCGACAAAUAAACAAAUCAACUUGCAAUAAAAUAAAUAUUAAAAUAAACUGAAAAAGCUCAAAUGCCCACAAAUUCCAGGUUGUUCAGUUCAAAAUUAAUUCUAUAGUAAGUAUGAAGAAUAAAAUAUAAACAAUCAACCUGCAAGUUGAUAAUUCUGCAUUCUUAAACCAAUGUUCAAACAGGGGUAAACAUGUCUGCAAACAUAAACAAUCAUCAAACAGUGUAUGCAGAAGCAUCGAUCUGCUUUGUAAAUUAGACCUGCUGGCGUGAUAUGGCGGAGGCUGCGGUGAACUUUGCUCUAGAGACCUUGGGUCCUUUGCUUGUCGAAGAAAUCCGAUUGUGGGGAGGUGUUAGAAAAGAAGUUCAAAGCAUCAAAAGCGAACUGGAGAGUCUCAGAUCUUUCCUCAAAGAUGCGGAUGCAAGGGCAGCAGUCGAAGAAUUAGAAGGAGGCGGUGAGGAAAGUGUCAGAACUUGGGUGAAACAACUGAGGGAUGAAGCUUAUCGCAUUGAAGAUGUGAUCGACGAGUACACACUCAUGGUGGCAAAACUCCCUCAUGGGAGUGGCCUCGUUGGUGUUCUCCAUAGAAUCAGUCGUUUCAUAAAGAAGCUGAAGCUGCGGCGUGGAGUUGCUACUGAGAUUCAAGAUAUCAAAUCAGCGCUUGCUGAUAUAAAGCGAAGGGGAGAAAGCUAUCGAUUCAGAUCUAUUGAUGAACCAUCGAGCAGUGGAACCAGAAAUGUUAUCCCACAUGACUCUCGAGUUCGUUCCUUUUUCGUUGAAGAUGAUGAAGUUGUGGGCAUCGAAUCCAUUAAAGAUAAAUUGAUUGAUUUGAUGGUGAACGGAAGAUCUGAACGUUCAGUGGUUGCUGUGGUGGGUGAAGGAGGACUAGGCAAGACCACUCUUGCCGGGAAAACUUUUAACAAUGAAGGUUUAAAAACUCACUUCAGUAGCCGGGCUUGGGUCACCGUUGGGAAAGAGUACAACAAAAAUGAUUUGUUGAGGACAAUUCUAAAGGAGUUUCAUCGUGUAACAAAUGAGCCUGCUUCAGUGGAGACACACGACAUGGAAGAGAUGGAGCUGAUCACCGCGCUGAGGGACCACCUGAAGGACAAGAGUUACAUGGUUGUGUUCGACGAUGUUUGGAAGAUUGAUUUCUGGGGAGACGUGGAGCAUGCUUUACUUGAUAACAAGCAAAGCAGCAGGAUAAUUGUCACAACACGACACAUGAAUGUCGCUAAGUUUUGCAAAUCAUCUUCCCCUGUUCAUGUCCAUGAGCUUGAAACUUUGCGUCCGAAUGAAGCGUGGAAACUUUUUUGUAGAAAGGCGUUCGGACCAAGCUCCGGAGGCUCUUGUCCUUCAGAGUUGAGGGAGUUGUCCCAGGACAUCCUUGCAAAAUGUGGAGGUUUGCCUCUUGCUAUUGUGGCCGUAGGUGGACUUCUUUCAACCAAGAACAGGGUUGUAUCUGAAUGGAAGAAAUUGUUUGAUAGGUUGGGCUCAAUGUUAGGAAGCGAUCCCCAUCUAAAAGAUUGCAACCGAGUUUUAUCUGAAGGGUAUUAUGAUCUUCCUCACCAUCUCAAAUCAUGUCUUCUGUACUUUGGCUUAUUUCCAGAGAGCUACAAAAUUAACUGUGCUAGACUCAUCCGUUUGUGGAUAGCUGAGGGCUUUGUCCAGUACAGCAAACGCCCCACAUCUGAACAGGUUGCAGAAGAAUACUUGAAUGAGCUCGUUGACAGAAGCUUGGUUCAAGUUUCAGAGAGAGAUAUUUCUGGACGAGCUAGAAUCUGCCAAGUUCAUGAUCUUAUGCACGAGAUCAUCAUCAGAAAAACUGAAGAAUUGGGCUUCGGUCGUCUGCUGAACGGAGAGGACUUGAGUCGCUGCAGUAAAACUCGACGCAUUACUGUGCAGAGAAGUAUUGAUGAUGGUGCUUUAGUGAGCAUCAAGGACUCGAAGGUCCGUUCUGUUUUUCUAUUCAAUAUAGAUAAGCUGCCCGACUCUUUCAUGAAUGCAAGUAUUGCCAAUUUCAAGCUCAUGAAAGUACUAGAUCUGGAAGAUGCUCCUGUAGAUUACCUUCCUGAAGGAGUGGGGAACUUAUUCAAUUUACACUAUCUGAGUUUGAGAAAUACAAAAGUAAAAAUAAUUCCCACGUCCAUUGGAAAUCUUCUCAGUUUAGAAACUUUGAAUAUGAAAAAUACUUUGGUGAGAGAACUUCCAGUAGAGAUCAGGAAUCUUAAAAAGUUGCGUUAUCUAAUGGUGUAUCAGUACCAUUAUACCUCAGGUUCUAGUAUAACAGAAGAAGCAGCAGUAGCCAAAGUACGCGGGGGUUUGGGGUCGCUAACGAAUCUGCAGAAGUUGUCUAUUAUAGAAGCUGACUCUCAAGUGCUUAAAGAGCUUAUGAAGCUAAGGCAGCUAAGAAAGUUGGGCGUUAGGCCCCAAAAUGGAAAUGGCAAGGAUCUGUGUGCUUUGAUUGCAAAUUUGGAAAACCUAGAGACCUUAACAGUAGAAAUGACAAGCAAAGAAGAGAUGCUUGACUUGCAGUCUUUGAGUAGUCCUCCUCAAUAUCUGCAGCGUCUCUACUUGACGGGGAAUAUGAAGAAACUACCGGAUUGGAUUUUUAAACUUGAAAAUCUAAUCAGAUUGGGUUUGGACUUGUCGGGAUUGACUGAGGAGCCAAUCAGAGUCCUUCAAGCCUUGCCUAAUUUAUUGGAAUUUAGAUUCGCAGGGACAUACAACUACGAGCUUUUUCACUUUGAAGCAGGUUGGUUUCCAAAACUCCAAAUAUUGAAUCUCCUUGACUUUGUCGCGGUGAAAUCGGUUAUAAUAGAGAAAGGUGCGAUGCCUGAUAUUAGAGAACUGCGGAUUGGGCCUUGCCCGCUGUUGAUGGAGAUUCCUAUUGGAAUUGAACAUCUUAAAAACCUUAAGCUACUUGUAUUUUCUUGUAUGGUUAAACAAGUGUAUUACAUGACAAAAGACGAGAACUGGGAGAAGGUUACUGAGCAUAUACCAGAUGUCCUUGUCAUUUUUGUGAAGGCCGGGGAAGUGUUUCAUUAUCGAAAAGAGGUUCUCUCAUCUCUGUCUCCUGAAUAUGUCGAGCAAAUCUGCCGAAGAAGAGGACUCAAAUAGGGAGCAGUCAUGCACAUCUAUGAAAUAAGUAAACAGGUCUGCCACUCUCCUGCGUAUUUGGAUUAUUUUCUAUUUACUUUUAAGAAAAAUUAUUUUUCUCAUUUUUAAUUUGACAGACAAUUUAGUUAUAUAUAAUUCAAAUAAAAAUUCACCAAGGAAAUCCCUUUUUCCCUGUAAUUUGAGUACGUUUAAUAAAUAAAUAAACAAAUGCAGUAGGUCAGUAAAUCUUUUUCUAGUCAAAUAUAUAGUUAGAAUCAUAUAAUGAUUAGGUAUUAAUGUUAGUAUAGUAAUUUCCAUUAUAUUUUUUGUUACCAUGAACAGAUGGAGUAUAUAUAUCUUCCUUCUAGCGAAUUCAUUGAUGAGUUCAUCAAACCUAUACUGGAUCAGAUUGUGGCGGUAAUGCUGCUAUUGAUAUGCUUUGAGUUUCGGUAAUUAUUAUCAGUGUUAUCAUGUAAUAAAUGCUUAUGUGAGUUGUUGCUGCCGUGAGUGUGAGUGUAUUCUUCUAUAUAUCUAAGACUGAGAUUAUGAUUUUAGAAAUAUUGUAGUAUUGCAAGGAAUCGUCAUCAUAUAAUAUUUAACGUUUAAUAAUAAAAACUGUGUGCCAAUGUGGUUACCAUUGGUAUGUGAUUAAUUUGUGUGGAAUGAUGCAUUUGCCUUAAUUGUAAUCUGUAGCUUAUUGUUUUCAUCAUAACAACUUAGCAAAAAUUUGUAUCACAUGCAUUUCCAUAUUGUGAAGUUUAAUUUACUCUUCAUUUGCAUAAUUGUGCUUAUUAUUUUACAGGAAAUAUGCUGACAAUGCGCAUUAUUACGAAAAUCAUAGUAAUUUGUGCAAAUUGAUUUUGAUUUUGAUUUUUGGACAUGUUAAGCUAGACGUCUUAUAGAAUGUUUUGAAACUUGUUUCAAGUUAAUCGGAUAAGAUUUCAUUUAGUUAUGAUUUUUCAAACUUAGGUCUAAAAGCCUGGAAAUUUCUGAUUUCAGUGAAUAACAUGAAUUACGAAAUUAUUUUUACCAUAGCUAGACUUCUUCAAAAAUUAUGAAAUUUGGAUCAGUGAUUUUUAUAUAUGUCUAAUAUGAUUCUGUAUGUUUUUAUGAUUUUAUGAUAAAACAAUAAAUUGUUUUGUAUUUUUAAACAAGUAUGUUCAAAACAGAAAACUGUUUGAUAGUAUUGAUGAUGUCUGAAAUGUCAAUUUGUUUUGAUAGAUUUUAAAGGAAUUAAGUUAUGAAAUUUUUAUCAAAGAAUUUUCAAUAUGUCAGCAUAUGGUCUAUAAAAUUUGAGAUUUUUCCAAUGAGAGAAUAAUUUAUUAAAAAUAGAAAACAAGGACUGUUUCGUUUUGAGGGUCGAACAUUGAGGACAUUUGAGGUUGAGUUUAGGAGCUAUUUAAAAUGAGAUAUUUGAGAACAUUAAAGUUUAUGAUUGAGACUUGAUUAUAUCUUAUGAAAAUUUUAUUGAUAAUUUUAGGUCGACGAUAUCAGUACGCAUUUGUUACAUGAUGAUGCCAAGAAGUAAGUAAACUAGACUUCAAAACAAAUCACAAUAAACAGUAUGUAUAUGUUUGACUUGUUUGAAAAGUCUAUUUUUGAUAUUUACAUAUGUAGAUUUAUAUGUUUCUGCCCAUGUGUUUAUGUGAUGUAUUGCCAUGUGUUGAGCGUGAUUAUGUACACGGGUAUAUGUAUGUGUGAAAUUUAAUUGGCAUAAGCACGAAAAUGCAUUGAGUUUUCUAUGAAUGAGAAAGUGGAUAUUAACAAAUGAAAUUUCUACUUUAGUAAACCCGUUCUCUAAAUCUUAUUUGGACCAUAACUUAGUAAACCCAUUCUUAGUUAGAGAACCCGCCAGCAACCCAUUCUCUUAUUUAGUUCGUAUCCUUCCCUCAUAUUUUUAAUUGGCUUUUGUAAUUAAUAAGAAUAUCAACCUAAUAUACCAAAAAGAACAUUAUAAGUAUCAUAUAUUAAUGUAAAAAGAUACAUAGGUUAUAUAUAUUUUUUAUUUUUCUUGGUUUGUUAAGGUAAACAUUAUCAAACUUUUUUUUACUAAUUAAAUAAUUUAUCUAUAACUUGUCAUGUGUUUAACCAAUAAAAUUUAAGUAUUGUUAAUAUUUAUAAGUUAUAUACUUAUAUAUGUCAAAAUAUCAUAUUUAAGAUGUUUUAAUUUUGAAAAAUAAACAACUUAACGCUUAUAUUCAGAUAUUUUAAAAAGAAAAAUAAACAUUUUAUUCAAAUAUAUGUUUUUAAACCUAUUAAAACUUUUGUUAAAUUCAAACCAAUUUAGAUUUCAGACAAAAAAAAAAAAAAAACACGCUACCUAAAUCCUGUAAAUAAAUUAAAAUACAUAAAUUAUGUGAUUUUAAAUGGUUCAUUUCAGCAAUUUACCUGGGUCGUGUACUGCCUUUUGUGAGUUACAAGACAAAAGUUUACUUUCAAAUUACAGUUUAAAAUAUGUGUAAUUUUAUUUAAUAAUUGACUUUAAAAAUCCAUUACUGAAAUUUUUUUUAACGUAUUGUGUAGGACAACAAGAUUAGAAAAGAAAAGAAGAAGAAAUUAAAAUAAAAAUAACUAAAAAAAAAGAUUUUAUGACGAGAUUAGAGAGUUGUCAAUAGUCCCACUCAUGUCAAAAAAAUUUAUUCAAGUCGACGUGGGCACAAAUGGGCUUCCAAAAUAAAAUAUUUCUUACGCUUGGGCUUUGGGUUUUGGGCAAUUAAAGCUUACCAAGCCAUGGUAUUGUUCUUCAAUUCUUAGAAAACAAUAGCGACCGUUUUUCACCAGAAUUGGUCUUUGUUACUUUCUUUUCUGCACACCUCUCUGUAUUCUCUUGUUAAUAUUCUGUUCUUCUUCAGUUUUUAUAAUGAAAAUGAUUGUGCAUCUCGUGAAUGUAAUCUUUUUAUGUUGAAUCAUGCAAAAACUCUUGUCUCAUAUGUUUUUGAAUAAUGAUAUGUCCUGUAGUUAAUUUUUUUAUAUUAUAGUAAUGAUGUGUUAUUCUUUGUGCUAAUUUUAUGCACCUAUUACUAUGGUUUUUUUCGGUACUGCCUUUUUAAAAUUUUUUUUUUUCAUUUAAUGUCUUCCAACAAAGUUUUGCCGGGAAUUUAUACAAAUACUGAAUUAAGCUACUUUAUAUAUAUAUGUUGAAUAUAUAAAAUAAAAAAAGACUCAACCACAGGAGUUCGGAAGGAAUCGUUUUCAUUUUAUAUGAUUACGCAUUAAUAACUUAGCCAGGAAACUUUGUGCGCACUGAUUGCCUCUAGAUUGUAAAUUCAAUUGAUCUCAAAUGCCGACAAAUUCCACUUUGCUUCAAAAUUAACUUUAUAGUAAGUAUGAAGAAUAAAAUAUAAACAAUCAACUUGCAAGUUGAAAAUUUUGCAUUCUUAAACCAAUGUUCAAACAGGGGUAAACAUGUCUGCAAACGUAAGCAAUGAUCAAACAGUGUAUGCAGAAGCAUCGUUCUUCUUUGUAAAUUAGACCUGCUGGCGUGAUAUGGCGGAGGCUGCGGUGAACUUUGCAAUAGAGACCUUGGGUCCUUUGCUUGUCGAAGAAAUCAGAUUGUGGGGAGGUGUUAAAAAAGAAGUUCAAAGCAUCAAAAGCGAACUGGAGAGUCUCAGAUCUUUCCUCAAAGACGCGGAUACAAGGGCAGCAGUCGAAGAAUUAGAAGGAGGCGGUGAGGAAAGUGUCAGAACUUGGGUGAAACAACUGAGGGAUGAAGCUUAUCGCAUUGAAGAUGUGAUCGACGAGUACACAUUCAUGGUGGCAAAACUCCCUCAUGGGAGUGGCCUCGUUGGUGUUCUCCAUAGAAUAAGUCGUUCCAUAAAGAAGCUGAAGCUGCGGCGUGGAGUUGCUACUGAGAUUCAAGAUAUCAAAUCAGCGCUUGCUGAUAUAAAGCGAAGGGGAGAAAGCUAUCGAUUCAGAUCUAUUGAUGAACCAUCGAGCAGUGGAACCAGAAAUGUUAUCCCACAUGACUCUCGAGUUCGUUCCUUUUUCGUUGAAGAUGAUGAAGUUGUGGGCAUCGAAUCCAUUAAACGUAAAUUGAUUGAUUUGAUGGUGAACGGAAGAUCCGAACGUUCAGUGGUUGCUGUGGUGGGUGAAGGAGGACUAGGCAAGACCACUCUUGCCGGGAAAAUUUUUAACAAUGAUGGUUUAAAAACUCACUUCAGUAGCCGGGCUUGGGUCACCGUUGGGAAAGAAUACAAAAAAAAUGAUUUGUUGAGGACAAUUCUAAAUGAGGUUCAUCGUGUAACAAACGAGCCUGCUUCAGUGGAGACACACGACAUGGAAGAGAUGGAGCUGAUCACCGCGCUGAGGGACCACCUGAAGGACAAGAGUUACAUUGUUGUGUUCGACGAUGUUUGGAAGAUUGAUUUCUGGGGAGACGUGGAGGAUGCUUUACUUGAUAACAAGAAAAGCAGCAGGAUAAUUGUCACAACACGGCGCAUGAAUGUCGCUAAGUUUUGCAAAUCAUCUUCCCCUGUUCAUGUCCAUGAGCUUGAAACUUUGCGUCCGAAUGAAGCGUGGAAACUUUUUUGUAGAAAGGCGUUCGGACCAAGCUCCGGAGGCUCUUGUCCUUCAGAGUUGAGGGAGUUGUCCCAGGACAUCCUUGCAAAAUGUGGAGGUUUGCCUCUUGCUAUUGUGGCCGUAGGUGGACUUCUUUCAACCAAGAACAGGGUUGUAUCUGAAUGGAAGAAAUUGUUUGAUAGGUUGGGCUCAAUGUUAGGAAGCGAUCCCCAUCUAAAAGAUUGCAACCGAGUUUUAUCUGAAGGGUAUUAUGAUCUUCCUCACCAUCUCAAAUAAUGUCUUCUGUACUUUGGCUUAUUUCCAGAGAGCUGCAAAAUCAACUGUGCUAGACUCAUCCGUUUGUGGAUUGCUGAGGGCUUUUUCCAGUACAGCAAACGCCCCACAUCUGAACAAGUUGCAGAAGAAUACUUGAAUGAGCUCGUUGACAGAAGCUUGGUUCAAGUUUCAGAGAGAGAUAUUUCUGGACGAGCUAGAAUCUGCCAAGUUCAUGAUCUUAUGCACGAGAUCAUCAUCAGAAAAACUGAAGAAUUGGGCUUCGGUCGUGUGCUGAACGGAGAGGCCUUGAGUCGCUGCAGUAAAACUCGACGCAUUACUAUGCAGAGAAGCAUUGAUGAUGGUGCUUUAGUGAGCAUCAAGGACUCGAAGGUCCGUUCUGUUUUUCAUUUCAAUAUAGACAAGCUGCCCGACUCUUUCAUGAAUGCAAGUAUUGCCAAUUUCAAGCUCAUGAAAGUACUAGAUCUGGAAGAUGCUCCUGUAGAUUACCUUCCUGAAGGAGUGGGAAACUUAUUCAAUUUGCACUACUUGAGUUUGAAAAAUACAAAAGUAAAAAUAAUUCCCAAGUCCAUUGGAAAUCUUCUCGGUUUAGAAACUUUGGAUCUGAAAAAUACUUUGGUGAGAGAACUUCCAGUAGAGAUCAGGAAUCUUAAAAGGUUGCGUUAUCUAAUGGUGUAUCAGUACAAUUUUACCGCAGGUGUUGCAAUAGAAGAAGCAGCAGCGAAAUUACCCGAGGGCNNNNNNNNNNNNNNNNNNNNNNNNNNNNNNNNNNNNNNNNNNNNNNNNNNNNNNNNNNNNNNNNNNNNNNNNNNNNNNNNNNNNNNNNNNNNNNNNNNNNGUUAUGUUUAUAAAAGGUGAAAAUAUAUAAAAUAACAUUUGAUUCCAAUUCCAUAAUGCAAAAUCAUUAAAACACAGAGAAGUAAAGACUGAUGCAAUUGAUAACCCAAAUGGAAAAAAAAAAAAAUGAAAUCUGAUGAUUUAAUAAAUACCUCGAGAGCAUCCAAGUAACAUGCUUUGUUUAGCAACAGAUCCAUAUUGAACUCAAUGUCAUCUUUGCCUACGUCUUCUCCCAUUUUAGCCAUUUCAUCGAGCUCCUCAAACACCCAGACUGCCGGGCUUCCGACAGUCCGACUGGGGAGAUCUUUUCCGUUGAACCCCAAAAAGCACUUGUUGUUUGGUCUCGUGUUGUUGUUGUUGACAGCCGGGAAGCUCCCAAUAAGUUUGCAUGACUAAAUUGGGUUUUCUUAAUCCUGUGCAAAAUAGCACCCAACCGUAACAUCAGUGCAGCCUACUGAGAUAUUGUACAUGGAAGAAGAAAGUGAUAGCCGAUUGUUAUAAAAUAUAUAUCCAAAGGUUUCUUGGGAAAGAAGCAAUCAAUGACUGUCAGUUAUGGGGGUAAAUUUGUAAUUGUAAUCAACGACGGUUUUUAGGUAGCGUUUACUUUUUGGAUUGGAUUGGGAAUCCUGGGGAGUGGGAAUCCUAGGAUUGGGAGUGUGGAGUGGGAGUGGGAGUAGGUUGUUUACUUACACUGGAAUGGAAGCAUGGAAUGGAGAUCAGAAUUCAAUUUAUGUGUUUACUUUGUCUUGGAUUGGAAGUAAAUAGUUUCAAAUUACAAUUUUAUCCUUAUUUAAAGAAUUAUAAUUUUUAAUUACAAAACUAAUAAAAAAUAUAUUUAAUGAAUAAUAUUUAUUUUAUUAUAUUUGUAAAUUUAUUAUAAUUAUUAAUAUUCUUAAUUAUGAACAAUAAAUUAUUAAUUGUAAUUUUAAUAUAAAAUGAAAUGUUAUUUUAUUUUAUUUAAUAUAAUUAUAUUAAAUUUAUUAUUAUAUAAAAUAAUAAUAUAAUAUUAUUUAGUACAAAAUUAAUAUUUUCUUAGAAUAAAGUAUUUAUUAUUAUUAUUAAAUAAAUAUAGUACUAUUAUUUUUAAAAUAAAUAAUAAUAUUAUAUUUAUUAAUUCUCUAUUAAUAUAAUAAUAUUAUUUUAAAAUAAUUUUAACUUAGAAUCAAUGUAAAUUAUUAUUUAGUUAAAUAUAAUAUUAUUAUUUAAAUAAAUAUAAUAUUAUUUAUUUUAUUUUAUUAAUUAUAAAACAUAAAAUAAAAAAAAAAGGUAGNNNNNNNNNNNNNNNNNNNNNNNNNNNNNNNNNNNNNNNNNNNNNNNNNNNNNNNNNNNNNNNNNNNNNNNNNNNNNNNNNNNNNNNNNNNNNNNNNNNNNNNNNNNNNNNNNNNNNNNNNNNNNNNNNNNNNNNNNNNNNNNNNNNNNNNNNNNNNNNNNNNNNNNNNNNNNNNNNNNNNNNNNNNNNNNNNNNNNNNNNNNNNNNNNNNNNNNNNNNNNNNNNNNNNNNNNNNNNNNNNNNNNNNNNNNNNNNNNNNNNNNNNNNNNNNNNNNNNNNNNNNNNNNNNNNACUUAUAUCAUUUGAUAUAUACAUCAUAAUUAGAGCACCACUCAUAUAUUUACAAUUAAAUUUUUAUUGAGAUCAACCUACAUUAAUUCUGUUGUGACACACUUCAAACUAAUUACACAAUAUUUACAAUCAGCUAUUUAUGGUGAUUGAUCAAAAUCAAUUUCAUUAUUGCACAGCCCAACCCAAGUAUUGUAAUAUUUACAGGCGUAAGAGUAGCUGGGAUGCACGGGUUAGGUGACAGUGGGCUCAGAGUCAGUUUCAUUAUAAGCUUCUUCUAAUAUUUAAGAUCUAUUUGCUAUAAUAAUAAUUUUACUUCGUUGAGAUAUUUAAUAUGUAUACCAACAGAUGUGUAAGUGAUUAUGUUGUAUUAUUUGAUUGGUUCAAGUGAACUUAACUACUCAGUCUUAUCAUUUCAUAUCUAAAUGAUAAAUUUAUAUUGGUGACACAUUAAUUAGUACACCAAUUAAGAAUCCUAACUAAAUGAAUAUAACAUUUCGUUACUCAUGAAGCAUAGUUAUAGUGGAUAUUUCACUCUCAUUUCUCCACAUCAUCCUCCACUUCUCAAUUCACCCCACUAAAAAUUUUAAAAUAAUUUUUUUAUCACUCAAUUUAUCCUGUCUAAUCCUCACUUUACUCUUAUGACAAUUUUUAUCCUCUUCUCAUACACUCCACCGUAUAAAACUUUAAAAAUCUGCUUUAAAAACGAAAAGGGACUCUUUGAUAAUCUCUGUGGGUUCAUUAUCAGUGCAGCCGUGGGUUUCUUUCAAAUAUUAAAAAUGUUUCUCAAUUAUAAUCUCCCAAAUUGCCAUCGUAGAACAAAAACACUCAACAAAAGCCAAAAAAAUAAAAAUAAUAAUAAAUGCUUGAUAGAAAGUGGAUUAGAUUAACAAAAGAAACGAAACAUAACAUUGCAUUUUUCGCCUUGAAAAUGGAAUUGAAAGGCCCUCUCAAUUUGUUUCUCUACCUCUGUUAUAACAGGAAUGACAUUUUCGAAAAAAUGAUUAUAAAAUAAUGUAAUGAAGAAUCUCUUUGAAUCUAGCUGUUGGAGAUCUUCUAAUCUAACCUCUCUUUAUAAUUUAUUAUGAUAUUUAAUUAGAGCAAAGUUUAGACCAGACUUUACAGAUUGUUAACUUUAAACAUUCAUUGCAUACUUUGCUGUUUGUAGGGUGAAGAAAGGAAGUGAAAAUAUUAAUCCUAUUACUGUUACACCUCAUAAAAUAUUAAAGGUUUCAUAAAUACCCAACAAGUUACCAACUCUAGAAACUGGAUAAAAAAAAUUUACGAGUAACAUUGUUUGGUUUUGAAAAUAAAAAAUAAGACUGUAAGUUCCCAAUUGAAAAAAUGAAAAAUAAAAACAAAUCAGUUGCAUAUUCUAUUGCUUGAAGAUUAUCAAUUAAGAGCAUGAAUUGGAUUCUAGCACAUAACUCUCUAGUAAGGAUAAGAGAAAAUUCUCUUUUUAAAAAAAAUACUAUUUCAUUUAAAGGUAUCAUAGUGAUAUUUUGUUAAAGAGAGGCUUAAAUAUCACUUUAACAAAAAUAGAAUUAUAUAGAAUGAAGUUCUGUGAUAAAGAAUUAAAUUGUGUGAGAUAUAAUAAGAUAUAAACAAAAGACUGUUUUGAUACAUAAAAGAGUAUAGAAUAAAAAUUAAUUUUAAAAUUUAUUAAAUGAGUGUAAAAAUCAAAUGAUAUUCAAAAUUAAAUGUAGAGUGCAAAUAAUUCAUUCUAAGAUUAUCUUUAUCGUCUUAAUGUUGCACUAAUCAGUGUCCUUAUAAAAGUCAAAAUUCUCUCGAAUUUUCAUAUUAAAAUUGAUAUUUUAAAGCACACAAUUACAGUACAGUACAUCCUGAGGAUUAUUUAUACAUGAAUUUCUCGUUAAAACACAGACCAGCUGAGUCUACAGCAGAGAAAAGAAACAAAAAUGUAAUAGCUAGAAAUCAGUUAAUCUAAAUCUAUAUAAUAUGGGGACCAAAGCAACAGUUAUUGGGAGUUCUCUGGUGGAGCCUUCGAUUCUGGAGCUGGCAAAUAAUCAGCCACUGAUCACAGUUCCUCCACGUUAUGUUCGCGCUGAGAUAGACCAUCCCCUGAUUCGCAACGACGAUUCUUCAACACGACAACUUCCAGUCAUUGACAUGCACAGGCUGCUCUCUGGGGAUGACUCAGAGCUUGAGAAGCUUGAGCAUGCAUGUAAAGACUGGGGUUUCUUUCAGGUACAUAAUAAUUGAGCAGUGAUAUUCAGAUAAUAAAAAUACUUGAUCGCAAAUCAUUGCUUUUGUUAGCGUUCUUUCGGCUCUCGGUGUUUUUAGCAUUUUCCAUAAAAAUCAUUUUAUUUCCUGAGCUUUAAGUUUCCUAUAAGAACCAUGUAUGGAAAGAACAGCUUGUUUUAAUCUGCAUAUAUGCAGUUGAUGAAUCAUGGAGUGAGCAGUUCAUUGGUGGAGAAAGUGAAAGAAGGAUUCAAGACUUCUUUAAUCUUCCAAUUGAUGAGAAAAAGAAAUUUUGGCAGCAGCCAGGGGAUAUUGAGGGAUUUGGGCAGCUUUUUAUUACGUCUGAGGAGCAGAAGCUUGAUUGGGGAUACGGCUUUACUAUGUUCACUCUCCCAACCCAUCUGAAGAAACCCCACUUGUUCCCCAAGUUGCCUCUCCCAUNNNNNNNNNNNNNNNNNNNNNNNNNNNNNNNNNNNNNNNNNNNNNNNNNNNNNNNNNNNNNNNNNNNNNNNNNNNNNNNNNNNNNNNNNNNNNNNNNNNNNNNNNNNNNNNNNNNNNNNNNNNNNNNNNNNNNNNNNNNNNNNNNNNNNNNNNNNNNNNNNNNNNNNNNNNNNNNNNNNNNNNNNNNNNNNNNNNNNNNNNNNNNNNNNNNNNNNNNNNNNNNNNNNNNNNNNNNNNNNNNNNNNNNNNNNNNNNNNNNNNNNNNNNNNNNNNNNNNNNNNNNNNNNNNNNNNNNNNNNNNNNNNNNNNNNNNNNNNNNNNNNNNNNNNNNNNNNNNNNNNNNNNNNNNNNNNNNNNNNNNNNNNNNNNNNNNNNNNNNNNNNNNNNNNNNNNNNNNNNNNNNNNNNNNNNNNNNNNNNNNNNNNNNNNNNNNNNNNNNNNNNNNNNNNNNNNNNNNNNNNNNNNNNNNNNNNNNNNNNNNNNNNNNNNNNNNNNNNNNNNNNNNNNNNNNNNNNNNNNNNNNNNNNNNNNNNNNNNNNNNNNNNNNNNNNNNNNNNNNNNNNNNNNNNNNNNNNNNNNNNNNNNNNNNNNNNNNNNNNNNNNNNNNACACGUCGCUUGCAUAAAAGCUAAGCUGUUAGCAUAGGAUAUGUAGUUGAUGACUAGUUUCAUCUAAUUUUUUCCUCCUCUUGAUUAUACUCUCUAACUUUUUUUUUUUUUAGGUUCAAUUUAUGAUCCUGUAGAUUUUUAGCAAUGGAACUUAUCGUGAUAUUGAACAUCGUGUGACUGUAAACUUAAUGAAGGAAAGGUUAUCUUUCACUACAUUUUACAACCUAAAAUUAGAUGGAGAAUUGGGUCUAGCACCAAGUCUUAUGAAAUUUCCAUGCGGAUACACUUUAAAACCACAUGGUUUAAAAGAAUUAGUUUUUAAAUCUUUUAAAACUCACAGUUUUAUAGUUCAUUCACAAACUAUUUUUUUUUAAAUCACACAGUUUAAAAUUGUGACCGCAUUAAUAAAAAUGCGGGCGUCCGCACCUGAGAAUAAAUUUUAUUGAAUAUUGAUAAAUUAAAAAAUAAAGUCGUGAAACAUAUACUAAGGUGACGUUUGUUUUUUAACUUAAUGACUUAAAGUGACUUAACUUAAUUAAUUAAGUUAAUUAGAUGUGUUUGUUUUUAUAACUUAAUGAGACUUUUUAGAUAAUUUUGACUUAAUAAAAUAAGCUAAUUUUUUUGGGUUUUUACUUAAUGGAGAAAUUUGAAUUAAGUCAAUUACUUGCUAAUGUCAAAAAUAUCCCUGUUUUAUAAUUUAUUUUUCACGUCUAUCCCAAAACUCACCCAUAGAUAUUUACCCCACAUAAAAAUAUCUCUGUUUUUUCUUUCUUAUAUUAUAUACGAUAAAAUUUGAAAUUUAUGGUAUUUUAUAUAUUAAAAUUCUAAAAUAAUUAUGUAUUCACUUGAAUAUAGUUUUACUUAUAAAUGUUAAAAUAUUGUGGUAUUUAAUAUAUUAUUUAUUUGACAUUCAAAUUUAAUAAGGAUACAAAUGUAAAAGUACAUAUUUUCAGCUUUUUAAGUUGAAAAAAACAAACAACUUAAUACUUAUUUUUUGAGAUUCAGACAAAAAAAUAAACAUAUUAUUCAUAUUCAGACAUUCAGACUAAUUCAGAUCUAUUCAGAUUUCAGACAAAAAAACAAACGCCACCUAAGUGUUGAUCUUGUAGCAAUGAUAUUUGCAGUAUUGGAGAAUUAUUGAUGGAAUAUAAAAACAAAAGAAGAAGAAUUGGGGUAGAGAUCGUGCAUAAAGAAAAAAAAACGCACACACACACACGUGGUACUGAAUUUUUUUUAUUUUAUUUCUUAAUAAUUAAGGAUAAUUUUUUUUUAUGUCAUAAUAUAUUUAAAAUUAUUUAAGUAUAAAAUUUGUUCUCAAAAUUAAAGUUAUCAAUAAUUUUAAGAAAAUUACCAAACAAAAUUAAAUUUUAAUAUUUUAAAAUUACUUUUGAGUAAAAUAGUAAUCUUAAAUGAGCCCUUAUUCAAUUACCAGGAUAAAACGAAAAUGAAUUUAAAUUUAAAGGACUUAAAUUAUAAUGCAGUUUAAAAAGUCACGGUCCCCUUCUAAAAUUCGUGAUUUCUACCAACGAUGCGGACCGAUCAACUAUGAAAUAUCCCAAUAGUUUCGUAACUUCUAUGAUUGGGCACGCGAACUUGACAGGCAUUGUCAUUGUUGUAUAUUUGUCUAUAUUUAAUUUACGAUUUUACGACGUAACACUUGAAAAAAAAAAACAUAAAAUUGUGUACACAAGUUUGUGUGGUCAGCCUGGUUUUAUAUUUCAAAAUGCCAGUUUUGUGGGAUUAGUACCAAUCUAAAGAUAAACCACACAAUGUGACACUACAUGGAUAAGAAUACUAUUCUACUGUGAAAUCUUAGCUUACCUUAGCUUUAAUUGAACGAACGUUUGGGAUAGACAAAUGAUAUUUGAACACUAUAAUGGCAUUAGGAUAUAAUACAAGUGAUGGUAGGUUGCGUAAAUGAUCCGCAUCAUUUUAGUGUGCCACAAAAUUAUGAUUUAUUGAAUAAUAAUAUUAUAGAGUGAUGUUAUUUGUACCCUAAAUUUUAUUUUAAAGACUGUAAUUUUUAAUAAAAAUAUUAUUACAAAAACUCCUCCAAUAUCAUUUACUAAUAAAGACAAUUCAAUUUAAGUUAAUGGAAUAUGAUUACUCUUCACACCAUUGAACGCACAUUCAAUUCAAUAAUCCAAUUACAAAACCCUGUAACUUUCUUUAACAAUAAAUCUAAUUUAUCAUUCGUAAAAGAAAAUAUUAAGGGUUUAAUAAAUAACCAACAAGCUACCAACAACAGCAAUUGAAAAAAAAUUUUUAUUUAUGCGGAAAAAAUGAGAAACAUUAUUUUGAUUUAAAAAAUUAAAAAUAAAACUGUACGUUUCAAACCCCCAAAAAGAAAAAGGAAAAAUAAUAAGAAAUCAGCUGCAUAUUGCUGCUGCUUCAAAAUUAUCAAUUGGAAAUACAAACUUGACUCCAGUCUAUAACUCUCUGGUAAAAUGAAGAGACAUUUCUCUUUUGACGGAAGUUUAUUUCAUUCAAAGAGAUGAGGGUCAUUUUUUUUUUUCAAGAGAUUUGAAUAUCAUUAACAAUAAUAGAAUUACAUAGAAUAAAGUUCUUUAGUCAACAAAGAAUUAAAUUGGGUGAGACGUAAGAUAUAAAUGGAGGACUAUUUUGGUAUUUAAAAGAAUGUGCUCAAUAAAAUCAAUUUUUAAAAUUUAUUAAAUGAGAGAACGAGUGUACAGAAUAAAGUGAUACUGUAAAAUCUAGAUUUCAAAUAGCCCCAUAUUAAGUCAUGGUUUGUCUUUUUAUUUUAAUUUUGAAAUAGGUUUGAAUGUUACUGAAGUUUGAAUGGCUUUGAAUGCUUAAGCUAGAAUAAUAUGUUUGGUUUUUAUUUUUUGGCAUCUGAGUGUAAGUGGUAAGUUGUUUGUAUUUUUACACUUAUGACUAGCUUAAAUAGAUAUGUAUUCAUAGUGUUUUCUAGUACAAUAGUUUUUAUAUGUUAUAAAUAUUUACAAGAAAAAUAAUUGAUAUAUAAUUUAUGAAAAAUAAUUUUGGUAACAUUAAUUUUUACAAUUUAGCAUAAUAUUUAUACAUAAAAAAAGUUGUUAUCUAUUAAUAAAAGAUUUUUUUUUUUAAAUUCAAAUUGAAUGUAUGUUAAAUACUUAAUAUGUAGUAAAAUUUCUUAUCUAUUGCCGCUGGAAGAUGGUAUCUCUACUGGAAGUCUUACUGUUAGAAUAUUUCCAUUAAUCUUUCGAAGUUUUGUUGGGUAACUUGGCUUGAUGGCUAGAAUUUGAAUUGCUUUUCUUAGAUUUUAAUUGGGAUUUAACUAUUGUUUUAUAUUUUAGAUUUUUUUAUAUUUGGGAUGUUUUAUUAUGUAUUGGUGGUGACGACAUUGAAUACUAGAUGUAUUUGUUUUGAAAUUAAUUUGUUGGAUUGAAUGGAGGUUAAUUAAUAUUAAUUACUUUUAGUUUUUUUGAUGAUAUUCAUUUUUAUUAGUUAAUUAAAUUUGUAAUCAGGAAUUCACAAAUAAAUUAUAAUCACAAUAGAAUUUUUUUUAAAAAAAAUUGACUUUAUGAUGGGAAAUAAUGAUCAUAAUGUUUGUCAUAAAACAUUUUGAGCCAAAAUUCAAUAAUAAAUUUACAAAUGAUAAUUUAAUUUCCCACCAAAAAUUUAAAAAAAUAGCGCAAAAAUAUAUAUAAAUUCAAAUUUUAAUUUAAUUAUUUUUCACAUUAAGAUAUUGUGUGACGUAUAUAUAACUGUAAAAUACUAUCAUGAAUUCAUGAUGGAAAAUAUUUUGUCAUAAAUUAAUGACAGUGAAAUAGAUGACAGAUGAACUGUUUGUCAUGCACCCCCUUUUACAAUAGUUAUUUCUCGUCAUCUAUUACCUGUUUUCUUGUUGUGAAAAUAGAUAUAACUUUAAAUUAUCUUCUUUUUUUUUAAGUAUAUUUAAUAAUGUUUAGACAUGCCUUUUUCUCUUUAAAACAAGUAAAAUUGCAUAAAGUGAAAAAAGAACUCUAUAAAUUUGUUAUAUAAAAAAUAUGAUUAAAAUUCAUACUAAUACAUAACUGAGAUAAAAUAAAAAAGUAGUAUGUAUUACAUUCGUAUUAAACUUGAUGCAAUAAACACCAUAACUAUAAUAUAUAUAUAUAUAUAUAUAUAUAUAUAUAUAUAUAUAUAUAGAGAGAGAGAGAGAGAGAGAGAGAGAGAUUGAAUAUUAAAAACCAUGGUUAUAAAAUUAAUUUUAAAAGUUAUGGUUAAUUUUCAUGUGAAAUUGUUCAAAGUUAAAAAAAAAAAUUUGCAUAAUUAUAUACAUACGUUUUUUAAUCUUAUAAUAGAAAAUAAAAGUAAAAUAUAAAAAAAAAUACAAACUUACUAGGUCAAAACUUUGAUACUAGAGAGAAUAUAUAAUAGUUGUGUCGGUAAUUUGAUUGUGAUGGUAAUGUGAUAUCUAAUGGUUUAAUAUUAUGGUGUAUGAGAAAGUAAGACAAUUAUUUUUUUAAUUAAAAUAUUAAGGCUAUAAUAGGAACUUUAAAAAGGUAUGAUAGUUUAUUUAAUAAGCUGCUUAUGAAAAGUAACUCUCUACUUACUUUUAAAAGUUGUUGUCAAAAUGGAGAAAAUGAUUAAAUAAGCAACUUUUACAAAAUUUACCAAACAUUAUUUUUGUCACAAAUUACAAAAUAAGUUGCUUAUUGAGUUUCAACAUCAAUUCCAAACGGGGCAUAUAUUAUUAAGUCAGCACCAGUUAGUCAUUUAGGUGCAAUAAGCAGUCUCUAUUAGAAAAUUCUGGUACAAGUGGCAGAGGGAAAGAAGUAAUAGAGUAAUAGGAUUCUCAUAUAACUAAUUAUCACCACAUUAUUGAAGUCCAAAAAGCUAUUAAGCUAUAUGGCUUGAUAACUUUUCCGAACUUUAAUAAAUCCAUGUUUUAGAUUGGAAUGUGCGUAUAUAAUUCACCUUAAAUUUUAUUAAAUAUUUAAAAACACAUAUUAACCUAAGUGUUGAUCUUGAAACAAUAAUAUUUACAUUAUUACAGAAUUCUUGAUGGAAUGGAAAAUAGAAAGAAGAAGAAUUGGGGUAAAGAGCGUGCACGAAGAAAAAAAAAAGAAAAUCAAAAUAAUAACGAUCUUAAAUUUUCUAAUUUUAUUAGUUAACUAAUUAAAAAUAAUUUUGUUUUAUGAAAAUGUGUAACAAUAUAUGCGAAAUUAUGUUAAGUAUAAAAUUGAUUCUUAAAUUCAAAUUUUGUGGUGAUUUAAAAAAAAAUUAUCAAAAUUAAAUUUUUGAGUUAAAAAAUUAUCAAAAUUAAAAUUUUGAUUUAAAAAAAUAUCAAAAUUAAAAUUUUGAUUUAAAAAAAUUAUCAAAAUUAAAUUUUAACUUUUAUAAGUGACUUUAGAGUCUCAAUAGUAAAUCUUAAAUGAGUCCUUAGUCAAGAUGAAACAAAAACAAAUGUAAAUUAUUUUAAAAAGUCAGCGUGCCCCUUAAAUUUCGUAAUUUCUACCAACGACAAGGACCGAUCAACAAAAAAAAAAUCCCAAAAAUUUCGUAAUUUCAAGAUUGGGGACGUGAACUUGAUAGCGAUAGUUGUCCAUUUUGUCAUUGUUGUAUGCCUGUCUGUAUCUAUUUUACUACUGUAUGCUCAAUUCAAUAAUUAGGGUACACAAUUUUGUGUGGCCAGCCUGGUUUCAUCAUUCAAAAUGCCAAUUUAGUCGUAUUAGUACCAAUUCAAAAAUUAAUCACGCAAAUGCGAGAAGAGAUGGAUACGAAUACUAACCAAGUCGAUAACAAUCCUUUGGCAUUCUGAUCUUAUCUGAGCUUUAGUUAGGGGAGCGUUGACAGAGACAAAUGAUAUUUAAACACUAUAGUGACAUUAAGAUAUGACUGAAGUGAUAGUACUGCGUGCAAACAAACAGUACAUACCAUUUUGGUCUGCCAUAGUGUUAUUGUUCAAUGAACAAAACAUUAUGGGUGGAACGUUAUUGCAAAAGAUACGAAUACUAAGUGGAUAAAAAAGAAAUAAAACUGUAAGUUUUAUUGCAAAAGAUACGUUAUUGCAAAACAUUUAUUUUUAACAUUUAACAUUAUUUUGUUUUUAAAAAAUAAAAAAUAAAACUGUAAGUUCCGAUUAAAAAAAAUGAAAAAGAAAAACAAAUCAGUUGCUUAUUACUAUUGCUUGAAGAUUAUCAAUGAAGAACAUGAAUUGGAUUCUAAUAUAUAACUCUCUAGUAAAGAUAAGAGAAAAUUCUCUUUUUUUUAAAAAAAAAAAUAUAUUAUUUCAUUUAAAGACAUCACAGUGAUAUUUUGUUAAACAGAGACUUAAAUAUCUUGUUAACAAUAAUAGACUUAUUUAGAAUGAAGUUCUUUGAUAAAGAAUUAAAUUGGGUGAGAUAAUAAUCAUAUAUAAAUAAAAGACUGUUUUGGUAUAUAAAAGAACGUAUAGAAUAAAAAUUAAUUUUUAAAAUUUAUUAACUGAGUGUAAAAAAACAAAUGAUAUUCAAAAUUAAAUUUAGAGUGUAAAAAAUCGAAUGAUAUUCAAAAUUAAAUGUAGAGUGUAAAUAAUUCCAUUAUAAAAUUAAUUUUAUCGUGUUAAUGUUGCACUGAUUUGUGUCCUUUAAUAAAAGUCAAAAUUCUCUCGAAUUUUCAUGAUAAAAUUAAUAUUUCACUGCACCCAGUUACAGUACAGUACAUCUAGAGGACUAUUUAUAUAUGAGUUUCUUGUCAAAACACAAACUAGCUAAGUCUGCAGAAGAGUAGAAGAAAACAAAAAGGUGAUAGCUAGAAAUCAGUUAAUCUAAAUCUAUAUAACAUGGAGGCAAAAGCAACAGUUAUUGGGAAUUCUCUCGUGGAGCCUUCGAUUCUGGAGCUGGCAAAUAAUCUGCCACUGACAACUGUUCCGCCACGUUAUGUUCGCCCUGAGAUAGACCAUCCCUUGAUUCGCAACGACGAUUCUUCAGCACAACAACUUCCAGUCAUUGACAUGCACACGUUGCUCUCUGGGGAUGACUCAGAGCUUGAGAAGCUUGACUCUGAUACCAAUUGUUGGGAAAAAUUAUCUUUUGAAUUUUUAUAAAACCUUUUGAAGAUCGCUCUCAUAUAAUAUAUAAGAAUUUGUAUUCUAGAAAUCGUACCUUGAAAAUCCGAGUUGGCUUUUUCCGCUGAAGUGAUUUAGGCUCCUAGAUCACGAUCCGCCACCACCACUCCUGUUAGAUCACGAUCCGUCACCACCACGCUUGUUAGAUCACGAACUGUCACCAAUGAUCUUCCAGGUUAUGACUCAGGUUCGAUCUGCACUUGACGUGUGGGCGCCUUUAUCACUACCAAAGCAACUAGCACGAGAAAAUUUUUCUCUCAACAAUAGAGAGAAAAAUCUUAUUCUCCAAUUUGUAUAAAGUGGCUUCUCUCUUUUCCUUUAGAGAAAAUAAACCUUAUAUAUCUUCCUUUAGUGAAAACCCUAGGCUCCAAAUAAUUCAAAAAACAAAACCCACGUUAUUUUCUUUUUCAAUAGGGGACCCACCUUGUAAAAUAACAUAAGGCCCCUUAUACAAAAGCUAAUUAAAUGGAGCCUCCCACUAAAUGAUAUAUUUAGGCUUUUGACCCAAAUAGCUAGUUAUCUUACUUAUUAGUCCAGUAGUGGUGCAGUCAAUUAAAUGAGCUAACCCGGGGAUCAUUUGGGAACAUACAAUAGUGGCUACAAUAAUUAGGCCUUUAAUUAAACUAGCCCAAUUAUUUAAUUCCAAAUCUACUCCACUAAAAGAUUGGAACUGACUUCCAUAAUUGUAUGCUCGAAUAAUAAUUCGCCCCAAGCCACAUUGAUUUCUUUACUGCACAAUCCUUUGUACCACAUCGUUAAUUAAAUUGAUAUCUCAACUGUCCAAUCAAUUUAAUAACAUCUUAUUCCUUGAUCCUUACUGGUUUUCUCUAAUGAUCAUUUUCAACAUACUAAAUAUGUUGACACACUCUGGCCAGAGAAUUCUAUGAUCAAGUACCGAAAACCUAUCAAGAGAUGUGUUGUACAAAUUCUAUAUUGUUAAUCCAUAACUCCAAUACUCAUAAUUGCUCCCACCAAGAUACCGGGUAAUCUUGACCACAAGGAUGUGUCGUGCCCAUUGGUAACUCAAAUGAAAUAACAAUCACAAUCAUGAAAUCAUAAUUAACUCAAGAUUAAGAUUACAGUAAAAUCAACGCCUAUGAGAUUUAAUAAGUCUGACAGUUAUUACAAAGUUAAUUAAAUCUCAUAUGUGAUCCUGUUCAAUGUAGUCGUACUACAUCAAUAAAUUCAUACAUGAUUAAGACAAAUCAUUCAAUGAAUUUAUUACAGUCUAUACCUAAAUAAAGUGCCCAACUUUAUUUAUCAACUGCGAACUAAAUUUAUUUAAUCAUAAGAUAACUUGUAUUUAUGUCUUCUGUGAAUCCACAUGGUGAUCACAUAAAUACAUAUAAUAUGAUUAAAUGGACUUUAAUACAAAUAUUAAUGCAAUUAAGAUAUUUGAAUAAAAUACCUCAUUUAUUUUAUUAAUCAGAAAAAUUGUUUAUUACAAUUAAAUAAACACAUAUGCUUUUAAAGAGCAUAUUUUCCCAACAAUCUCCCACUAGCUCUCAAAGCAUAUCUGGCAUAUUGCACAUGCUCUAGGGCUCUAAGUGCAGGUUAUAAAGGUUUCCCACUAAUGGCCAUUGUAAUAAGAUCUGCCAUUUAGCAUCUAAUGCCAUUUGGGGUACUGUCAUAUAACCUUUCUACACUAUUCCCUUAUAAGAUGAUACUUCCUUUCAAUAUGUUUUGUUUCUUGUGGUUCCUUGGUUCCUUAGAUUGAGCUACCGCACCACCAUUAUCACAAAAUAGUUUAAGGGGUGCAGUUACAACAGGUACCACCUCAAGAUUUCGUAGGAACUUGCAGAGCCAUAUAGCUUCUUUUGCAGCUUCAGAUGUAGCCACAUAUUCAGCUUUAGUUGUUGAGUCUGUGAUACAAGAUUGUUUCACACUCAUCCAACUAGUAGCUCCACUUCCCAAUGUAAACACAUAGCCGGAAGUUGAUUUUCUAAAAUCCUUAUCUGACAAAAAAUCAGAAUUAGUAUAACCCACUAGAAUAAGUUCAUCACCAGAAUACACAAGCAUAUAAUUUUAAGUUCUUUUCAGAUACUUCAUUAUAUGCUUGACCGCAGUCCAGUGUUCAGGUCCAGGAUUAGAUUGAUAUCUACUAACCAUCCCUACCGCAAAACAGAUGUCUGGCCUAGUGCAAAACAUGGCAUACAUGAGACUUCCCACAGCUGUUGCAUAGGGAACUCGUCUCAUUCUCUCUAUCUCUUCAGAUGUUUUAGGUGAUUGAUCCUUAGAGAAUGUAAUUCCAUGUCUGAAUGGUAAUAAACCAGUCUUGGAAUUUUCCAUACUAAAUCUAGCCAAUAUCUUAUCGAUAUAGACCGCUUGAGACAAGGCUAAAGUUUUAUUCUUCCGGUCUCAUAGUAACUUGAUACCAAGAAUAUAACUUGUCUCUCCCAGGUCUUUCAUAUCAAAUUGUUUUGCUAACCAAAUCUUUAUUGUAGUCAAUACUCCUAUAUCGUUUCCAAUCAGGAGAAUAUUGUCUACACAAAGAACUAGGAAGGCUACAAAUUUUCCCUGAAUUUUCUUGUACACACAUGGUUCAUCAAUGUUCUGAAUGAAUCCAAGUGAUUUAAUCGCUUGAUCAAAUCUGAUGUUCCAUGACUGGGAUGCUUGCUUCAAUCCAUAAAUAGAUCUCUGCAACUUACAUACCAUGUGUUCUUGGCCUUUUUUGUAUAAAUCCAUCUGGUUGCUGUAUGUAGAUGUUUUCUUCAAGAUGCCUGUUAAGAAAGGCAGUCUUGACAUCCAUUUGCCAAAUUUCAUAAUCUAGCACUGCAGCAAUGGAGAGCAGAAUCCUGAUGGAUUUAAGCAUAGCAACCGGAGAAAAGGUUUCCUCAUAAUUGAUUCCUUCUUUCUGAGUAAACCCUUCGGCUACUAAUCUUGCUUUAAAUGUUUCCACCCUUCCGUCUACUCCUCUUUUUCUCUUGUAGAUCCACUUGCACCCUAUAGGUUUUACCCCAUUUGGUGCCUCUACAAGUUCCCAGACUUUAUUGGAAUACAUAGAUUCCAUUUCUUGAUUCAUGGCCUUUUUCAAAAUUCAUCAUCUCUAUCUAUUAGAGCUUCAUUGUAACUAGUGGGAUCUUGUACAUGUUCAUCUAAGAUAGCCUUAUAGGUUUCUCCCAAAAACAUGUAUCUUGCAGGUAACCUAGUUACCCUCCCACUACGACGAGGUUCUAAAAGUGAUGAUUGUUCAAGGAUAAUCCUGUGCUGAUCAGCUGGUUGUUGCUGUUCUUCCUGUUCUAUAACAGGUGUUGAAAGCUGAGCAUCAACCUGAUCUCUUUUAUUUCUCUAGUUUUACCUUACUCUUAGGUUAUAAGUCAUUAUAUAGUCUUCCUCAAAGAAAGUAAAAAAUAUUUCUAUAAAUACAUUCCUAUCUUGAGGACUAUAAUUCAGACUUUCCCUUAUUCCUUUAAGAUACCUAAAACAUGCAAGCUUCUGAACACGAAUCCAUCUUCUCUAUCUCUGAUUCUAGUAGAAAUACUAGUAAACUCCAAAUACGAAUGUGUCUCAAACCAUGUUUGUGACUUUUUCAUAAUUUCUUGGAGUAGUGGACACCGAGAUAGAUGAAACUAAGUUCAAUAAACUUUGUAGUUUCAAAUACUAGUAUCUGGAAUCAAAAAGGUAAAUGAUAAACCACUUAGUAUAUAUCUUGUCUUAUCCAAAAGAAUCUUGUUUCUCCAUUUAAUUACACUAUUGUAUCAUAGUGUUCAUUGACAACCAAAUAGUGCUUGAAUUCUCCAUAGAGAUAUUCUUUGUUUCGAUCAUAUCGAAAUUCUUUUAUGUUCCUGUCUAAUUGCUUCUGUCUUAUUCACGUACUCUUUUGAAUUUCAAAAGCAAUGGAAUCAUGACUCAUUUAGACAAACAUAAAAUGAAUAUUCAUCAACUAGAUUGAUAGAAUACUCAUAACCUCUUAUAACAUGUAAACUGAUUAGUCCGUAUACAUUUGUAUGCGCUAAAUCAUCAAAUACAAUGUUAUGCUUUUAGCUCAUAAAGAGUAUCCUUGUCAUAUUACUUUUCUAAAUAAGAUUUAUAGAGUUACAAUGAUCAAUCUUAAUAGGCCAACAAGUCUAUCAUUAAUCAUUUUCUUAAAAUCUUAUUAUAGUUUAUAUGACUUAAGCAUAACUAUCAGAGGUGAUUUUUGGUUAGAAGAAACAUUUCUUUUCUUAGAUAAAUGCAUAUACUUUUAAUCAUUAUAUCUUACUUUGAAUAGAUCAAUGUACUUUUAUGAUAUAAAUUGUCUUUAUAAAUAACCAAAAUAAGUAAUAAACAGAGGAUCCAAAAAUAACAGUGUACUCCUGUUUAUUAAAACAAGCCACUGAAAUUAAAUUCCUCUAAUAUUUGGAAAAAUAAAGACAAAUAUCAAAACUAAAGUCUUGUAAAAUUGAUCUAGUCUUUCAAUUGAUAUAAACUAGCACAUCCUCAACUGCUAUUUGAAGCUUUCUUCACUUAAUCUCUUGGUUUCCUGAAAACCAAAUAAAUGAAUUACAAAUAAGAUUAGUUAUCUCAGAAUUCAUUAUUGUAUGAAUCAAUAGAAAUCUGAACUAAUUAGGAAGCUUAAAGAUUUCCUAUACCUGAUUUUAAUAAUCUUAGGACAAUCUUUCUUCCAGUGACCCUUCUGUCCACAUUUGUAACACUUGCCUUUUGGCUUGCCACUUCUUUUAAUGGACAGUUUGCCGAUCCCAACUCUUGCUUGCUCAUUCUUGUCUUUUGACUUAAGCCUUGAAGAGAAUCCUUUUUCAGGAAGUUUUCUGCUAUGAUAAAAUUCUUCUAUAGCAUGUAGUUCGUGCAUUAAUUCAAUUAAGGUCAUAUCUUUAUUGUUUAAGAUAUAGCUGACCUUAAACUCUUUGAAUGUAUCAGGUAAAGAUUCAAUCACCAUGUUAAUCUUUGAUUUAUCACCAUGAAUCUCUACCUCAUUCAAAUAGUCCAUCAUUUUGAGGACAUGAUCACGAACUUUUGUGCCCUCUUCCAUCUGAGUAUCUGAGUAUCCGUAAUACGUUUUAAUGCUGCUUCUCUGGCAAAAUGGGUAUUUUGCCCAAACAUCUGAUGAAGACUAGCCAUUAUUUCAGUGGCUGUUUCCAUGCUCCGAUGUUUCUUAUGCAGUUCCACAGAAAUCGAAGCCAAUAUAUAGCGCUUAGCCAUUUUGUUAGCUUCGCACCAUUUCUCAUAAGGCUCCCUCUGAUUUCUAUAAUCGUAUAACGAUGGUUCAGGAGGGCAAGGCUGGGUCAACACAUAUUUGCUUCCCUUAGCAGUGAGAAUAUUAAAUAGAUUGCGUUUCCAAUCUAAAUAAUUUUCGCCAGUGAGUUCAUUUUUAACAAGGAUAAAUAAUAAUGGGUUGAUGGAAGACAUUUUCUGAAAAAAAAAAAUACACAUGCAUAAAUACUUUGAAACAAUAUUCACAAUAAAUGACAAAAAUGCAAAAAACCAUAAAUGCAUUUUAAUUUAUUGUAACGAUAAUCUAGUACCGCUUUGACAAGCUAUCCGUUGGGGAAGUCAUGUCUACACUUACUAGACCCAAUUAUCCAUUGGAUUAUUUACUUUCAUGUAGAGACAUGAUAAAUAAUUAUCGUUAUCCCUUUGGACCUAAAUUUGUUAACAGAGCUUCGUUGGGAAGGUUAAUAACAAAUUUUAGUUGAGUGUAUAACCAUUGUUUCAAUCUACGUAUUUUUCAUAUCAAUAGUCACCGUUGGGGUGAACAAUCGAUUGAAAAAUAUUUCAAUUUUAUCUUUGAAGAAGUUCAUCAAAUAAAAUAUCUAAUAUAUAUACCCUCCGAAGGGAGCAUCACCGUAUCAUGAAGUCGAGGUAUAUAUAUAAUUUUAUUAUUGAACUAACAAUGGAGCCCGUGGGAAAAUUAUCUUGAAUUUUCCCUCUCCCACUCAAUAUUUUAAAAUUGGUUUUUCCUUUUUAAAACAUACAUAUUGUUAAUUGCAUGCUUCCUAUAAUAUUAUCUAGAUGAUAUCAAAUAUUAUUAAGCAUACGCAAAUUUCAAACAAUAUAAUGAAAUUCAUUAUUAAUGAAUGACAUGUAUCAUUAUGCAUAGAGUGGCACUACCUAUUCUAUAUGACAUGUUAUCAUGGCAUGUUAUCAUCCAAAACAUAACAUAUAGAAAAACAAUUAAAUAAUCUUAAUUCAUGGCUUUCCUAAUAAUGAAAAAUACAUUAACCCUAAGCCUAAUCUUCAUUGGGCUUCUUGUCAAUGUCCAUCUUCCAUAAUCUUGUCUUUGUUAAUGGACUAGGGGAAAUUGGGCUUUUAAAUUUAUAAUUGGUCCAAUUUUUAAUUUUAAAAAGAAAUAAAUAAAUAAAUAAAUAAUUUUAUUAAAAUAAAACUUUUGGACCAAAAAUAGAUUUAAUGUGUUCAAUUUUAUCUAUGCAUUAUAAUCCAUUAAACCCAAUUGAAAUUGGGCCUAAAGCUAGGAUUCACAAAGCCCAAAACUGUUUUUGGACUUAAAUGCAAAAAACUUAAACGUGUCUACCCAAAAGAAAAAAUUAUGGAGCCAUAGGGACCUCAAUGAUAAAAACCAUGAAACCCUAAAUCCAUAUUUUUCUUUCUCUCUUCCCCAGCCGCCAUCUCCAAAAACCUCCACCACUGUUCAGAUGCCAGCCGACCUCCGACGCAUCUCCGACAUCGAACCACCUGCCACCGCGUCGCCGGAAACGCAUCAAACUCGCGCGCGCUGCUGGCCACGCUGGCCCCGCGCGCUGUUUGCUGCGCGAGCAGCCUGUGCCAUCGCGUGCUGCGCGCACAAGCCACGCUUCCCGCGCGCGCUGGCUGCUGCGCGCUGCUGCUGCGUGCACGCUUGCGUUGCAGCGCGCGCUGCUGGCAGCAUGUGCUGCUGGCCGCGCGCUGCUCGCGCAGCAGCGUGUGCUGCUGGCCCCUCGUUGCUGAAAUUUCCGGCCUCGAUUGUUUGCGCUCGUUUUCCAGUGAUGAUGCUUCGGUGAUUUNNNNNNNNNNNNNNNNNNNNNNNNNNNNNNNNNNNNNNNNNNNNNNNNNNNNNNNNNNNNNNNNNNNNNNNNNNNNNNNNNNNNNNNNNNNNNNNNNNNNNNNNNNNNNNNNNNNNNNNNNNNNNNNNNNNNNNNNNNNAAGACAAACCAAAACAUGCUUUAUUCAUAUAUUAAACAAUUAAUAUAUAUCUGAAUAAAUUGUGCCACUCUAAUACAUAAAUUUCAAGAAUGAUUUCAUACGAAAUUCUUAUAUAUUAAUAUGAGAUGGCUCUGAUACCAAUUGUUGGGGAAAAAUCAGGUUUUUAAAUUUUUAUAAAACCUUUUGAAGAUCGCUCUCAUAUAAUAUAUAGAAUUCGUAUUCUAGAAAUCGUACCUUGUAAAUCUGAGUUUGCUUUUUCCGCUGAAGUGAUUUAGGCUCCUAGAUCACGAUCCGCCACCACCACUCCUGUUAGAUCACGAUCCGUCACCACCACGCUUGUUAGAUCACGAACUGUCUCCAAUGAUCUUCCAGGUUAUGACUCAGGUUCGAUCUGCACUUGACGUGUGGGCGCCUUUAUCACUACCAAAGCAACUAGCACGAGAAAAUUUUUCUCUCAAUAAUGGAGAGAAAAAUCUUAUUCUCUGAUUUGUAUAAAGUGGCUUCUCCCUCUCCUUUUUGGGAAAAUAAGCCUUAUAUAUCUCCCUUUAGUGAAAACCCUAGGCUCCAAGGAUUCCCCCAAAAUAAAACUCACGUUACUUUUCAUUUAAUAGGGGACCCACCAUGUAAAAUAACAUAAGGCCCCUUACACAUAAGCUUAUUAAAUGGAGCCUCCCACUAAAUGAUAUAUUUAGGCUUUUGACCCAAAUAGCUAGUUAUCUUGCUUAUUAGUCCAGCAGUGGUGCAAUCAAUUAAAUGAGCUAACCCGGGGAUCAUUUGGGAACAUACAAUAGUGGCUACAAUAAUUAGGCCUGUAAUUAAACUAGCCCAAUUAUUUAAUUCCAAAUCUACUCCACUAAAAGAUUGGAACUGACUUCCAUAAUUGUAUGCUCGAAUAAUAAUUCGUCCCAAGCCACAUUGAUUUCUUUACUGCACAAUCCUUUGUACCACAUCGUUAAUUAAAUUGAUAUCUCAACUGUCCAAUCAAUUUAAUAACAUCUUAUUCCUUGAUCCUUACUGGUUUUCUCUAAUGAUCAUUUUCAACAUACUAAAUAUGUUGACACACUCUGGCCAGAGAAUUCUAUGAUCAAGUACCGAAAACCUAUCAAGAGAUGUGUUGUACAAAUUCUAUAUUGUUAAUCCAUAACUCCAAUACUCAUAAUUGCUCCCACCAAGAUACCGGGUAAUCUUGACCACAAGGAUGUGUCGUGCCCAUUGGUAACUCAAAUGAAAUAACAAUCACAAUCAUGAAAUCAUAAUUAACUCAAGAUUAAGAUUACAGUAAAAUCAACGCCUAUGAGAUUUAAUAAGUCUGACAGUUAUUACAAAGUUAAUUAAAUUUCAUAUGUGAUCCUGUUCAAUGUAGUCGUACUACAUCAAUAAAUUCAUACAUGAUUAAGACAAAUCAUUCAAUGAAUUUAUUACAGUCUAUACCUAAAUAAAGUGCCCAACUUUAUUUAUCAACUGCGAACUAAAUUUAUUUAAUCAUAAGAUAACUUGUAUUUAUGUCUUCUGUGAAUCCACAUGGUGAUCACAUAAAUACAUAUAAUAUGAUUAAAUGGACUUUAAUACAAAUAUUAAUGCAAUUAAGAUAUUUGAAUAAAAUACCUCAUUUAUUUUAUUAAUCAGAAAAUUGUUUAUUACAAUUAAAUAAACACAUAUGCUUUUAAAGAGCAUAUUUUCCCAACAGUAAAGAGUGGGGUUUCUUUCAGGUACAUAAUAAUUGAGCAGUGAUAUUCAUAUAAUGAAAAUACUUAAUUGAUUGCAAAUCAUUGCUUUGGUUAGCGUUUUUUCAGGUCUCAGUGUUUUUACAUUUUCCAUAAAAAUCAUUUUACUUCCUGAGCUUUAAGUUUCCUAUAUGAACCAUGCAUGUAAAGACUGGGGUUUCUUUCAGGUACAUAACAAUUUAGCAGUGAUAUUCAGAUAAUAAAAAUUAGACAAAACGUUUACAAAAAACAAAGUAAAUCAGUACCGGAUUAGUCACUUGAUUGUAAACCCAUUAAACAGACUAAUUUAUCGUUGUUUUUGUCAGCAUUUUAUCAGCUCUCCGUUUCUUUAGCAUUUUCCAUAAAAAUCAUUUUGUUUCCAGAACUUCAAAAUUUCCUUUAUGAACCAUGUAUAUAUGGAAAGAACAUCUUGCUUUAAUUUGCAUAUAUGCGGUUGAUGAAUCAUGGAGUGAGCAGUUCAUUGGUGGAGAAAGUGAAAGCAGAGAUUCAAGAAUUCUUUAAUCUUCCAAUUGAUGAGAAAAAGAAGUUUUGGCAGCAGCCAGGAGAUGUUGAGGGAUUUGGGCAGCUUUUUAUUACGUCUGAAGAGCAGAAGCUUGAUUGGGGAUACGGCUUUACUAUGUUCACUCUCCCAACCCAUCUGAGGAAACCCCACUUGUUCCCCAAGUUGCCUCUUCCAUUCAGGUUCUAUACUUAAAUUUUAGACUUUUCUUAUAUAGUAUAUUCUAUCUUAUGAUAAUUACUGGACUAUAUAUUAUUAUUUGCAUGCGGAGAUGACUUGGAAGUUUACUUAACGGAACUUAAAAAUCUUACCUUGAAAAUCCUUGACCUAAUGGCUAAAGCUCUAAGAAUGGAUCCCAAUGACAUGAAAGAGCUGUUUGAAAACGGGAUGCAAUCAUUAAGGAUGAAUUAUUAUCCUCCUUGUCCGCAACCAGAGCAAGUUCUCGGCUUUAAGCCUCAUUCUGAUGGCUCCAUACUCACCAUCCUCCUCCAAAUCAAUGAGAUGGAUGGUCUCCAAAUUAAGAAAGAUGGAAAAUGGUUUGCUGUUAAACCCCUUCCUGAUGCCUUAAUAGUCAACGUUGGUGACGUUUUAGAGGUUAACACUUGUCUUUCUCUACGGCCUAUGAUAAGUAAGGCUAUGUCUCUCCGUAGUUUGUAUCUCUAGUAAGAGCAGUGGUAGGUGUAGAGAAGCACGAGAGAAAGAAGAGAGAAUUUUGUCCUCUCUCUCUCUACCCACUCACUUUCUCUCUACCAUUUUAUUCUUUAUUUCUCUCGUUUUUCUCUCGUGUUUUUCUUCACCAAGCAUUUUUCCCUCUAAUAAUGUUACGUGACAUCUGACGUGUCUUUUAUUAGUAAGUAGAGUAGAAUUAUUGUAUAAUUUGUAUUAAUAAUAGAAAAUAAAGUCAACUAAAUGCGAAUCUAGAAAUAAUUGGUGACGCGUCGCUUGCAAUAAAAACUAAGUUAAUUGUUAGCAUAGGAUAUAUAGUUGAUGACUAGUUUCAUCUAAUUUCUUCCUCUUCUUGAUUAUACUCGUUAAUUUUUUUUUUUUUUUGGUUCAAUUUAUGAUCCUGCAGAUUUUUAGCAAUGGAACUUAUCGUAAUAUUGAACAUCGUGCACUGUAAACUCAAUGAAGGAAAGGUUAUCUUUUGGUACAUUUUACAGUCCAAAAUCAGAUGGAGAAUUGGGUCCAGCACUGAGUCUUAUUACUCCAAAGACUCCAGCAUUAUUUAAGAGGAUAAGUGUGGUAGAUCACUUGAAAAGAUUCUUUUCAAGCGAGCUGCGUGGAAAGUCAUUUAUUGAUUUCUUGAGGAUUCAAAAUUAGGCGGUUAAAAGUUGUUGAUUGUUUUGAAUUACAUGAUAAGAUUAUAUGGAGUCCAUACCAAUAAAAUGAGUGAAUUAAUUAUUAAGUUGUGAACUUUUAAUUUUAUUACACACACACAUAUAUGUUUACCUUAAAUUUUAUUGAAUAUUGAUAAAUUAAAAAAUAAAGUCGUGAAACACAUACUCAGUGAUGAUCUUGCAGGAAUGAUAUUUGCAGUAUUAGAGAAUUAUUGAUGGAAUAGAAAAACAAAAGAAGAAGAAUUGGGGUAGAAAGCGUGCAUGAAGAAAUAAAUGAAUAAAAAUAAUAGUGAUCUUGAAUUUUUUAUUUUAUUUUUUAAUUAAUUAAGAAUAAUUUUGAUUUUAUGUAAGAAUAUAUUUAAAAUUGUAUUAAGUAUAACAUUUGUUCUCAAAAUUAGAUUUACCAAUACUUUUAAAAAAAUUACCAAACAAAACUUAAAUUUUGAUAUUUUAAAAUUAUUUUUAAGUCAAAAUAGUAAUCCCAAAUGAGUGCUUAUUCAAUUACUUGGAUAAAACAAAAAUGAAUUUAAAUUUAAAGGACUUAAAUUAAUAAUGCAUUUUGAAAAGCCAUGGUCCUCUUCUAAAUUUCGUGAUUUCUACCAACGAUGCGGACCGAUCAACAAUAAAAUAUCCCAAUAGUUUCGUAAGUUUUAUGAUUGGGCACGUGAACUUGAUAGGCGCAAUUGUCUAUUUUUUUUCAUUGUUUUAUAUUUGUCUAUAUCUAAUUUGCUGUUUUACGACGUAACACUCGUGGAGGAAAAAACCCAAACAAAAUCGAGUACACAAGUUUGUGUGGUCAGCCUGGUUUUAUAUUUCAAAAUGCCAAUCUAGUGGGAUUAGUACCAAUCUAAAGCUAAACCACACAAUGUGACACUACAUGGAUAAGACUAGUAUUCCACUGUGAAAUCUAUAAUGGCAUUAGGAUAUGAUACAAGUGAUAGUAGGAUUAUUUUGGGUAAGACUCAUUUUCUUAGUAAAGAAUUAAAUUGGGUGAGAUGUAAGAUAUAAAUGGAGGAUUAUUUUGGUAUUUAAAAGAAUGUGCUCAGUAAAAUCAAUUUUUAAAAUUUAUUAAAUGAGAAUGAGAGUACAGAAUAAAGUGGUAUUCAAAGUAAAAUCUAGAUUGCAAAUAGCCCAACAUUAAGUUGGCGUUCUUUUUUUUUUUUUUCUUUUAUCUUAAAUCUGAAAGAGGUAUGAAUGUUGCUAAAGUUUGAAAGGGUCUGAAUGCCUAUGUCAAAAUAAUAUAUAUAUAUUUUUUUUUGACAUCUAGGUGUAAGUGGUAAGUUGUUUGUACUUAUUAAACUCAAAACAUUUUAAAUCUAAUAUUUUUACACUGAUGACCUUGAAAGUGUUAUAUAUACUUGAAGCUUAAACAUAUAUAUAUUUAUGGUGUUUUCUAGUACAAUAGUUUUUAUAUGUUAUAAAUAUUUACAAGGGAAGUAACUCAUAUAUAAUUUAUGAAAAAUAAUUUUGAUAACAUUAAUUUUUACAAUUUAACAUAAUAUUUAUACAUAAAAAAGAUGUUAUCUAAUUAUAAAAAAAAAUUAAAUUCAAAAUGAAUUUAUGUUAAAUACUUGAUACGAAGUAAAAUUUGAUAUCAAGAAAAUUUGUGAUAUGACAUCUAAUAGGUAAGUAGAAAAUAAAUACAUCUAAUGAGGGUAUUUGGGAGAAAAAAAGUUGAGUUUCCAUUCAAACAUUUUAUUAAUUCAGAUAAAAGUGAAAUUUUACUUUUUUUAUUCAGAUAAAAAUGUCUAACAAUAAAACUUUCAGAGACAAAGGCAAACAAGCCAAAAUAUCAAAAUAUCUUAAAUUAAGCCCAAUUAAGACUUUAGAUAUAAAAACAAAUAAACCCUAACAUUAUUUCAAUUGUCUUAAUGUUGAAUGGUGUACCCUUUAAUAAAUGGAAUGGGAUCUUCUCUUGAUCUAAACUAGGGCUGGAUAUAAAUCGAGUUUGGAUCAACCCGAUCUAAUUUUUGGAUUGAAUCGAAUUAAACCAAUUUGAAUAUAUUCAAAUCAAAUUGAAUAAAAAAUUCGGGUAAAAAAUUUAGGUCAAUUGGAUGAUUAAUCGAAUUUUACCUAAUAUAUCAUAUCAAAUUUUGCCGAUCAAAGAAAAGAAUUGUUGGAAAAAAAUUAAACUCAAACCCCGUCCAAAUAUUUAUGGUACAACGAGAAGAAAUUAAUACAAUAUCUUAGGGAUAAAUUAAAUCUUUUAGGUUUCUUACAAGGCAAACCAUUUAGCGGUGGAGAGCUGCAGAUCGGAGUGCCAGCAGCAGUCGUGGUACAUGACAGCAGAAUGCGUAGGCAAGUUACGGAUCGCAUUAGGGCUGCUUUGCUCUGCCAUGACUGCCGUCUGCCAUGCUAUGUUUGGUGAGUGCCGCCGGCUGCCACUGCGUAUGUGACUAUGUGUGGUGUGCUGCCCCUAUGUUGUGUUGUGUGUGUGAAGUGCCAUUGUGCUCUGUGUGUGAAAAGGAUACCACGAUGUUCGCUUGUUUGUACUUUGUGCUUGUAAAUUGAAAUGAUCAAUUAGGUUAGCUCAUUUUUUCCUUUUUUUUGUAAGGGACCAACCCGAUUGGAUUUUCAGAGUGGAUUGGGUUUAAUCCAAUCCGAUCACGAUCUAAUCGGGUUUGUUUCUACCACCGAUUGGAUUAGGUUAAUAAUUCGAUCCGAACUGAACCCGAUAUUUUUUGGAUUAGUUGGGUCGAAUCGGAUUAUUUAUCUAGCCCUAAUCUAAACUUUACUGAAGCUUUAAAGAUCUCCAGUCAUAUAUCAUUUAGUGAUAGUGUAAAGAUAAAAUUUAACUUCUUUAUUUUUUUAAUUCAUUAUCUACUAAUCAACACCUAAAUUAUUUGCUCUACAUAUGAUCAUAUCAAGACAGAAGUCAGGAUCCUCUUGAAUUUUUAUAACAAAAUUAUUAUUUUAUUACACCUAAGUGGAUUACAGUACAUCCAAAGGACUAUUUAUAUAUGAGUUUCUUGUUAAACACAAACCAGCUGAGUCUGCAGGAGAGGGAAGAAGAAAAGAAAGAAAUAGCUAGAAAUCAGAUAAUCGAAAUCUAUAUAAUAUGGAGGCAGAAGCGACGGAUAUUAGGAGUUCUCUCGUGGAGCCUUCGAUUCUGGAGCUGGCACAUAAUAAGCCACUCAUCACAAUUCCUCCACGUUAUGUUCGCCCUGAGAUGGACCAUCCGUUGAUUCGCACCGACGAUUCUUCAGCACAACAACUUCCAGUCAUUGAUAUGCACAAGUUGCUCUCUGGAGAUGACUCAGAGCUUGAGAAGCUUGACCGUGCAUGUAAAGAGUGGGGUUUCUGUCAGGUACAUAACAAUUUAGGAGUGAUAUUCAGAUAAUAAAAAUUAGACAAAACGUUGACAAAAAGGAAGUAAAUCGGUACCGGAUUAGUCACUUGAUUGUAAACACAGUAAACAGAGACUAAUUUAUCGUUGUUUUUGUUCGCAUUUUAUCAGCUCUCCGUUUCUUUGGCUUUUUCCAUAAAAAUCAUUUUGUUUCCUGCACUUCAGAAUUUCCUUUAUGAACCAUGUAUAUAUGGAAAGGACAUCUUGCUUUAAUUUGCAUACAUGCAGUUGAUGAAUCAUGGAGUGAGCAGUUCAUUGGUGGAGAAAGUGAAAGCAGAGAUUCAAGACUUCUUUAAUCUUCCAAUAGAUGAGAAAAAGAAGUUUUGGCAACAGCCAGGAGAUAUUGAGGGAUUUGGGCAGCUCUUUAUUACGUCUGAAGAGCAGAAACUUGAUUGGGGAUACGGCUUUACUUUGACCACAUUCCCAACUCAUCUGAGGAAACCCCACUUGUUCCCCAAGUUGCCUCUUCCAUUCAGGUUCUAUAUUUGAAGCGUAGAGUUUUGCUAUAUAGUAUAUUCUAUCUUAUGAUAAUUACUGGACUGUAUAUCGUAAUUUGCAUGCAGAGAUGACUUGGAAGUUUACUUGACAGAACUUAAAAAUCUUGCCCUGAAAAUCCUUGACCAAAUGGCUAAAGCUCUAAGAAUGGAUCCCAAUGACAUGAAAGAGUUGUUUGAAAACGGGAUGCAAUUAUUAAGGAUGAAUUAUUAUCCUCCUUGUCCGCAACCAGAACAAGUUGUCGGCCAUAAUUCUCAUUGUGAUGCCGCCGCACUCACCGUCCUCCUCCAAGUCAAUGAGAUGGAUGGUCUCCAAAUUAAGAAAGAUGGAAAAUGGGUUGCUGUUAAACCCCUCCCGGAUGCCUUUGUAGUAAAUAUUGGCGACGCAUUAGAGGUAAUACUUGUCAUUUUCUAUAGCCUAUGAUGACUAAUGCUAUAUUUUUUGUAUCUCUAGUAAUGUCAUGUGAUAUGUGACGUGUCUUUCAUUGUAAGUGGAGUAUAAUUAUUGUAUAAUUUGUGUUAAUGAUGGAAAAUAAAGUCAACUAACACCGAAUUCAUUAAAAAAAAAAAGGGGUUGGGACACCUUGCUUGCGAUAAAAAUUAUGUUGUUAGCAUGGGAUAUGUAGAUGAUAAUUGGUUUCAUCUAUUUAUUUAUGUUCUUUUUAUAUUUUUUACUUUAUGAUCUUGUAGAUUUUUACCAAUGGAACUUAUCGUAGUAUCGAACAUCGUGCGACUGUAAACUCAGUAAAGGAAAGGUUAUCUUUUGCUACAUUUUACAAUCCGAAAUUAGAUGGAGAAUUGGGUCCAGCACCAAGUCUUAUUACUCCGAAGACUCCAGCAUUGUUUAAAAAAAUAAAUGUGGUAGAUUACUUCAAAAGGUUUUUUUCAACUGAGCUGCGUGGAAAGUCUUUUAUUGAUUUCUUGAAGAUUCAAGACCAGGGCACUUAAAAGUUGUUGAUUGCUACCAGUUACAUGACGAGAUUACACGGAGUCCAUUCUGAUAAAAUAAGUCAAUUAAGUUGUGAACUUAUUCUGUUGGAUUGUGUUUAGACUUGCUGGGCUGUGUAUACUCCAAUGGAUAAACUUAAAUAAGUCUACGGAGUUGUGUAACUUCUAUUUGUGUGUGAAUUAUAACUUGUAGAAAAGUUAAAAUAAAAUUACAUAAUAAAUUAUGUGUAUAUUCUAUGUUUCUUUGUCGAUUUAUAUAUAUCUGCAGUUUCAAUUGUUGUCCUAGGACCUGAUUUGAACCUACAAUUGAGAUUGGCGUAUUUUCAACAAAUUUGACUUCCUUCUAUUGGGCAUGAAAAUUAAUUUGUUUGCCUGGAAGGUUUAAAAGAUGACAGUUUUCAAUUUCUUUUGGAAAGAUGAUGUUUAUGAUGGUCCCUUUAAAAUCAUAUUAAUUGUAUAACACAUGGUGCUAUUUCAUGGAAAAAGUUUAUAAUAUUUUUCUUCCACUCACUGUGGUCUAUUUUUUCGUUCACUUUAUAUGGAAAAAUUAUAUCAAACAUCCAACAUUGUUUAAAAAAUAGUAAAAGUAAAUUGAUGAAGAAAUAUUAGACAAAAGUAAAAAGUUAUAAAAAGACUGUUAUUUUUUUUUAAUAAGACAACAUAGUGCUUUUUCAUAAAAAAAACUUUGUAUGUCUCCUUUAUAUAGAGAAACACUUUAUGAACCUUUUUUUUAAUUUGAAUUAGCUAUUCAUGUAUCGCAUAAUUUAAUUUAAGAUUUAGUUUAUUCAACUAUAAAUUGUAAUUAAAUAUAACGUAUGACUAAUUUCAAAUCAAAUGCAAAGAAAAUUGCUCCCACUUUUCUUGAAUGUGAGACAUUAGUAUUUUAAAAUGUCAAUAAAAAAUAAGAGAUUUCUUAUAUAAUUAUAUAAGUUACAUCGAUCAUAGAGUUGCACUAGAUAAGCACAGACUUUGUGUAAUUCUAUAAUUGAUAUAACUUAGAUCAUUAAGUAAGGGAUCAAGAUCCAACAAAAUUCCAAAAAACAAGUCAGGCCACGUGCAAACCUAAUGUAUAUAUCCUUUAUGCUGAAUAAUCUUGCUCAAGCAGUGUGGUCAGACAUCCACAUUUGAAAAAUGCUUAAGCGUGCAUUGACUUUACAUCUUAUAUCAACAAAAAUUGACAAAAAUAAUACAUGUAAUUGGCUUUUCCAACACGUGAUUUUUUUUAAAUAUUAUUAUUAAAGAGUAAAAUAUAAAUAUUGAUAAAUGUUGAAGAUAUUAUUACACAUUAGUUGAGAAUAUUUAUUAGGUUAAUAUUACUUAGAUCAUUAUGUACGGGAUCAAGAUCCAACAAAAUUCCAAAAAAUAAGUCAGGCCACGUGCAAACCUAUUCUCCAAAAAACAAGUCAGACCACGUGCAAACCUAAUCUCCAAAAAACAAGUCAGGCCACGUGCAAACCUAAUGUGUAUAUAUAUAUUUUUUUUUCUUAUCCACAAGGUAUUUUGGGGAGAGUCCCAACCGUGGGAAGCACCUUUAAGCCCGUACCACAACCUAGAUUAGAAAUCCCCACUCGAACCGGGAGGCACAAGUUUUCCCAACAAAGGUAAUUUCCCUGCGACUCGAACUGAGGAGCAAAUCCAGUCAAGCCACUUAAGGGGACUCCAUUGCCAGUGGAGCCAACACUUUGUUGGUUAAUGUAUAUAUCCUUUAUGCUGAAUAAUUUUGCUCACGCAGUGCGGUCAGACGUCCAAAUUUGAAAAAUGCUUAAGCGUUUUAAACACAAGUUACACAACUCCAGUCUCCAGCGACGCAAGUUACACAAAAUCAACGAAUAAAUAAAAAAUUAAACACAAGUUACACAACUCCAGCGACGCGACAGCGGGCUACCGACGACACGAGCAAGACCGGAUGGACUAAGACAGGCUGGCUGCGCCGACGACGACAGGCUGACACAAGCGCGAUGGCGACGAUGACGGCGACAGGCUGGCUGAUAAGGGACAGUGGUGGAUGGAAUGUGUGUAUUGGCGAGAGUGAGACAGAUGGUGAGGGGGUGUGUGUGUGUGUCGGCUAGUAAUUAGUAUGAUAGAGAGAGAUGGUGGAUGUGUCAUGUGUGCAUGAUUUUAAUGUUUAGAAUUAUUUUAUUUAUUCAUAAAACCGAAAUUAAAUCUAAUUAACAUAAAUUUUGGUUCGGCUCAGUUUGGAAAACCGAAUCGAACCCACCCCAAAUCAGAAUUAAAAUCCAUCCGAAAAAAAUAAUAAAUUAAUAAACUCUUCUUCACUUUAGGGGUGUUCAAAAUCCAAUCUGAUUUAUGGAUUGAUGGAUUGGAUUGAAUUAAUAAUUCAAAAAUUCACAGUCAAUGGAUGUAUAUAUGUUUACUUCUAUAAAUUCGUAAAAAUCUACGAAUUCGCAAAAAAAUAAAAUAAAAAUUAUUUAAUUAAAAAAUUAAACUUGUAAAUGUGGCAUUACUACUUACUAAUAACAAAAUAAGUUUAAAAUGUAGUUACAUCAAUAGCAUAUUAUGUAUUAUCCAUGAUAAUAUAAAAUAAAAAAUAAUUAAAUAAGCAAAUAUAACUUCCUAAACAGUUAGUUUUCAUAAUUUUAGUUAAUUUUUAUGUAUUAAUCUAAACAAAUGAGAUUUUUUUCUUUUUGUUGCGAUAUAUUUAAAACUUUGAACGUAUUAUUCUGGCUUUAUUUAAAUAAUUAAUUUAUUUAAAUCUUAUUCAAUUUUAAAUUUGACAGAAUUAAAAAUUCUUAACCUACAAACUAACCCAUAAAAUGGUGAAUUGGAUAUGAAUUAGGUUAAAUUUGCAUCCGAUUUACUGACAUAUAGAUUGGAUUUUAUUUGAAUUUUAUCAAUCUGUGGAUUAAAUUAGAUUAACAAUUUAUAAUCCAUAAAAUUAUAAAUCUAAUCCAAUCCAUAAAAUUUAAUCCGCGAAUACCACUACUUCACUUCCGUCAAGGAGUUGGUGCCUUUACCAAGUCGUAGGUAUUUAGUUAUCUAUUUGAUCAAUUAAUGUAUAAAAUAUCUUCUUUACUAUUUAAAGCAAUAUUUUUCAAAUGACUCUACUUGAAUAAUUGAGAACUCUGUGUAGUCUUGUUUAAUCACAAGAGUUUGGAGAAGAAAGAAGGGUAAUUAGUCAAAAACGAUGGCAGCAAAAGCAACAACGAUAGCAAGUUCUCCCGCGGAGCCUUCGAUUAAGGAGCAGGCAGUGAAGCCAAUGAUGACUAAAGUUCCACCACGAUAUGUUCGCCGUGAUGUAAAAGGUGUAAUGAUUUGCAACGACGACAAUUCUUCAACAGAACAACUUCCGGUCAUCGACCAGCAGAAAUUGCUCUUUGGAUAUGAUUCAGAGCUUGAGAAGUUUGAUCUUGAAUGCAGAGAGUGGGGUUUCUUGAUAAUUAUUGGUUAAUUUGUUAAUUAACUUUUUUUAUGGAUAAAUUAAUUAAUGCUCUCAAGAUUGUAGCAUGGGUAUUAUUACUAUAAUGGCAAGGAAAAAUAUGGGCAAAAUGUCACAUAUUUAAUAGUAAAAAUAUCUUGAGGUGUUUUUAAAAAAUAUAGAGACUAAAUAGACACUUAAUUUAAAAUAUAAGGAUUGAACGAACAUUUAUUUAUUGAGAAUUAUUGAUGGAAUUGAAAAUAAAUAGGAAAAGAAUUGGAGUGAAGAUACGUGAAGAAAAAAAUAAAUCAAAAUAAUAAUGAACUUAAAUUUUCUGAUUUUAUUUGUUAAGCAAUUAAAGAUAAUUUUGGUUUUAUGUAAAAUAUGUAAAGAUAUAUAUAAAAUUGUAUUAAGUAUAAAAUUAAUUUUUAAAAUCAAAUUUUUGAAAUGCAAGUUAUGCAACCCAAGAGGGGGGUGAAUUGAGAUUUUAAAAAUUAUGCUAAACAAUUCGCACAAUAAUUUAAUCUAUCGUCUUAAUCAAAUAAAUAAUAAUAAGUUGAAUAAUGCACAAUAAUAAAAGAGUAAGGGAAGAGAGAGCAAAUACAAUAAUUUUUACGUGGUUCGGCAAUCCCCGCCUACGUCCACGCCUCCACGCAAGCCAAACUCGAGAAUUUCACUAUCCAAGCCUCCUAAGGCUUCAAGUUCUUUACAAUUGACUUUCAAGGUGUCAAUAAACCUUUACAACUAAGAAAUUACCUCACAGUCUCUUCACUCAAGUGUUUCUCACACUUAUACUCUCACAAAUUUGAUGAGAAAAUAAUUAUUACAACAAAUAACUCUCUUUUAGAGUGGAUAUGCAAAUAAUAGCACAAUAAAGAUUUAAUCUACGAUGAUUUACAAAUUGAAAGCUCAAAGUAUGUUGUUUAAACUUGUUUGUGCUUGCUAGAGCCUCUAAAAUGAAUUUGGAGUUGAUUUUUUAUAGGUAAAGCCCAAAAACUAGCCGUCAUAAGUAAAUUCUCACAAUCAAGCGGUUAGCCGCUUGAUUUAUCCAGCUAGCCACCCAGAACAAUGAUGUUACCGUUAAAUUUGAAUUUUGCUACAGUAAUACUGUUAACAAAAUUAGAUUUUUGCCCAAAACUUUUUGUAACUACACUAUGGCCCACAAUGUCAUUAAACUUUGCAAACAUGUCUAAUUUCAGAAUUUCUAAAUAAUAAUUAUCAUUCCCAAGACUUUUUGAAAUUAUGAUACGGCCCCAAGUAUAAUAGUAUUUUUUAAAGAAGUCCUUUUUAAAAUUUAGUAUAUUACCCAUUUUAAAGUUCUCAAAACCUUUCACUUUAGUCUAAAAUUUGAAAAUAUGAGAUUUUCCUCGGGCUGCAAGCCACUAGCCUCCUCAGGCGGUUAGCCGCUCACUCUCUAUCCAAUUUUGGAUUUCAAAUGUUUGGAUUACAUUCGGAUCCUCAAACUUUUAUAAAUUAUAGUAUGACCCAAAACAUUUCAAAUAUUUGCAAAAAGGUCCAACACCGGAAUUCAAAAUAAUACUUAUUAAAUUCAAAGAUUGUAAAACUUUUCAUUUAAGUCAAAAUUACUCAAAUCCACAAAAUACUCUAUCUUAUAAAAAUAAAACCUUUUAGUUUAUGAAAAGUAAUUAUUUAAAUUAAUCUCUUGAGUUUCUCAAAUGCUAAAUCAUGCAUCAAUUAAAUCAUAUCGGCUUAACAAAAAUUUAUCGCAAUAAUUUAUCCGUUGAGCUCUAAACUUUAUUCUUGAUUUCGCCGUUGUCCGUUGAGUGUCUUCAACUUGAUUUCACUUGAUUUACUUACAUAAAUAUUAUCCUUAAAAAACUAGUGAAAAUGUGAAAUACAAUAUUUAUUAAAUCACUUAAGACACAUGUUUGUUAUCAUCAAAAUUACAUUAUGUAUAGUCCUUUAGGCUAACAGUUUUAUCAAGAUUGAUUUUAAAAAAAUUACUAAAUACUUUAGAUUUUAACCUUUUAAAAUUACUUUAGAGUCUCAAUAGUAAUCGUAAAUGAGCCCUUAGUCAAGAUGAAACAAAAAUAAAUUUAAAUUAAUGAUGCAUUUUAAAAAGUCAUGGUCCCCUCUAAAUUUCGUAAUUUCUACCAAUGACACGGACCGAUCAACAAAAAAAUAUCCCAAUAAUUUCAUAACUUCUAGUUUGGGGACGAGAACUUCAUAGCUACAGUGGUCCAUUUUGUCAUUGUUGUCUAUGUGUCUAUCUAUAUCUAAUUUACCAUUUUACAACGAAACAGUAUUUGGAAAAAAAAAACGUGUACAUAAAUUUGUGUGGUCAGCCUGGUUUUACGUUUCAAAAUGGCAAUUCAGUGAGAUUAUUUAAAAUUUAACCACACAAUGUGAGAGACUACAUGGAUAAGAAUACUAUUUUAUUGUAAAAUCUUUCAUGAUUAGCAGCUACACAAGUCAUAAUCAAAGGAAUAUUUGACACCAUUUAACACACACUCAAAUUCAAUAAUCUUAUUUAAACCCGAUAACUUUCUUGAAUAACAAAUCUAAAUCAUCAAUUGUAAAAGAAAAUAUUAAAGGUUUAAUAAGUACCCACAAGUUACCAGCUACAGAAAUUGAAAAUAAAAAAUUGUUUAUGCAGAAAAAAUAAGUAACAUUAAAAAAUAAUGUUACUUAAUUUUAAAAAAAUAAAAAUGUAAAUUCGAAAAAAAAUGAAAAAACCAGCUGCAUAUUGUUGGUGCUUGAAAAUGCCAAUUAGAAAUACAAAUUGGACUCUAACUAGUCUGCAACUCUCUAGUAAAAUUUAAUCAGUUAUCAAUUAUAUUAUAUUAUAUACAAUAUAGUUAUAUAGAAUGAAGUUUUUUUUCUUAAUACAAAAAUAAAAUUGGAUAAAUGAUGGUAAGAUAUAAAUAGAGAGGUUUUUUAGUAUUUAAAAGAAUAUACAAGAGUGAAUAUUAAUUUUUAAAAUUUAUUAAAUAAGUGCGCAAAAUAAAUAAAUCAGCACUUUAAUUAUUUGCACAGAUUAUAAAAAUUCUAAUACCCAAAGUAUGGACAGUUGUCAGGAUUCUCUCAAAUUUUAUAAUAAAAUUAAUAUUUUAUUACACCCAACUAGAGUAUAGUUCAUCCAGAGUAGUAUUUAUUUAAGAGUUUCUUGUUAAAACACAAACCAGAUGAGUCUGCAGGCGAGAGGAGGAAAAACAAAAAGGUAAUAGCUAGAAAUCAGAUAAUCUAAACCUAUAUAAUAUGGAGGCAAAAGCAACAGUUAUUGCGAGUUCUCUCGUGGAGCCUUCGAUUCUGGAGCUCGCAAAUAAUUAGCCACUGACCACUGUUCCUCCACGUUAUGUCCGCCCUGAGAUAGACCAUCCCUUGAUUCGCAACGACGAAUCUUCAGCAGAACAACUUCCAGUCAUCGACAUGCACAAGCUGGUCUCUGGGGAUGACUCAGAGCUUGAGAAGCUUGACCGUGCAUGCAAAGACUGGGGUUUCUUUCAGGUACAUAAUAAUUGAGCAGCGAUAUUCAGACAAUAGAAUUGGUCAAAAUGUUGACUGAAAGAAGGUAAGUUGGUGUCGAUUUACUCACUUGAUGGGAAACGCAGUAAACCGACACUAGUAUAUCGUUGUUUUUGUUAGCGUUUUGAUUAUCAGUUUCUUUAGUAGUUUUCCCUCAACUUUAAAUUUCCUACAUGAACCAUUUACGGAAAGAACAUCUUGAUUUUAUUUGCAUAUAUGCAGUUGAUAAAUCAUGGAGUGAGAUGUUCAUUGGUGGAGAAAGUGAAAGCAGAGACUCUAGACUUCUUUGAUCUGCCAAUUGAUGAGAAAAGGAAGUUUUGGCAACAACCAGGAGAUAUUGAGGGAUUUGGGCAGCUCUUUAUUGCGUCUGAAGAGCAGAAGCUUGAUUGGGGAUACGGCUUUACUUUGUUCACUCUCCCAACUUAUCUGAGGAAACUCCACUUGUUGCCCAAGUUGCCUCUUCCAUUCAGGUUCUAUGUUUUUUUGUUCGUUUAAGAUCCGAAGGCAAAUCAAAGCGAAGAUUUUUGUCAUAUAGUAUAUUCCAUCCAAUAAUAAUUACUGGAAUAUAUAUUGUUUUUUGCAUGCAGAGAUGACUUGGAAGUUUACUUAUCAGAACUGAAAAAUCUUGCCCUGAAAAUCCUUGAUCAAAUGGCUAAAGCUCUAAGAAUGGAUCCUAAUGAUAUGAAAGAGUUGUUUGGAAACGGGGUACAAUAAUUAAGGAUGAAUUAUUAUCCUCCUUGUCCGCAACCAGAGCAAGUUAUCGGCAUUAAUUCCCAUUGUGAUGCCUCCGCACUUACCAUCCUCCUCCCAAUCAAUCAGAUGGAUGGUCUCCAAAUAAAGAAAGAUGGAAAAUUGGUUGCUGUUAGACCCCUUCCAGAUGCCUUUAUAGUCAACAUUGGAGACAUUUUAGAGGUAACACUUAUCAUUUGCUAUAGCCUAUAACCACUGAUAAGCAACGUACAUCUUUACAGAGUUUGUAUGUCUGGUAAUGUGACAUAUGACGUGUAAUUUAUUGAUAAGUAGAGUAGGACUAUCGUAUUAAUGAUUAAAAAAAAUAUAGUUAACUAACACCAAAUUCAUAACAAGAAAUUAUUAGUGACAUGUCGCUUGCAAUACAAGCUAUGUUGUUAGCAUAGAAUAUAUAGUUAUCUAGUUUCAUCAAUCUAUUUUUCUCCUCUUUUUACACUUUCUAACUCAUUUUUUUUUCAUUUACUUCAUGAUCUUGUAGGUUUUUACCAAUGGAAUUUACCGUAGUAUGGAACAUCGUGCAACUGUGAACUCAAUGAAGAAAAAAUUAUCUUUUGCUACAUUUUAUGGUGCAAAAUUAGAUGGAGAAUUGGGUCCAGCACCAAGUCUUAUUACUCGAGAGACACCAACAUUAUUUAAGAGGAUAAGUGUGGUAGAUCACUUUAAAAGAUUUUUUUCAAGAGCUACGUGGAAAAUCAUUUUUUGAUUUCUUGAGAAUUCAAAACCACGGUAAUUAAAAGUUGCACUUCCAGUUACAUGAGGAGAUUAUAUGGAGUCAGUUCUGAUAAAAUAAAUCAAAUUAAGUUGUGAACUUAUGAACUCUGUUGGGAUUUGGAUUGUGUUUAGUCUGUGUGUAAAUUAUAACUAGUAGGAAAAUGAUAUAUGCUGCAGCCUUUGAUUGUCUGCAGUAUAUAUUCUGCAAUAUGUAAUAUGAGGAAAUGCUCAAAUAAGACCAAGACAGGAGUAGCUAUUAGUUGAUAAACUCUGCAUAAGUUGGUGGCUGACAUUUAGUGAUUAUUCAGUUGCUAUUUUCUCCUUUUUUUUCUUUUUUUCUUUUUUUUUUAUUGAAGUCACCCGGUAUUCAUAGACUGCAUUGGGUCCCGACUAAUCCGGAUUCGGACCGGAAGAUACGGGUCCUCCCAACAAGGGCGACUUCCCUACGACUCGAACUGGGGAGCACACCCAGUCGAGCCACUAAAGGGGGAUCAGUUGCCAAUUGAUCCAACGCCUCGUUGGUUUCUUUUGAUUGUUAGUUCCUAUUUCUAAGCAACUAAAUUGCUUAGUAGUACUGUCGGGUCUAUAACUGACCAAGAUUUUCCUUUAUAAAGGCAGCAAAUUAUACAAACACUACUCCCUUCUCUAAACUUCUUCCUUCACCUUAUCCGCUUCUGGUUCUUAUUAAUUUGUAUCAGAGGACUAUUCCGAUAAUGGACACCCGUGGCAAAACCAAUGCUGAAUUUUGCAAUGAAAUUAACGAGAUUCCAGCCCUACUCGAUUCUAGCUUUCAUGAAGUUAAUGCUACUCUACAAACAGGUUUCACAGAGGUUCAAUACUUGUGGGUUUCCCACAGCUCAAACACCACCAACACCAAAAUCAAUCCAUUUGCUCCUGGAGAAUCAUCACACCAACCAGCUGAACUAAACAUCUUCUGUUCUAGCUCUUUUCUGGACCAAAAUCACCAUCACCUCAAGCUCUUCUUUCUCAAGUUUUGGAGGAGAAGAUCCCACAAGAUGGAUUUACAAAGCGAAAUAAUAUUUUGAUUUUAAGGAUAUUGCUUCAGACCAGCUUGCCUCUCUCCAUCUUUGAAGGUAACUAAAUUUAAGGGACCAUUAACUUGGAGUGAAUUCACACAAACCAUGCUCCAACGAUUUGAACCAACAGAUUAUGAAGAUCCAUCUAAAACUCUAAUUGUAACACCUAAAAUCUAACACGUGCAGAGCACGUGGUAAAAGAGGUCACUCAUAAAUUAAAAUCCUUACACAAAAAUCUUAAACUGAAAUACCUCAAAUUUUAUUCAAAUAAAUCCACGAAUCCACAUGUCUAAUACUAAUUAUUUUCUUCCGAAAAUGUAAAUAUGACAGAAGUCUCAAAACUUCAUAAUUACAAGUUCAUAAAAUAAACAAACGUAAAGGAAAGAUGAGUUUAUCCUUAUCUUAUUCAACUAGCAAAAGUAAAUGAAUCUUUAGCUCCAAAGAUAACCAGUAAGCAUACCUCUCAACAAGGUACUUAGUAUGCAAAAAGUAAUGGCGAUGGAUGAGCUGUCAACUUAAUAAGUAAAACUAUUCCCAACACACUAAGCUUACCGGGUAACAAAAAUAUAGAAAGCCUUCUUUUUAUCAAAACAUAUGUUAUGAAUUAUAAAUUUCAUAAAACAACAUAUUAUAACAAAAUGGCAUAAAUUCAUAGAAAUUCAUAACAUCAAAAGCAUAAUUAAUCAUGGGAGCAAAUUGUAUAGUAGAUAUUCAGAAAACAAAAAGGUUAGCUCAUGUCACAUAGUGUUACCUACACUCCUUGUGACUCGGCCAGAAACAGAAUUAAAAUCAAAAUAUCGUGUACAUAUUCAAAACAAAAACCCAAUACUAGUCCAGAACAUAUACAUCGUAUAAUACGAUCAUAAUCAAAAUUAAAAUAACUACAGACAAUAAGUCAAAAUAUUUAAAUUCAUUUUCCAUACGUAAUGACUUGUAUGUGGCACUUAGUGCUAUAUGUGGCACUUUGCAGCACUCUGACCCUCGAAAGGUGGCCCCAAUAUAGUCUCAAGAGGUGGCCCGUGAACAAUGAUAAAUAAUCUUUAUCGUAUACCUGGUCAAAACAUUCUUAUCAGACUUGUAAAAAAUCAUAAUAAUGAAUUAGGCUUGCAAAAAAAAUUCCAUUAUAAUAUUUUAGAGACAAUUUCAUGAAAGAUAAUCAUUUAGCAAAAUAAAUUACAUAUUUAAAGGUAUUUAUAAUAUUAUGUUAAAACCAUAAAAAAAAAAAAAACACAAUUUUCACAUUUGAAAACAUUUACAUAAACUAAUUUCAUUAUGAAAAACAAUUAUUUUUUAAAGAACUAUGAAAGCACAUGUACUUAUAGUAGUAUCAAAAUAAUCAUACAUAUCCAAUAAAUUAGGAAUGAAGUUACUUACCUCGAUAAAAGUAAUGAUCUAAACACACCUCUAAGCAUCUAACAGCCUCAAAUACCUCCAACAUCUUAAACCGAUACAAGAUAUAACUAUUAACAACUUAUUCUAAGAACCUGAUUUUCUAAUUCAUACCCAUACAAGUCUGAUUCUUAUAAUUUUAACUCUUAAUCUAGAAAUCGGAAUGACACAAUAUUUUACAGAACUAUUCUGGACAUCGAUGGUAUCUCUCAUAAAUUUUUCAAGAGGACCCGACACCAAAAACAUUUUCAAAACUAUUUGUCUCUUGAAAAAUUCAAAACUAUCUCACAGUGCCUUAAUUAAAUAGUAUGGAUUCUGAGAUUUUUGUAAAAUUAUAUAUUAAUAAAAAAUUUAUGAAAUUAAAACUGGAAAUACUAUACAAAUAUAUUAACCUCUAUCUAAAAUUUAGAAUUUUUUGAGUUCAUUUGACACUGCAAAUAAUUUUGUGAAUUUGGUCAUUCUGCUGGAACCACAUUUUUCCAGUGCAAUAGUGUCAGUUUCGAAAAUCCAUAUAAAAUUGAAAACAAAAUCAAAUCUUAUAAAACAAAAUUUAUUCAAUAAGUCCUACAUGUAUAGUUUUCAGAAAGACAAGGUUCUUCGUAAAAAAUCGUUCAUAAAAUAUAUGUUUUACUUUGGGAUAUUCAUGCUAUCCAGAAUUGUUUAGUGUGUCUAUUGUAUCAGGGAUUAACUAACAUGACUCAACAAUAAAUUAGCGCACUAAACACAACUUAGAUACAUCCUAAAUCAUGUGUAAUGGUCUGUAACAAUCUAAAAUCAUGCCAAUAAAACCCUAAAUAGAGCAUAACGAUAGGGAAAUCAAGUGAAGAUAGAGAGAGUAAAACUUACCAAUCGUGAAUAGGCCUGGGCAAAUAACCCGAUCCGAUCCUACCCGACCCGACCCGAUCCAAAAAUAAUCGGGUUCGGAUCGGAUCGGGUUUUUAACAUAACCCGAUCGGAUUUAAUUUUGUCAACCCGAUCGGAUCGUCGUCGGAUCGGGUGAAACCCGACCCAAUUCGAAAAUCCGAUCGGAUUUGGCUAUUGAAAAAAAAUAAAAAUAAAAACACCCACACACAAAAGGGUGAAACACACAACACUGACACACUCAAACUCACUGACACACACCCACCCCCCAUCCACACACACACACUGACACACCCACCACCCACCCUCCAUCCACAAAAAAUCGCAAUAGACAACCUUUUACUCACAUUUCAGAUUUCACAGCCUCACGUUUCACUCUCUUCUUUGGUUCUUCUUCAGUUUUCACCCUUAAAUCUUCACAACCUCGCUUUCUUCUUUUUAAGUCUUCACUCUUCAGUUUUCACAAAUCGAUUUCUCACACAAUCGGGUUUCACAGAUCGGGUUUCAGUCACAAAAGCAAACCGAUGGUCACUCAAAGACGCAGCGCAAGAACUGAUGAUAAUUUGCAGACACAGCCACCGGAUCUGCGGUUCCGUCCAUCACCAAGUUUCUCGCCUCCAAGCUCCACUUCAACCCAGCAACCUGACUUCUCCAACCCGCAACCCGAGCCUUGUGUUUUGAAAUUUUGAUGGUUUUUCUUGAUGUUGUGAUUAUUAUCAUAUAUAAAUUGUAAAAUUUUAAUGUUCACCAGCUAAUGAUAAAGAAAAUCAGUGAUAAAGAAAGCUGUAAUGUAUUUUUUUUUUCCAAUGAUGGGCAUAAAUUUUUCAUUUUCCAGUCCAAACCGAUUUUAAUCCGAAUCCGAUCCGAACCGAACUCAACCCGAUUUUUUGACCCGAUCCGAAUAUAUAUUCGGAUCGGAUCGGAUCGGAUUACAAGUUCGGAUUGAAUUCGGAUGGAUUUCUGCCUAACCCGACCAACCCGAAAUCCGAUCGGGUCGAACCGAACCUGAUCCGUAUCCGAUUUUGCCCAGCCCUAAUUGUGAAGACUCUCUUUCCUAAGCAAAAGUUUGAAUCAUAGGAUGUGAGUAAAAGAGUAUUGAGCAGUAGAGAGAAUAAAAGAAAACGUUGUGGAUUUUGGGUUAUAGGAGAGGGAAAAGUAUAAAUUUAUAGGGAACUUUAAGAAACCCUAUUAACUUUGGAAAGAGUAAGUCUUUUCCAAAAUUAUCCCAUAAAUCCUAAUUAUGGACUUAAUAAUCCUUGUUAAUAAGGGCAAUAAUGUAAUUUAUGAUUUCUAAUAAAACUAAAUUUUCAUAAUUUAAAAUCAUGAACAUUUGGCAUUACACUAACUCAUUUAAAACAAACCUUAAGUGUAGAAGCUUAUUAGAAACCUUUUGAAAAACUGUCCCACCGUGUUGAUAGGUUACCUGACAAUUAUUAGUGGGUUGUUUUAUUGCAAGUCUCAAAGGCGAAAUUCACUUAGAUGUCAAGAUUAACCAGCUGCGAACCUUAACAGAUACUAUUGGUGUCGCUCAGUUCAUCGAGGAAUGUAAAAACCUGCAAAAAAAAAAAAAAGGUUCUUUUUGUCCUUCAACAAUUACAAGGGUACAAACAGCCAUGCCAAACAAUUUAACUGGUUUGUUGGGCCCUUCAGCAACUUAAAAAAUGAACCAUGGCCCUAGUAACUCACCGAUUCGCUUUCGGUGCAUCACAAGUCAAGAGGCCCAUAAAUGACGUGAGAAAGGACUUUAUUAUUAUUACGAUGAAAAAUUUUUUCCUGUCACCGUAGCCAAAGUCCCUAAUUAUUUAUGAUUGAAAUUCUUUAGAACACAACUAUAUUGAAGCUACAAAAGAUGAAGUUAAAUUGGACAUCAUUGAGUCAAUACUGAAGAUCUCGUACCAUGCAAUUACAGGCACUGAGCAUCCACAAACCAUCUACGUCUUAAGGAAAUUGAAAAAACAAGGAUAUCAUGGUAUUGAUUAAUGGCGGAAGUACCCACAACUUUAUAGAUCAAUAUGUAGUUUCCAAAUUUGGAUUGCUGGUAGUACGCGAUAUGAACUUCCAAAUCAUGACACAGAACCAUCAUCAUACUUCUAUGUACUACUAGUAUCCGCAUGGUAGGCUGUGUUAGGGGUCCAGUGGCUAGAAACCUCGGGUACCAUCAUAACUUAUUAUAGUAAGUUGACCAAGACCUUUACUUAAGAUGGAUAGGCUCACACUUAUAGAGGUAUAGGAAGACCGAAAAUUCACGGACUUGAAUGAUAAUGAAUUGUUAUGUUUAGAUGGCACUAGUUUCUUCUUUUAGAUCACUUUAGGUGAUGAACAAAUAUGGCCCCAAGAAGUAUCCUGCAGACCUCCGACCUCAACAGAAUAUGGUCAUGCCUUUAAUCUUCCUAAUGAAUUACCACUAAAGAGGUCUAUAACCACCACAUAUAGUUGCAACCAAAUCAAGGCCAAGUAAGCGUUCGUCCGUAUAGGUUCUUAUAUUAUCAAAAGACUGAAAUUGAAAAUAUAGUAAGGGAAUUACUCGAAUCUGGCAUAAUACAACAAAGCACCAGCCCUUUUUCAUCACCAGUAUUACUUGUCAAAAAAGCAGAUGGGGGUGGCGCUUUGUAUAGAUUGUCGAGUGUAGAACAACAUUACCAUUAAAUACAAGUAUCUGAUACUUAUAAUCGAUAAGCUUUUGGAUAAGUUGCACGAAGCUACAUGCUUUUCCAAGUUAGCCUUGAGAUCAAGUAUCAUCAAAUACGUGUUCAAGAAGCAAAAAAUCACAAGAUAGCAUUCAGAACCCAUGAUGGCUAUUACGGGUUUAUCGUCAUGCCAUUUGGCUUGACCAAUGCACUUUCAACAUUCCAAAGCUUGAUGAUUGAUUUAUUACGCCCAUGUUUACGAAAGCUUGUCCUAGUUUUUUUUUAACUAUAUUUUUGUGUAUAGUAAAACUUAGGCAAAUCAUAUUUUCCAUCUUCAAAUAGUCCAAUAGAUUUUAUCUGAUAACUCUUUGUUUGUGAAUAACGAAAGUGUUGUUUUGGAGUUUUGGAGGCAGAGUAUUUAGGCCAUCUUAUUUCCCUUGUUCAGUGGCAAUUGAUUUGAAAAAAAUCCAAACCAUACUUAAGCCGCCAAUUCCAAAGUCAACCAAAGAAAUAAAUGGCUUUUUGGAUUUGUCAAUUUUACCGAGGCUUUGAGGGAAUCACAACACCUUUAACAAGGUUAUUAACAAAGGAAGACUUACAUUGGACCUUAAAAGCAAAAUCUGCUUUCACCCAGUUGAAACAAGCAUUAAAACCCCCUCAUGUUCUCUGGUUGCUAGACUUUUCACAGUCGUUUGUUGUCGAGUGCGAUGCUUAUGGAGUCGGUAUUAGAGCCAUCUUAUCACAACAUGAUCAACUAGUGCCAUUUUUUAGUGACACACUCAAGGGUUCAGCAUUGGCCUUAUCUACCUACAAGAAAGAUAUGCUUGUAAUCAUCAAGGCAAUUCACAAAUGGCAUUCAUACUUGUUGGUAAGCCUUUCAUUGUUUGUGCAGACCAAAGGAGUCUCAAAUUUCUAAUGGAACAGCACAUUACACACUUGUUCAGAUAUGAUAGCUGCCAAAAAUUCUCAAAAAUGAUUAUACGAUUCAAUACAAAAAAGGAUUAGAAAAUUAGAGAGCCAACGCUUUUUCACGAUUGGCAAAGCUUGAAUUUUUAGCAAUCUCUCUUCCUUUAGCCGAUUGAUGGACCACUCUACAGAAUGAAGUAGCAUAAAAUCCCUUAUAUAGCCAAUUUUGACUUAAUCAUUAAUUCAAAGAGAUGGAGUCUAGUAUAAACAACGAAAGCUCUUUUUGAGUCCUGCUUAUUUCUACAAGCGAUUUUAUAGAAAGCGCACUCAUCACCAAUCAGAAGGUAUUUUGGCUAUUAAAAACUCUUAGCAGACUAAAAUCUAGUUUUUAUUAGCCUGGAAUGCAUGCAGAGAUUAAGAAUUUCAUACGGUGCUGUGAAGUCUUUCCAUGGUGUAAGGUUGAAAUCUACAACCAACAAAACUUCUCUAAUCUUUACCAAUUUUGGACAGAAUCUGGACAAAAAUUUCUAUGGAUUUCAUUGAUGGACUUCCACCAUCACAAGGUUACACUGUCAUUAUGGUAACUGUGGAUCAUUUGUCAAAAUACACACACUUCAUUAAUUUGAAACAUUCGUAUACAUCCCUGAUAGUGACUAAGGUUUUUAUAGCAUAAAUUGUGCGAUUCCAUUGGACACCAACUUCCAUCGUUAGUGAUAGAGAAACUAUUUUUUAUCCAUUCAUUUUGGAAGGCUUUGUUUCAAGGAACUAUACCAUCCACAAACUGACGGACAAAUAGAAGUUGUUAAUGGAAUCUUAAAAUAGUAUAUGUGUGUUUGGGAUUGAGGUUGGGCAGCUCUAACUUAAAAGGUAUAGCACUAAAGUGUUUGAUAAACACUAGAUGUUGUGACUUGGAAGCUAUGUUGAUAUGAUUUUUCACGUGUAUGAUGUAAAAUUUAUUAUGUCUUUAAUAAUUUUGUCAAAAUUAUUAUUUAAAAUUUAUAUUUACUACAUAUUGUUAACCUUUGUUUCAUAAUUACAAUUUGUUUUUCACAGCAGCUGUAGCUUAAAUGCUACAACACAUCAAUUCCAAACAAGAUCUAUCUCUAUUACUUCACAAGUGAACCAAACAGCUCGAUUGGCUCGAUUAGCUACCUUGGGCUGAGUAUAGCUAUAAUACGUCAACGCAUAUUUCCACCAAAAUUUCUCCUUUUAAAGCUAUCUAUAGCAUACCUCCUCUAAACUAAUAUUCAUGUUGUGGGUGAGACACUAAGGGACCAUGAAUCCAUUUUGUGUGAUCUUCGAUGCAAUUUGAUUGUUGCUUAAGAUAGAAUGAAAAAUCAAGCCGAUCAUCAUUACAGGGAAAUUGUUUCUAGUGUUGGCGAUUAUUUGUACCUCAAAUUUUUAUCCUUAUCAUCAUAAGUCUGUAGCUUUUCGUAGUUCUCUCAAGCUAGCUCCAUGUUUCUUAUGGCCUACAAAUUGGAGUUACUAAGAGGGUCCAAAUCCAUAAUGUGUUUUAUAUCAAUCUCCUAAGAAAGUUGGUUGAGCCCAUGCCCCUGCAGCUUUGAAACUACCCCUAUAUUGGAGGAUACAUCAACUAUACUGCCUCAGCCUGAGUGUAUACUUGAUAGACGUAUCAUUCAUAAAGGAAUUUAUACCUCUAAGGAGCAAUGAUAUAUGCUGCAGACUUAUAUCACCAUGCAAUCUUAGGAAAUGCUUAAAUAAGACCGAGUUAGGCAUAACUGUUAGUUGAUAAAUAUCGAAUAAGUUGGUGGCUUAUAUUUAGUGGUUAUUUAGUUUCUAUUUCCUCUUAGUUUUUGCUUGUUAGUUUCUAUUUCAAGGCAAUAAAGUGUGUAACUCAGUUGUGCUACAGGAUCUAUAAAUGACCAACAUUUUCAUUAAUAAAGGAAGCAAUUUAUAUAGACACUAUUCCCUUCUCUAAACUUCUUGCUUCACCUUAUCUGUUUGUGGUUCUUAUUAAAAGAAAAAUAAAAUAAAAUUACAAAAUAAAUUAUGUAUAUCUGUAAUUUAUGUAUAUCUGUAAUUUCAAUUGUUGACCUAGGACCUAAUUUUUGAAUUUGUAAUUGAGAUUGGUGUAGGUUGAUUUGAAGUGAUUAUUUUCAAGCAACAUGGCUUCUUUCAGUUGGCCCAGAAAAUUAAGGUGUUUGCGUCGAAAUUUGGAAGAUGACACAAUUUUUAAUUUUGCUUUUGAAAAGAUUAUGUUUACAAUGGUACCUUGAGGUUAAUUUUGGAUUUUGUCGUGAAUUGAUUAUUUUUAAAUCACCUCUUAUUUUAUUAAAAUUCAAUUUACCUCUUAUUCUUAUUAAGAAGACAAAAAAAAUAAAUUCAUCAACCCACACUUUUUUCUUAUCUUUUGAACAAAAAUAGAGAUAAUUUAAGUUUUUAGAAGUAAGGAGAUAAUUUAAAAAUAGUCAAUUUACUAGAGUAAUUCGAAAUUGAUCCUAAAUUGUCUAAUACUAGGUGCCGUUUCAUGCAAAAAGCUUAUAAUAUUAAGACAACUUCCAUUUCAUUUUUUUUAUUCGAGUCACUGUGGUAUAUUUAACCAUUCACUUUGUAUGGAAAAAUUAAAUCAAACAUCCUAAAUUUCAAUUUCUAAGUCGGUUACCAAAAAUGAUGACUUUUUCUUGAGUAGUGAUAUUCAACUCCCUAAAUAUUAUCUCACGAGACCCCAUUUUCUUUUAUGCCUCAUUAAUUUUCAAAAUUGAUUGUUUGUCAUACUAAUGUUUAUUAGAGGCUGUUUUAGACAAAUAAAUUUCUAAAGUUCAAUAUUUUAGAGUGAAAAAGAAAUAAAAAAUUAUAAAAAUAAAAUCAAGCUGGGAUUGUAUUGUACUACUCAUCAAAUUGCUAUAGGAUGAAUGCAAUAAAGAAAUAAAAGCAUUUGACGCUUAUAAGUUAUAACAUGCAAGCUAAAAUAUAAAGGAGAAGAGAAGCUGCGUUAUUGGGUUUGAUUGAAAAGUAAAUACAUGACAGUUUCUAUUCUUUGUGGUAAUUUCAAUAUUAGAGGGGUCUCAUGAGAUGAAACGGGGGGGCCAAAUAACUACACUCCUUUUACUUCUCAUACGAAUUAGGGGGUGUACCAAAUAAGCCUAGCCAAGCAGGGCCUGAGCUCCGUACCGGCUUGGUGAGGCCCCAUUUUCAGUUCAAAACAUAGAACUAUUAACACCCCUCCAUUCAUCUUACAAAACCCCGCUAUUGUGAUUACAAUAAAGGACAAAAUAUAAAUUUAACUCGACCUCGACGUGGUCGGUUCUAUUUCUCAUAACACUCUUCUAGUCUUUUUCAGACACACCCACACAAUCCAAUAAGUUGGCAGAGGAUUUGACACGAGUAGGAGAAGAAUCUUGCAAUGAAUUAGUGCAUGCAUUUAUUUCAUUGCCUCCAUAUCAAAAAUAUAUUGAUUUUAUUAUAAUUAAUACCCGAAAGUCUGAGAAGAUUGAGGAACAAAUCGUGGAAAACAGAUAGAUAGAGAGAAAUGUUGAUGAAAUGCUGUGGCACAAACACAAAAUGAAGUGAAAGUGUUGGGUAGCAAGAAUCAUGCGGAACAAGAAGCAAAAAUUUCAUGUUUAUCAAUCAACAAAACUUUUGUCACCGACAAAUCUGUAGAUUGUGGUGGCUAGCAAGACUCCAUAAGGAAAAGAAAAAAAAAACAUUUUCUUUUUUCUUUUUUCUUUUUUUGGUUUUUUUGAGUGAGAAAAAUUACUAUCUAGUAUGAUGACAUUUUCAGAAUUAAAGCGAACAAUUAAUAGCAAUAAAGGAUUUUUCAGUAUUAUUUAAUAGAAUUACUUAAAGAUGGAGUUCAAGAAGAUUUUAAAGGGUGCCAAUAGUUGAAUUCUUACAUGAAAUGAAAUUAUGUAACAUGGGCCUAAAAACAUUCGACAUAACCUAUCUUGUAAAAUGAAUUUUCCAAAAUGUUUAACCUGUCAACAUAUUUGAGAUAAACCAAUAAUUCAUCCGGAUUAGAAAGGUUUUCUUCAAUUACAUAGGUCUUGUUUGAAAUUCUCAAUCGGGUCAUGCUAGCUAGGAAAUUUGUGUAAUCAAACUAAAAAUUUAUUUCCAAAAACUUUACCCGGCGGCUUAGCUCCGCCCUUGGUAGUAUAUAUAUCGCUCUUGCAUAAUAAUUAUGAUCUCAUCAAAGGAGAUUAUUUGUUAAACAUAUGAAAUUUGAAAUUUAUUAAUUUUAGGCUUUUUUUAAUAUUUUUUUUUUUUUUAUAAUUUAUGUCUGAUUUUUAAACAUGUACAUCUACAUAUAAAAAGUAAAUUUUUGUUACUUUUUUUUUAUUAAAAGGAGCUCAACAGAACGAGCUAAACCGGAAUAAACCAGGGUUGAAUAACCCCAAACAUGUCUUGCAAUAUAAUUGAAUAAAUACCCACAGUCGGGCUAGUAAAUAAAUGCAAACCAUGAGAAACUGAAUGAGUCAUAUUAGCCAUGAAAUCCGCAACUAAAUUUGCUUCACGAAAAAUGUGUGUGAUAGAAAUUUGCCAGUUUCUGCUUAGUAAUUCCCGGACAAUAACAACUAUAGCAUAGAAAGUAUUAGGCACGACCACUUGCUUAGAUAUCAUCUGAGUAACACAAAGACUAUCCACUUCCACCAAAAGACGUUUUAUGCCAGCAUCCCACGCCAGGAUUAAGCCUUCAUAUAGACCUCAUAGCUCAACCAUAAUCACCGAACACUCCCCAAUAUUCAUACAAAAUCCAAAAAUCCAGUGACCGAUAGAAUCACGAAUAACACCACCAGCCCCUGCAUCCCGUGAAUUUUUUACAAGAUCCAUUCGUAUUCAAUUUACACCAUGGCCAUGGAGGAGGCUGCCAGCCAAUAAACAUCUCCUUUCUCCUCGGUUGCUGACUCGUGAGAAUUAUUCACUCUAUGAAUUUCAUUAGCUCUGGCCAUAAUAUCCAGAUAAAUUGUUGAGCUAUCCGCCAAUUUCCCAUCAACCAUAAAAUGAUUCCUCCAUAACCAUAACCUCCAAACGGCCACGCCGAAAACACACUCCCAAGGGAUAGGAGAAACAAACUUCCAUUUAUUCUGUAAAUUAGCAGCAAUCCAGUCCUGUAAAUUAGAGUGAAAAAAAGUAUAAUGCUCAUACACUGGGACAAGUUGAAGCCAAAACCGUUUAAUACAAUGGCAAUCUCGUAAUGCAUGAAAAAUAUCCUCAACCAAAGCCCCACAUCUAUCACAAGCCAUAGACACGGGAAUGUGACUCCGAGACAGCUCACCGUGAGUCUUCAAUUUCUCAUACAUAAUCUGCCAAAGAAAGAGGCGGAUAGACUGAGGCCCCUUCCAAGACCAUGGUAAGUUCCUUGCUUCAUCUUGAAUGACUAGGUUUUGAUGACAAAUAGAGUCAUAGGCUGAGCGUACAGUAAACACAGCUCUUGGAUGAAAACUCCAGUAAAUUUUUUCUGUGCCAAGAUGAGAAGCAGGAGGCAUAACCGAGGCAAUUUACAUGAGAAUAUAAUUUGGCAGCAAAUGUUCAAAGCUCAGCCAAUUCCAGCUCCCUUGUUCAUUUGUAAACUCACUCACAGUAGCAUUAACAACUUCAUGAAAGAUCGAUUGGAGGGUGAAAGUUAUCAAAGGUUAAACAAGCAACUUACCAAUUUUCCUAACCAGUUGACCAGUUGUUUUCAGUGAGUGAAGAUUAAACAAGCGGCUUACCGGUUUUUCUAACUGGCUAUUCGAUUAUGGUCCAAUACGUAAUCUUUAGGAAAUAGUUAAUCGAUUAUCUAUAUCCGGCUAUCUAGUUCUUGGCUAGAGAAGAAACAUAGAGAAAUGGCUUACUAAUUGGUUACAAGCAGUAUGCCAGUUUUGUCUUAGAAAACAUUUGGCCUUUUAUUGAAUUUUGGUUAAUCGGUAAACUUGUCUUGCACGCACCAAUUUAUUUUUGGCUUAAAACUUGAUCAAUUUUAAAUCAUUUUGUGAUUCAAAACUUUUUAAUAGGCCUUUUAAUGCAUGAAACAUAAGCGCAUACAAGAGAAAACAUAUGAAAUUACUCAUAUCAAACAAUGAUGCCAGCAUGACACUACAGCACUUCCCCGAAUCCCUUGUUCCCUCCGUAUAGAGCCAGCGUUGGUCAACCUUGGCAUGGGGAAGUAGUGUCACCACUACCACUUCCCCGGCGUGUAAAUUAUAGAGCUAUAACUGUCCCCAAGCACACACAACCUAAAAAAAAUUAUAAUUUAAGAUGCAACAUUCAUCAUUCCAAACUCAUGUCUAAUUUUUAUAAACUGCUCUUCACUAUGGGGUUUUGUAAAUAUAUCUGCAAGUCGAUUUUUAGUAAAAACAAAUUUAAUCACAAUAUCUCCUUUUUUAACAUGAUGUCUUAGAAAAUAAUGUCUAAUCUCUAUAUGUUUAGUCCUAGAAUGUUGAAUGAGAUUUUUCGAAAGAUUGAUAGUAUUUGUAUUGUCACAUAAGAUAGGUAUUUGAUCAAAAUUAAUAUUGUAGUCUCUGAGAAUUUGUUUCAUCCAAAGAGCUAUUUAUAUAUGAGUUUCUUGUUAAACAGAAACCAGCUGAGUCUGUAGGAGAGGGAAGGAAAAAGAAAAAAGAAAUAGCUAGAAAUCAGAUAAUCCAAAUCUAUAUAAUAUGGAAGCAAAAGCGACAGAUAUUGGGAGUUCUCUCGUGGAGCCUUCGAUUCUGGAGCUGGCACAUGAAGUCACUAUCCUCUUGAAUUUUUAUAACAAAAUUAUUAUUUUAUUAGACCCAAGUAGAUUGCAGUACAUGAUGAAACAAAAACAAACGUUAUGCCUUUAAUCGUGCAUUUCCAAAUAAACACAUAUUUUAAGUAAUUCCGAAAUUUACCACGAUCUCCCAUGAAUCCGAACUUGCAGCUUGUUAUGGAGCUUCAACAGAGUUGCUGCUGCUUCGGUCUAGCUUCUGAAUUCCGCUUUCUUUUCCUUAGCUCAAGGAUCGGCUUGCUUCAAAAUUUACUGUGCACACACACGGGAGACAAGAGAGAGAGAGAGGUGCACUGCACUCAUGCCACUAAUUUUUCGAACAGUUAACUUCCAAUGAGCUGAAGUUACUUAAAUACAGCGGUUGAGCGCAGGGACCCCUCAUGUGUUAGUAUAAAAUUGCCCAUCCCAUUAUGGGCGAAAAUAACACAAUUAAGGAUAUACUUGUCCAUAAUAUACUACUGUACAUGGUAUGUCAAAAUUGCUCAACAAUAUUUGACUUUAGUCACGUAUUAAUUCGGUAAAAUAUAGAAAAUAAUUAGAAUGAUUUAUGUCAGUCCACAUAAUGUGAGAAAUAAAUCUAACAAUCUCCCACUUGGACGACAGAAAUCACUCUAAUGAUAAAUUUAAAAUAAAAUAAUAUUUUGAAAACAACCGAAUUAAUCAAUAUGUGACUAUAACAAAAGGUCAAAUACAAGCAAUCACCCAAAACAUAAACAAGUCCAAAAUGUGCCAUAAAUAUCAAAUCAUAUGUGCACCGACAGGAUGCUCCAUAUAACAAGACACUUAUAAACACGUGACCAUGUAGUAGUAUACAAGUAUAAUUAUGGAAAUAACAUGACAAUGUGAUCAACAUGCUUGUUGAGUGUUAGAAAAUACAUAUUUAUAAAGGAGAAAACCAUCAUUUUACAUUUCAAGUCUUACUAACAACUCUUACUUUUAUGUAUUUAACCUUCUUGUGAUGUAAUUACGCGUGUGUUAUUUUAAUUAAGUAUUUUAUGUAUUUUAGGGGUAUUAUAGUCAUUUCACAAUAAAGGAGAGAUCAGAUGGCAAAACGGACAUCACUUUUGAACUCAGGACGGUCGAAAACCUUAGGAGGGGCAUAAAAGGAAAAAUGGCACUAUUCACAUGUACGGUACUAUUCACGUAUACGGUACUGUAUAUGUUACUGUUCACGGCAUUGACCGAUGAUGUGGCAUUGACUGAUGAGGUGUCACGAUCCUGUUGGACUAAAAUUCUUAUGUACUGUUGAUGGUAAAUUUCUUAUGUACUGUUGAUGGUGACGUGGCAGCAUAUCAGUGGACGAAAAAUCUCGCGUACGGUGCAUGCAUCACACAGGAUUAUUUUCAACUAAACCGCGUUACUGUUCAUCCGGGUCAAACCGUGUUACUGUUCAUCUGCGUGGUCAAACCGUGGACUGUUGACUGAUGACGUGGCGCAAUCCUGAGCGUCCAAACUGUUUUUAAUCCGAUGGCCAUGAUUUACUCCAUGUAUCUAUAAAAAGGGGGCCUCCCCCCCCUAAUUUGAUAUCUCUGAAUCCAUUUUUGGGAUCCAUUUUCUGUAAUUCCUUCUCCAUCUUGUAUUUUCUUUGUAUUUUAAUAAAUUCCCUUUUUGCCCCUAGUUCAAUUAUGAGUGGCUAAUUUUCUUUCAAGCUUGGGUUGAAGGUGAAGUCUCAACAUGUGUCAUGGGCUUUAUUUGGUAAAUUUAUUUUCUUUUCCCCUCUAGUUUUUGUGGAUGAUUUGACUUAUCGUCGACAAAUAAUACUGAUCUUGUCUAGAUACCGCCUUGGUUACACCGGCUCUCUAGUAUAAGGUUAUUAUUAUUUGGCACGAUAAGCCCUUAACACCAUAUUGAUUAGAGCGUGGUUCAUGAGGUGUGGAUUCCCCCCUCAUGAUUUAAUUGGCAUUAAUACGGAUUAUUUAGCCCAUGAUGCAUGUUGAUACGGAUCCAGAUACCCAAGUACGUCAUUUCAAUAGAAUUCUCUUCAAUUUAUUCUCGCCAUUUCAAUUCCAAUUUCAGAAUUUAUUCUCACCAUUUUAAUUUAAGUUUUAGCAUAUUCCAAAUCAUUUCCACCACAGAUCCAAUCAACCAUUUGCAAAAUUAAUUCUAUACACAAUUAAAAUCCACCUCCUCGUGGGAUCGACACUCGUCACCAUUGAUCUAUACUACAAUAGAUUCGUGCACUUGCGAGUACAUUAAAAUUUGCACAACAAGUUUUUGGCGCCGUUGCCGGGGAGGUAAGUAAUUUUAAUUCAUAGAAUUAAUUUUUGUGAAUAAUUUCUUUUAUUUUGUUUUCUUGUAUUUUUUUUAUAAAAAAAAAAAAGUUAAUCUACAUUUAAAGGUUAGUAUUUCUUUUCUUUUUCUCUUCUUUAAAAAUUCUGUAAUUUAAUUUUCAAUUUAUUUUUUCUUUGUAAUUUUUGUUUAUUUUAUUCAUUUAAUUUUUAGUUAAUUUAUUUCACGUAUUUGUUUUUGUGUAUUUUUAUAGAAAGGUUGUAAUAGCGCAAUAAGGUUAGUAUCGUAAUUUCUCCCUCUUCUUUAUUUUUAUUUGUUUUGUUCCCAUCUUUAUUUUUAUUUUAUUUGUUUUGCAUGCAUGGUCGUAGGUCAUUAUUACCUAAUCUUGAACCUAUAGACCUUGAAUUAGAAAAAACACUUCGCACACAAAAGCACAUUAAAAAUAAAUUUGGAAUGGAUUUACAAGCACCACAGGAGAGGCCAUUUAAGGACUAUUUUAGUCCCUUAGCUAAUUUGAGCACAUCAUGCAUAAGAUACCCAAAUGUAGCUGCUAGGAGUUUUGAAUUAAAACCUAGUGUGCUAAAUUGUCUCCCCACAUUUUAUGGCUUAGAAAAUGAGGACCCAUAUAAUCAUCUGAAUGAUUUUCAUGCCAUAUGUCAAACUUUUAAAUACGAAAAUUUUUCAGACGAUGAUGUAAAACUUAGAUUAUUCCCAUUUUCUUUAAAAGAUAGAGCUCGUUCAUGGCUUAAUACAUUGCCUGCUAAUAGCAUUGCAUCAUGGGAACAAAUGGUUACAAAAUUUCUAAAUAAAUAUUUCCCAGUGCAUAAAACCAAUUCUAUUCGCAGGGAAAUUUCAGAGUUUACACAAAGAGAGGACGAGCAGUUUUUCGAAACUUGGGAGCGAUUCAAUGGACUACUCUUGAAGUGUCCACAUCAUGGGUACGAGAAAUGGCACCAAUGCCAAUACUUUUUGGAGGGAUUAUUGCCGAAUGUGCAAGAAUGGCUAAUGGCAACAAGUGGAGGAGAGCUAAUGUCAAAAAGUGCAUAAGAGAUUUGGGAAUUCUUCCAGCGACAAGCGGAUAAUUCCCAACAACGGAGUCGAUCACUCAGGAAUACUAGAAGAAUUAAAGGAGUAAAUGAGGUUCACAUUGGCGAGUCAAGUUCAGAAAUCAAAGAAGUCAAGGAGAUAAUUGAAGGUCUCUCUCGACAAAUAGCAUCGUUAUCAACUGCUAAAUCAACAGAGCCACAUGACCAUGACACAUACUCAGAUCAAGCCAAUGCCAUAGGUGUAAUGAGAAAACCAUCAAAUUACAACCCAUACUCCAACACAUAUAACCCUGGGUGGAGAGACCACCCCAAUUUUUCAUGGUCUCAAGGAUUCCAACAGAAUGGACCAGCAGCUCCAGCUCCACAAAUUCCUCAAGUUCCUCAAGCCUCUCAGCCACCAUUCAAACCAUACAAUCAGAACCAGAACUACUCUCAACCCAGACCAUGGGAGGAUUCAUUCCAGAAUCUCAAGAAUGCUACUCACUCUACGAUUGAGCAACAGAAUCGCACCAUUGAUGGACUACGAAAUGAGUUGAGAGCGGGCUUCAAUUCACAAGCCCAAUCAGUUUCAAGCCUCGAGAAGAUGGUGGGACAGCUUGCUUCUUCAGUUCAGACCUUGGCAAUGACUGUUGAGAAAGGCAAGUUUCCGAGUCAACCAGUGCCUAAUCCUAAAGGAGUGCAUGAAGCAAGUACCAGUUCACCACAGCAGCAUGGAGAGGUCAAAGCAGUAAUGACCUUGAGAAAAGGAAAAGAAGUCGACAAUAAAGUGGAGAUGCCGGUGAUAAAAGAAAAUCAAAUUGUACCUGUAAAUGUUGACGACUCAUCACCGGAGGAGAAAGAAGAAACCAACCCACGAGAAUACAUUCCGAAAGCUCCAUUUCCUCAGAGGUUAGCGAAAGGAAAAAAGGGAAAAUCCACAGGUGAGAUUCUUGAAAUCUUCAAACAGGUAAGUGUUAACAUCCCUUUGCUUGAUGCUAUAAAGCAAGUUCCAUCUUAUGCUAAGUUUCUUAAAGACCUUUGUACUAAAAAGAGAAAUAUGCAUGUUCAAAAGAAGGCAUUUUUAACAGAAAAUGUUAGUUCUAUACUCCAACAUAAAAUUCCUCUAAAAUGCAAAGACCCAGGCUCCCCCACUAUCUCAUGUAGUAUAGGGAACCACACAAUUGAGAAUGCUUUGUUGGAUUUAGGAGCUAGUGUAAAUCUGUUGCCUUAUUCAGUAUUCGUGAAACUUGGACUGGGAGAAUUACACCCAACUCCAGUGGUGUUACAGCUUGCAGAUCGGUCCACGAAAAUACCUCGUGGUAUUGUGGAGGACGUGCUUAUCCAGGUAGACAAGUUUUAUUUUCCUGUUGAUUUCAUUGUAAUUGACACUCAACCAAUACAGGACUCAAGGAAGCACAUCCCCAUUAUUCUAGGCCGACCUUUCUUGGCAACUGCGGAUGCUCACAUUCAAUGCAGGACUGGAAAUAUGCAGUUGUCCUUCGGCAACAUGACUAUGGAGCUUAACAUCUUCAACAUUGCCAAACAACCUCACAGUGCAGAUGAUGGAAUUGUUGAUGUGGAUUUAAUAGAAACAAUAGUUGAUAAUACUUUUCUUUCAAACCUUAGUGAUGAUCCUUUACAAACAUGUUUAACUCACUUUGGUUUGGAUUUUAAUAUUGACAGAUCGAUUGAUGAGGUCAACGCCCUACUUGACUCAGCACCAUCCAUGGACACUAAUAAAUGGAAGUCAAGAGUUGAACAACUAGCACCAUCAGAGAAGAAACUCAUCCCAUCAUCAGAAUCACCACCGAAGCUCGAGCUCAAACCAUUGCCCAACACUCUGGAAUAUGCGUUUUUGGGAGAAGAAAGCACUCUGCCGGUAAUCAUCUCAUCAUCCCUAAAUGACGAACAAAAAGGUAAGUUGUUGGAUGUUUUAAAAGAGCACAAAGGGGCAUUAGGAUGGACCAUAGCAGACAUAAAAGGUAUAAACCCAGUAGACUGCAUGCAUUACAUUCACCUUGAUGAAAAUGCUAAAACUACUAGGGAAAUGCAACGUCGGUUAAAUCCUAAUAUGAAAGAAGUUGUUAGAACAGAAGUCCUUAAGCUAUUAGACGCAGGUAUCAUUUACCCAAUUUCUGAUAGUUCAUGGGUCAGUCCUGUACAAGUUGUCCCCAAAAAGUCAGGAGUCACAGUAGUUACCAAUGCUGAUAAUGAAUUGAUACCAACUAGAGUAACUACAGGAUGGCGUGUAUGCAUUGAUUAUAGAAAGUUGAAUUCUGUCACACGUAAAGACCAUUUUCCUUUACCAUUUAUCGAUCAAAUGCUUGAUAGAUUAGCAGGCCACGAAUUUUAUUGCUUUCUAGAUGGCUACUCAGGAUAUAAUCAGAUUCCCAUAGCACCAAAAGAUCAGGAGAAAACUACUUUCACUUGCCCUUUUGGCACUUUUGCAUAUAGGAGAAUGCCAUUUGGAUUAUGUAAUGCACCUGCUACAUUCCAACGAUGCAUAUUGAGCAUUUUUUCUGAUAUGGUUGAACGAUUCCUUGAAGUCUUUAUGGAUGAUUUUUCUGUCUUUGGUGACUCGUUUGAUCAAUGUUUACAUCAUCUAACGCUAGUUCUGCAGAGAUGUACCGAGAAGAACUUAGUCUUGAAUUGGGAGAAGUGCCAUUUUAUGGUAAAACAAGGUAUUGUUCUCGGUCACAUCAUUUCGAGCAAAGGUAUUGAGGUUGACAAAGCCAAGGUGGAUCUCAUUUCUAAUCUUCCUCCACCUAAAACAGUCAGAGAAGUAAGAUCUUUCCUUGGGCAUGCUGGUUUCUAUAGACGUUUCAUUAAAGAUUUUAGCAAAGUUUCUAGACCCUUAUGCAAUCUACUUGCUAAGGAUGUAUCUUUUAUCUUUAAUGAUUCAUGUCUAAUGGCGUUUGAAAAAUUAAAGCAGUUGUUGACAUCAUCACCCAUCAUUCAGGCCCCAAACUGGAACUUACCAUUUGAGCUCAUGUGUGAUGCAUCUGAUUAUGCAGUAGGAGCAGUAUUAGGACAAAGAGUUGAUCGAAUUCCCCAUGUUAUUUACUAUGCUAGUAUGACAUUGAAUGAUGCACAGUUGAAUUAUUCAACUACUGAAAAAGAAAUGCUAGCAGUAGUGUUUGCAUUAGAGAAAUUUCGAUCUUAUCUCAUUGGUUGUAAAAUAAUUAUAUUCACAGAUCAUGCUGCUCUUAAAUAUCUUUUCACAAAGAAAGAUGCAAAAGCUAGACUAAUUCGUUGGGUGUUACUUUUGCAGGAAUUUGACUUGGAAUUCAAAGAUAAGAAAGGCACAGAGAAUGUUGUAGCUGACCAUCUCUCUCGCCUCCAUUUUGAUACAAUUAUGGAACCAUUACCAUUGAAUGAGUCAUUUCCAGAUGAACAAUUAAUGAAUGUGGAAGUAUUACCUUGGUAUGCUGAUAUAGUUAAUUAUCUUGUUACAGGUAAACUUCCAGAGCAUUGGACCAAGCAAGAUAAGGCUAAAUUCUUUGCGGAAAUAAAGAAUUUCUUUUGGGAUGACCCGUAUUUGUUCAAGUAUUGUGCAGAUCAAAUUGUUAGACGAUGUGUCCCAGAAAGUGAAAUUCAAAAUAUUCUUUCAUUCUGCCAUGCACAAGCUUGUGGAGGCCACUUCAGUGCUAAGAAAACCGCGACUAAAGUUUUACAAUGUGGUUUUUAUUGGCCAACUAUAUUUCGAGAUGCUUACACUUUCUGUUCUUCAUGUGAUAGGUGUCAACGAAUGGGGAGUAUUACACGAAGGAACAUGAUGCCACUAAAUCCAAUUUUAGUGGUUGAGAUUUUUGACGUAUGGGGUAUCGACUUCAUGGGACCCUUUCCCCCUUCUUUUGGCCAUCAAUACAUAUUGGUUGGUGUUGACUACGUAUCGAAAUGGGUAGAAGCAAUUCCAUGUAGAACCAAUGAUCACAAGGUGGUGAUAGGAUUUUUGAAAAGCAACAUUGUUUCGCGCUUUGGAUUCCCUCGAGCAAUAAUCAGUGAUGGUGGUGCCCACUUUUGUAACAAAGCAUUCAAAGCUCUUUUGACAAAGUAUUCAAUCACACACAAAGUGGCAACUCCGUAUCAUCCGCAAACCAGUGGCCAAGUUGAGAUAUCCAAUCGUGAAAUAAAGCACAUAUUAGAAAAAACGGUGAGGCCAGACAGAAAAGAUUGGUCAUUAAGACUUGAUGAUGCAUUAUGGGCAUAUAGAACGGCUUUCAAGACCCCGAUUGGGAUGUCACCCUACAGGCUAGUGUAUGGAAAAGCUUGCCACCUACCUGUGGAACUCGAGCAUCGUGCAUAUUGGGCCAUCAAGAAAUUCAACUUUGACAUGCAGCAAGCCAGCUCAGAAAGAAGAUUACAGCUGGCAGAACUUGAAGAAAUUCGCAAUGAUGCAUACGAAAAUGCCAAGAUUUACAAGCAACGAAUGAAAGUCUUCCAUGAUAAGCAAAUUAUGAGAAAAUCGUUCACUCCAGGUCAGAAAGUGCUUUUAUUCAAUUCUCGCUUGCACCUAUUCCCAGGUAAGUUACGCUCUCGUUGGUCUGGCCCAUUUAUUGUACAUACUGUUUUUCCACAUGGGGCAAUUGAAAUUAAGGACCCAAAGAACGGUGUCACGUUUAAAGUUAAUGGUCAAAGAUUAAAGCCAUAUCUUGAGUACCAACCACAUGGAGAAGACACCGAAAUAAAUUUGAGUGACCCACCAGAUUUGAAUUGAUUUUUUCUUUUUGUUGAUUUGAUUUUUCUUUCUUUCUUUUUAUUAUUCUUUUGCUAAUUGAAAUUAUUUUUGCAUAAGUGUGUUUGUUUUACCAUUAAGUUUUUUCUUAUCAUUUUUAAUCAUGAGUCUCCUACUUAGACCGUUCCUCCUGAACAUUCUUAAACCACUUCAACGUGUCAAAACUCAUCUCAAAAAGCAGAUUCAAUUUUGUAAAACACAACGCAUUUGGGCUCUACAACCACCAGAGUUAGUAGCCUAUGUUGAGGGUUUAGAACGCCAACUCAGAGACAUUGAGAGAAGUGUUUACGACAUCCAGUUGGAGCUUGAGGUAAAUUCAAUAAGAGGACGAUUUUAAUUUUCUUUGUGUUUUAAUUUGUUUUUCUGUUUGUGUGCUUUAGUUUGUUACCCCGGUGAAGUGGCGGAUAACGGUACUCCGUGACAAUCAAGUCGGUUACUUCAGUUUCCCACAAUAACUGACAUUCUGAGGUGAAAGUAUGGACAGAAACGAGAUUCUAGCGAAGCUUCACAAGCGAUUCCCUUCACUUCCUCAGAAUGCCCUCCUUACGAUCUAUAAAGCCCGGUCUGAACGCAUGCGAUUGCUCAUGAGGAAUAACAUCCUGCAGACAUCCGUUGGUUAAUUGAGGCUAAAGUACGAUCGGCAGGUGAGUUACCUCCAAAAUUUAUUGCAUUCAUGCCUGGUUGUGGUAAAGGAAAUUAUGCAAGAAAACGACGAGCUCGAAGAAUUUCUGUUGCUUGUCAUAAGUGUGCCAGAAUGAGUUGCGAUAGAAACCCAUGUUCUUUAGGAAUGGUGUCUGAUAACAGGGAAGAUAAGAUUCAAUUCAUUAGGGAUGGCUUGAAUAAGGAGUCAUUGGAUGAUAUCCUUUUGUCUCUUGAAACGCAUCCCAGUGGAUAUGUGCAAGGAGCGAUUCUCCAGUUAUGGCCAUUAUUCCAGAAAGAGCAUACACGAUAUAGUCUCGGGAAUCUGACUAUAAACGACCCUGUUUGCCAGUUUAUAAGAAAACUGGAUGGGAAGCCCAUCCUCGACCCAUAGAGGGCGUUCAAGCCGUUUCUGGACGUAAAACCAGAGGAAGAUGUGAGCCACAGUCGCAACUACGUGUAAAUAUCCUUUUACUUUACUGUUAUUUUAUUUCAUUUCACUGUUGUUUUAUUGUUUGCAUUAUUGUCUUUAAUAAUUUUAUUACUGUUUGCUUUUUCCUUUUUACUGUUUCUUUUUUGACUCGCGAGCCACGUGCUUUAUGCGUUAUUUGACACUGACAUGUUACCUCAUUCACAGCUGUGAUCCAUUGUCACCAAGAUUUUUAAAUAUAACUUUUUGUUACGAACUCACAAAUUGUUUUUGAGAAGUAUCACAAUGGCAGCUACUCCCAAUAGACAAUUCAAGAACAUUUGUGUGCUUUCUGGAUUUACCUAUGGCAAACAUAAAGAGUUCGUGGAGGCAGCCAUAGAUCUUGGUCGAAGCAUAGCAGCGAGAAAAUUACACUUGGUGUAUGGAGGAGGUAACCGAGGGUUAUCAAAAAUGGUCUCAGAAGCAGCUUUUAUCAGAGGAAGUCAAGUGUUAGGCAUCAUCCCAAGAGUCCUAAAACCAUUGGGCAGUUCGUCUGACUCAUCAACUGGAGAAGAGUUAGUCGUCUCAGGUAUGCAAGAAAGAAUAACUGAAAUGCUUAAUCAUGCUGAUGCUUUUAUUUUCCUUCCAGGAGAUCUUGCAACACUAGAGGCACUUAUCACACUAGCAUCUUGGGCCCAUCUGCACAUCCACCAGAAACCCAUCGGUUUGUUAAAUGUCAAUAACUUUUAUGAUGGCUUUAUCGCAUUUCUUAACCAUGCAAUAAAAAACUAUUUCAUUCCUUCUAAUGUGAAAAAACUCUUUAUUUGUGCUCACACUGCUAAUGAGCUACUUGAUAUGUUACAAGCUUAUAAACCGGAGCCAGACCCCUGGACCUUUGUGUUGGAGCGACCAAAUAAUGAUGGUAACAGUAGCCGCAGUAAGAAGUACAAAUUAGAUUUAACUCUCCGCCUGUAAAUAUUUUCUUCUGUGUUGCACCACCCAGGUGAUGUCUUCUAAACUCUACUUCUUUCCUUUAAAACAUUGAGGACAAUGUUUCGUUCUGGUUGGGGGGAGGGAAUAGUCGACAAUUGUGGAAUCUUGGUUAAGUUUUUACUGAUUUUUUGUUGUAGAAACUAACUGUUGCUAACAUUUUGUGUUGAAGAUGGCUGAAUAUGGAGUGUAGUGACUCUAGAAACGCAUCUUCAUCGUUUAAAAAAAAAAAAAAAAUUCAGACAUUUUCUUUUUCUUUAUUAUGCGUUUAUGUUUAUUUUUCUUCUUUUUAAUUUCUCCUCUAUAAAUAUACAUUUUCCAACUUUUGAGUCGAAGAUGGCUGAAUAUGGAGUGUAGUUCCUCUAGAAACGCAUCUUCUUAAAAAAAAAAAAAAAAUCAUUUUCGUUUUCUAUCAUUUUACGUGUAACUUUUCUAAUUAGUUUUUAUGCAUCAUUUUCACAUUUCUGCAUGCAUAUUUUCCUUUCAUGUUUAGAAUAGGUUGGGGGUAGAAUGUUGUUAAAAAAAAAAAAAAAAAAAAAAAAAUUUUGUGAUUUGUUUUAACAUUGGAUGACAUGAUUAAUUUCAAAUUUUAGUAUUUGUAUUAUCUUUGGUCUUAAGUGAUGUUACGCUAUGUUUGCUACUUUACAUGUUGAUGUCGGAGACAAAUGUGAGUUGCUUGAAGGAAUGAACAUGUCAUAAUAAGUACCAAGUGAGUUUUUGAGCCUAUUAUUUUUCUUGGAGAAUAACCCUUUUGCCCACUCUUUAUACAGCUUAGCAGUUUAUUAUUUUACACACGAUCUCUAAAUUGCUUUUGAGUUAAAAAAAAAAAAAAAAAAAAAAUUGUAAAAUAAAAAAAAAAGAAGAAGAAAAGAAAAAAAGAGUAUGUUGCUACAUUUGGAGGCCCAUCUAACUAGUAGAUAUGAAAGAUUAUUUAGAGCCCUAAAAGACGAUGGAAAGGCCAUCUUUGAUCCGUUUGAGCCUUUCUAGCCAUCCCUUUUAUUAAAUAUCCAUAGUUAACCCUUUUGAGCCUUUAAAAAAAAAAAAAAAAAAAAAAAAAAAAAAAAACCUUUUUCUUUGUCAACUUAUCAUCUUGACCCACUCCGAUUUGGAGUAUUACCCAAUGUCUUAUAAGUUCCAUCACCUAUUUAUGUUUGAGAAAAUGUAAAUAAUUAUGUUGUUCAGUAAAGUUGUGCCAAAAAAAAAAAAAAAAAAAAAAAACAAAAAAAAAAACAAAACAAAAGUUGUUGUUUCAAAAGAAAAAAAAAAAAGUUGUUGUUUCAAAAGAAAAAAAUAAAAAUAAAAAUAAAAAUAAUAGGUGAAAUCCACCUUGCAACUUCUAAAAAAAAUAUAUUCUUUGCAUUUUUCUCAAACAUACACUUUGUUUUUCUUAUUUUCUUUCUUUGUUAGCCAUAUCCCUAGCCUACGUUACGUCCUAAUAAAAGUCCUUCUUGAUUUUAGGGAACUAUAGUUUGAAGUAGAAGCUAGUUAUAUGGGCUAAAAAGAUGUAGUGAUGCAUAAUAAUAAUAAAAAAAAAAAAAAAAAAAAGAUAAAUAAAGUGGGUUGACUAACAUUUUAUUUGACUUGAGAUCGUAUUAUUUCUAAGCUGAGGGCAUAUUUAUUUCAUCUUGGUGAGAGCAUGUGAUAUCAUUUCUUUAUUAUUUUCUCUCUCAAUUACCAUUCAUUGGAGUGACUAUGUUUAUCGGGUUUUAAUUUCUUUAUGAGAGUGUCACUACUUCCAGUGAGAUUUUGGGGUUUGACAUGUCAUUCUUGAAAGUAGCUAUAACAAAGUCUACUGGGCUAAUUCAUGUGGAUGGUUGAUGUGGGUGUGAUGUUGCUUUAGACUGGAGAUAAUGCUUAUACUUUUAUUUGAUUGCUAUCAUUAAUCUGAUUGAAUAAACACGAGUGUUUCAAAAAAAAAAAAAAAAAAAAAAAAUCAUUUUGAAUUUGAAUUUUGUUUUCGCUUUAUUUGCUAGGGACUAGCAAUAAGCUGGUUGGGGGGUGUGUUGAGUGUUAGAAAAUACAUAUUUAUAAAGGAGAAAACCGUCAUUUUACAUUUCAAGUCUUAUUAACAACCCUUACUUUUAUGUAUUUAACCUUCUUGUGAUUUAAUUACAUGUGUUUUAUUUUAAUUAAGUAUUUUAUGUAUUUUAGGGGCAUUAUAGUCAUUUCACAAUAAAGGAGAGAUCAGAUGGCAAAACGGACAUCACUUUUGAACUCAGGACGGUCGAAAACCUUAGGAGGGGCAUAAAAGGAAAAAUGGCACUAUUCACAUGUACGGUACUAUUCACGUAUACGGUACUGUAUAUGUUACUGUUCACGGCACUGUUCACAUAGACGGAUCGAUGACGUGGCAUUGACCGAUGAUGUGGCAUUGACUGAUGAGGUGUCACGAUCCUGUUGGACUAAAAUUCUUAUGUACUGUUGAUGGUGACGUGGCAGCAUAUCAGUGGACGAAAAAUCUCGCGUACGGUGCAUGCAUCACACAGGAUUAUUUUCAACCAAACCGCGUUACUGUUCAAAGUCGGGUCAAACCGCGUUACUGUUCAAAGUCGGGUCAAACCGUGUUACUGUUCAUCCGCGUGGUCAAACCGUGGACUGUUGACUGAUGACGUGGCGCAAUCCUGAGCGUCCAAACUGUUUUUAAUCCGAUGGCCAUGAUUUACUCCAUGUAUCUAUAAAAAGGGGGCCUCCCCCCCCUAAUUUGAUAUCUCUGAAUCCAUUUUUGGGAUCCAUUUUCUGUAAUUCCCUCUCCAUAUUGUAUUUUCUUCGUAUUUUAAUAAAUUCCCAUUUUGCCCUUAGUUCAAUUAUGAGUAGCUAAUUUCCUUUCAAGCUUGGGUUGAAGGUGAAGUCUCAACAUGUGUCAUGGGCUUUAUUUGGUAAAUUUAUUUUCUUUUCCCCUCUAGUUUUUGUGGAUGAUUUGACUUAUCGUCGACAAAUAAUACUGAUCUUGUCUAGAUACCGCCUUGGUUACACCGGCUCUCUAGUAUAAGGUUAUUAUUAUUUGGCACGAUAAGCCCUUAGCACCAUAUUGAUUAGAGCGUGGUUCAUGAUGUGUGGAUUCCCCCAUCAUGAUUUAAUUGGCAUUAAUACGGAUUAUUUAGCCCAUGAUGCAUGUUGAUACGGAUCCGAAUACCCAAGUACGUCAUUUCAAAUAGAAUUAUCUUCAAUUUAUUCUCGCCAUUUUAAUUUAAGUUUUAGCAUAUUCCAAAUCAUUUCCACCAUAAAUCCAACCACCCAUUUUGCAAAAUUAAUUCUAUACACAAUUAAAAUCCACCUCCUCGUGGGAUCGACACUCGUCACCAUUGAUCUAUACUACAAUAGAUUCGUGCGCUUGCGAGUACAUUAAAAUUUGCACAACAUAGUACCCCAAUUCUCCUAAGGAUAUUUACGUCUUUUUAAUUUUUAAUGAUCCUUUUUACCCUAAUAUAAAUAGAAUAAGAUGUCUUUCACAUUAUAAGAGAGAGAGAGAGAUGGAGAGAAAAGAGAGAGAAUAAAAGAAAAAUAAAAGAAGAAAGUCUUUUUCUUUGUUCUGUCAUGGGCAACACAUGGGAUCAAGUUGUUAUUGUUGGAAGAAGUUUUGGAGGUAAGUUUUAAUUAUUGGUUUCUAUUAAAUUGUUGUGGAGAAGUAUGAUUGCAAUAGAAGUAGAAACCUAAGAUUUUGCAGAAAUAUGCUGACAGUAACUUAUUUCGAAAAUCAUAGUAAUUUGUCCAAAUUGAUUUUGAUUCUGAUUUUUGGAUAUGUAAAACUAGGCAUCGUCUAUAAUGUUUUGAAACUUGUUUCAAGUUAAUCGGAUAAGAUUUCAAUUAAUUAUGAUUUUUCAAAUUCAAGUCUGAAAACCUGGAAAUUUAUGAUUUCAGUGAAUAACGUGAAAUACGAAAUUAUGUUUACCAUAGCCAGACUUCUUCAAAACUUAUGAAAUUUGGACCAAUGAUUUUAUAAAUGUCUAGUAUGAUUCUGUAAAUUUUCAUGAUUUUAUAAUAAAGCAAUAAAUUGUUUUGUAAUUUUAAAGCAAGUGUGUUCAAAACAGAAAACUGUUUGACAGUAUUGAUGAUGUCUGAAACGUCAAUUAUUUUCAAUAGUUUUUGAAUUAAUUAAGUUAUGAAAUUUUUAUCAAUGAACUUUCAAUGUGUCAACAUAUGGUCUGUAAAAUUUAAGAUUCUUCCAAUAAGGGAAUAAUUUAUUAAAACUCGAAGAAUAUGGACGGUUAUGUUUUGAGGGCCGAUUAUUGAGGACAUUGAGGUUGGGCUUAGGAGAUGUUUAAAUUGAGAUAUUUGAGGACAUUAGAGUUUAUGAUUGAGACUUGAUUAUAUCUUAUGCGAUAUUUAUUGAUGAUUUUAGGUUGAUGAUAUCAGUACGCAUUUGUUGCAUGAGGAUGCCAAGAGGUAAGUAAACUAGACUUUAAAAAUGAAUCACAAUAAACAAUAUAUAUGUUUGACUUGUAUGAGAAGCCUAUUUUGAUAUGUACGAAUAUAGAUUUAUAUGUCUCUGAUCAUGUGUUUAUGUGAUGUUUUGUUAUGUAUUGGGCGUGAUUAUGUACAUGGGCAUAUGUAUGUGUGAUGGUCCAUUGGCAUGAACAUAAAAAUGCAUUGUGUUUUCUAUGAAUGAGAAAGUGGAUUUUAGCAAAUGAGAUUUCUGUUUUAUGAGAUUUUGCAUUGGGGGCCAGCUCUUGAAGUUGUGUGGGGACCACCUCUUGAGACUAUGCAGGGGUCAUCUCUUGAGGGCCACAGUGCCGCAAAGUGCCACGCAUGGUGCAAAGUGUCACGCACAGCACAAAAGUGCCACAAUUGCAGAAUAUGUAUUUCAUUGAAAGAAAAUGAGAAAGUUUAAAAGCGACAUAAAGAGAUUUUACAGUAUUUCUAAAAGAUCAUGGCAUAGCAUUCAUCCGCAUUAUUUAUAAGUAUGUAUGUAUUUUCGUAUAAAAAAAAAAACUAGUUUGCUUACUGAGUUUUGUACUCAUUAUAGUUUAUUGUGAUUCAGUUUUCAGAAGUCAGGAAUGAUUCGUAAUGAGUGAGAAGGUAGACUUGAAUUGAGGAUGGUAGAUGGUUUGGCUAAAUUUUCAAAUUAUUCUGCUGCCUAUUAUAUUGGAGGUUUGAAUUAUUUUCGAUUGUAAAGGGUUAUUUAAAUUCAUAUGUUAGUGUGGUCAGAUUUACCCUCGGAGGAGUUCGGGCUAGGGUGUUACAGGUGGUGUUAUGCUUUUGUGGAAACUUGAGCAUCCUUCUACCUUGUGAAUUCUAGUUAAGCAUAGGUUUCCUAGUACAGGUUGAAAGCAUUGAUCAGCUUCCACUUUUGUUUCUUUUAAGAAUUAAGAAUUUCAAUUAUCUGUUGGUGUGUUGUGUGGUGUUACCAACCUCCUAUUUGCAAAUCGCUUGCUCUGUUGCCGUGUAUUUUGGGCAAUCUUUCAAAUGCAACGUCAAUGAAACGAUGCAAAUGGAAACCUCUAGAAACAGAUUCACUUUAUACAAACAGUUCCUGAGCUAUGGACUUACACAACCUUUCAGGUUGCUAUCAAGUCUGAGUCGUUUCUAUUCAAACCAUUAAUGAUUUUUUUUUUCUUUCCGUGUUUUAAAAUCUCUCCUACUUCAUUUUCAAUUUCUAGUUAGCAAUCCGCCCUAUUUAAGUCACUUGACUUGUCAUGGCAGUCGCGAUUUCGUAUCAACUGACGUACAACGACCAGCCUAUGUGAAUAGAUUACGUAUUAAAUAUUAGAAGAGCACACCUGCUCCACACACGUUAGUGGGAGAGAUAGCUAACCCAACUCAAAGUAAAAAUUUGGGCGCAGCGCUGAGGGUUGGGGAAUUAAUGCUUGGACUCGAACCAAUUCCAUUGGUAAAUUUCCACGGUAUUUGUAAGGGAGAUAUUUAGCCCUGCCAAAAUAACUUUACUAUAUUGCACAGCAAACUUUCUACCCCAUUAGUAAAAGAAGCUGCCACUCUUGAAAAUUUUGUCUCACUUCUCCAUGACCUCGAAAUAAAUAACUUCGUAGUCCAUAAUGACUGAUUUAAUCAAGCACAGCAAAGUGCUGAGAGCUGAGUGUUUAUACAUAAUUAUCUUUGAUUUUGUGUCUUUCAUUAAAUUAUUUACACAGAGUGUUUAGAAAAUUUUGAUUCUUUAUUAUUCAAUAUAUUUACAUGGGAUACUUAAAUAUCAUACUAUUAAGUAGAAAAAGAAUCUAUACAAGAUUAAUUUUAUUUGGGCUUAAUUGUUAUAUCUAUGAGAUGACUUAGAUUGAUUUCGAGUUGUCACUCUAAAAUUGGGGAUUAAUUAAUAAUCAGGCAAUUACUAAUUGAAUAGUGAUAGAUUCUGAAACCUUGGUAAUUUUUAUCUUUUUGAAUUCUCAUUUGCUUUAAUUGUUUUCUUAAUUUAAUUAGUUUUAUUUCUCUUAAAAAACUCAAUUUACUCAACUAGGUUAGAGUUAAUAUUAAUUUUAGAUUUAAAUUCGACUUUUCAGUUUAUAACAAUCCAUGUGGGUUCGACCUCGUUACCACUACUCUAUUUUUAAAUUUGUGCGCUUGCGAGUAAAUUAAAAUUUUUCACGAGCACUUGAUUUGUUACCCGUGUAUAGAACUAAAAUUAGCUUAACAAUGGCAUGUGACAUCAGUUCCUCCUUUUAUUUUGAUUGUCAUUGCUCAAAUUGUCAUUAUAAAUUGCCCCGGAAUUUUUACAAGUAUGGCCUCUUUAACUCCUCACAUAUUGAGAGCAGAAUGUAUGUGCCUCAUUUUUGGUCUAAUGUGCCUGAAUCUUGAACAGAGAAUAGAGGUUGAAUGGAUAUUUUGGCUACGUGGGUAUUUUCUGGAACAUGGGACUUUAUUAAUGCAGGAGAACAGUGUGCUGAUGCUUUUCAAAGAUAAAUUCAGUUUCCGCGUACAUUCGACAUUCCAAGGUGAAUGUCCCUUUUCCUUCACAAACUUGUGAAGCUUUCAAACAAUCAAUUUUUCUUACAUUGUAUAUUUGGAAGAAUUAGAACAAGGGAGCAAAAGAUUCUCAUGCUGAUAGUUCCCAUUCUCCAUAAUUGAUUGUAGCGCAUGUUUUAAAGCAUAUCUAGCAUUAAUGAAUGAAGUAGAAAUUUCAGGAAGCCAAGAAACUUUGUGUGCACUGAUUGCCUCUAGAUUGUAAAUUCAAUUGAUCUCGUCUUGGUUGAAGUAGAUGAUAGUAAAUAGUAUCUGAGUUUCAUUUCAGAUUCCAAAAACAAUCCUCCAUGUGAAUGGUUAAGUAGAGAUUCACGUUGCUUUCUUUUUCUUUAGAAGAAUGGCUGACCCUUUGAUCAUGAAAUUAUAUCACGGCUAUCACAAAAACUCGAGUAAUUAUAUUCAUAUAAUCAAAAUAGAGUUGAGAUCGAGCUCCUUCAUUUUAACUGAUUUAUUAUGAUGCAUAACCACAAAUGAUGAGAUGGUGUUGGAUAUGAUAAUGGGAAUUAGUUGUCAACGAGAAAAUUAAUUUCGCAAGAAUACAGUUAGUCGCAGAACUCUCCUAGUCCUUGGAAGUAAUUUAAUGGACAGGUGCAUCAAUUUGUUUGUGUAGCUUACUGUAUGGUUAGAGAGUGUUGUGUUUUCAAAAGAAUUCAAGUGCGUUACAAAACGGUGCCAUCAAACAAGUUUUUCAUUUUUUUUCUUUUUAAAAAACCAAAAGACACCAUGAUUAUAUAGUUUCUCAUUUCUUCUUAUUUUUAGCAGUAACGCAACAAUAAAUAUUGAUUAAGCAAAUUAGUUUUCGGGAAUACUUGAAGGAUACAUUACACAAGAUAUAAAGAGGAGAUUAAACAAUCCUCCAUGCUUGCUUAGUUAAAGAUUAUAUGCCCGAUAAAAAGAGAGCAUCUGUAGUCAACAUAAAUUGUAUCUUGCUUAUUUUGAAUUCAACAUAAAUUGUAUAUUUGGAUGGACUAGAAACUGUGGUUCAGAAAUUCAAGCAGGAACGGUCAAAUUUGGACACCCUAAAGAAGCUGGGAGCAUCCGUUCUCCAUGGGGUUGAUGUAACUGAAAUGAAGGAACAUCCUGAAUUGAGCAAGCGGAAGUUUGAUAGAAUAAUCUUCAACUUCCUCGGCCCAUGCUGGCUUUUAUGGAAAGGAAGACGACGAUGAAGUUAUUCGGUGAACUGCCUCAUGGAUAUGUGUCAAUAUAGUGAGUUAAAAUGUUUGUAUAUAAUACGAGGGAGCUUGAUAAAUAAAGUGAUCCAUAUUUCUUAAUAAUUCGAGAUGCAUGUAGUGUUCAGGAGUUUGCUGGGAUAUUUCCACUUCACCAUUCUUAAAAAGUUGGCUCCUACACCUGUUCCAUGAUCUUUCUUCCGGUAAUUAUCACAGAAUGCAUAUGAGCCUUGUGGAAGGAUUCUUCAGAAAUGCAAGUAGUAUGCUAAGGACUGAUAGUGAAGUUCAUGUAAGCCACAAAACAACAGCUCCAUUUGUCAAAUGGCGUAUCAAGGAACUCGAUAGCAAACACUCUUUUGGCAAGACUUCACUGUGUCCAAUUUGGAAAAAAUAGACGUCCCAGGUCACAACAACAAGAAAGGAGCUGGUUCGCAAUGCGAUGACCAUUUUCCCUUGAGAAAGUGCAGUACGUUCAAAUUUGGAUUCUAUCGUGUUCGCAAGAGGUCUAAAGUAAUGAGUUAUAGAGGAUUUGCUAUCAAAAGACCUAAGGCUAUUCAAGAGAUUCCAAUCCAAGCGCAGAAGCGUGAAACGGAUCCAUUUGACUGGAGAUAUACUAAUGCAAGGUCAGCUACUGAUGUGAAUGAAUUUACAUUGUGUGUGAAGUUUGAUGAUAGCUGGGUGGGUUACUCUGUUCCAAGCUUCGCCAGAAAUAUGACUGAUCGUCCAGGAUAUAAGAGACAAGCUUUGAUGAGUAAUGCUACGUCCCAUAAUGGCUGCUUUAAUACUCCCAACACGACGCUUAGAACAGUUGCUGACGACGUGCGCUAUGUUGUUCCCGAAUCACCAAUUCCAUAUGAAAGAUAUAACACGGAAGUACCAGGAUUUCAAAGAUAAAAUACUAGGAGUUAUGAUAAAGCAGUGCGACCAGGAAGAACCUUAAACGGAUUUUUGUAUUCUAUGGAGGGACGUGACUGUGAGGGAACUUUGAGACCAGCACAGCCGCCAAGGAUGAGGUUAGGAUUUAGACACCAGCUGCUUUAAGGGAGAACGUGGUGCUAUUAUGCUUUCGUGGAAGAUUGAGCGACUUUUUGUCGUUAGUCGUGAAUUCUAGCUAGUUAAGCAUAUAUAGGUAUCGUAGUGCUGGUAAAAAGUUUUGAUUUGCUUUCAUUUGUGUUUGUUUUAACAAUUAAGAAUUUCAGCAAUCUGUUAGUGUGUUGCAUGGUGUUGUCAAUCUCCCAUUUGCAAAGAACUCGAUCUGUUUCCUGUUGAUAGAACUAAAUUUAGCUUAACCAAGAUCGAUGAACUCAUCAAUGCAUUCACCGCAAGGAAGAUACUCCUCCAUCGGUCAAUUAAGACAUGCAAAUUAUGGUAAUGCUAAAAUUAAUAUACUUUAAUCAGUGUUAAUAUGUAAUAUAUGCUUACGUGAGUAGUUGCUGCUGUGAGUUAGUGUAAUCUUUGUAUAUCUAAGACAGUAAUUUUAGAAUUGUUGUAAUUCUAUUGUCAUCAUAUCGUCAUCAGGUUUUAAUUUAAAAAAAAAAAAUUGUGUCCCAAUGUGAUUACCACUGCUGUAUGUUAAUUUAUGCGGAAUGAUGCAUGCUUUAAUUAUGUUUGAGUUUUCAAAUUUUUUUAAUCAAACAUAUGCAGUUGAUAAGAAUUGUCCUUAGUUUUAGAUUCGAUACACUAGCAAUCAUCAAGUAAUUGAUUAUCAAAUAUAAUUUGGAAGUAGGAUCCAGUACAAUUGAUAAAUUGCCCAAUCCCAAACACGUGCAAAGAGUUGUUUGUUUUUUGUCUGAAGUCUAAAUUUUACUUAUUUUCAGAUAUUUAUAGUUUUUAAUUUAUUUGUUUUCUAUCACUUAUGUCUGGUUAUAAGAUGUUUACACUAAAUAAAAAAAAAAUUGAAUAUUUUAACUUUUAUCUAAAUGGCAAAAUAUCUUAAUAUAACUUUAAUAUUCUCUAAUUAUUACCCCUUUUAAAUAAAUUUAUUUCCUAUUAUACAAAUUAUUCUUUUAUUUUUGUAAUUUAUCCUUUUUUUUGUUAUAUGUGCGUAUUCAACUUUUUUUUUGAAUGAGAAUUUUAAAAUAAUAAAUUUUUUAGGUGAGUGCGUUUUAUAACAGGUCCAUCUUUUUAAUUUAUAUUUACUAUUCUUAUAAUGGAUUUUGAAUUUUGUUUAAUACAUUAAUUUUAAUUCAAAUUAUUAAACAAUUCUUAAUUGACUUUUGUAAUUAAUAAGAAUAUCAACCUAAUAUACCAAAAAGAACAUUAUAAGUAUCAUAUAUUAAUGUAAAAAAAUACAUAUGUUAUAUAUUUUCUUGCUUUGUUAAGGUAAACAUUAUCAACCUUUUCUUUUUACUAAUUAAAUAAUUUAUCUAUAACUUGUCAUGUGUUUAACCAGUAAAAUUUAAGUAUUGUUAAUAUUUAUAAGUUAUAUAUGUCAAAAUAUCAUAUUUCAGAUGUUUUAAUUUUGAAAAAUAAACAACUUAACGCUUAUAUUUAGAUAUUGAAAAAAGAAAAAUAAACAUGUUAUUCAGAUAUAUGUAUUUAAACCUAAUUAAAUUUUUGUUAAAUUCAAACCCAUUCAGAUUUCAGACAAAAAAAAAAAAAAACACGCUAUCUAAGUCCUAUAAAUAAAUAAAAAUACAUAAAUUAUGUGAUUUUAAAGGGUUCAUUUCAGUUACAAGACAAAAGUUUGCUUUCAAAUUAUAGUUUAAGAUAUGUGUAAUUUUAUUUAAUAAUUGACUUUAAAAAAAUAAUUGUGCCUCAAUUUUAAGCUUUUAAAAAAUUAUUAAUUGUGAUAUAUCUCAAAUUAAUAUAUUAAUUAAUUUAUUAUAAGGGUAUAAUAGUAAUUAAAAAUUAAAAAUAAAUUUACCGUUAAAACAAACAGUGUUUGUUAACGAAAAUAGGGUUAUAAGUCCUUUUUGAAACGUUGAGGAGUUUUUUAUCUCUUUUCCUAAACGUUGGGGGGUUGAAUGUCCUUUUCCCUAAAAUAAAAGCAAUCAACUUGCAAAUUGAAAAUUCUGCAUUCCUAAACCAAUGUCCAAACAGGGGUAAACAUGUCUGCAAACAUAAACAAUAAUCAAACACUGUCUGCAAAAGCAUCUAUCUGCGUUGUAAAUUAGACCUGCUGGCGUGAUAUGGCGGAGGCUGCGGUGAACUUUGCUAUAGAGACCUUGGGUCCUUUGCUUGUCGAAGAAAUCAGAUUGUGGGGAGGUGUUAGAAAAGAAGUUCAAAGCAUCAAAAGCGAACUGGAGAGUCUCAGAUCUUUCCUCAAAGAAGCGGAUGCAAGGGCAGCAGUCGAAGAAUU